rnacentral:lncRNA from 1 species
GUGCUUCCCUUAAUGGAAGUUGCACUCCAUUUAGUAAAAUAUGGCUUCAAAACCACAUUUGUAAACUCUGAGUUCAUUCAUGAACGAGUUAUCAAAUCAAUGCCGGAGACCGACAACGUACGAAAACUCAUAAAAAUGGUUUCGUUACCUGACGGGUUAGAAUCCUCCGAUGACAGAAGUGAUACGGGAAAAUUGUGGGCUUCAAUUGUUAGGGUCAUGCCCGGAGAGAUAAAGGUUCUUAUUGAACGGAUUAAUGGUUCAGAAAGUGAUAAAAGCAGUUGUAUAAUUGCCGAGACCAGCUUGGGUUGGGCUAUCGAGGUUGCAGAGAAAAUGGGAAUCAAGAAAGUGGCUUUCUGGCCAGCGGCAUCAGCGUUAUUCGCCCUGUUAUUCAAAAUUCCGAGCCUUAUUGACGAAGGAAUCAUAGACAGUGAAGGUUAUUACAGUUUUAAACAUAAACUAGUCUUCAAUACUUUAUUCUAAACCCUGUUAAUUUUUAUUUUCAACAUCAAGCAGCUCACUUUUCCCUCUAAUUUUAUAUUCUAAGAACGUCUCCAAGAUAUUAUAUUUUUAAGGAUGAUGUUAUACGUACAUUAGAGUGUCAUAUAAUGGUGUCCACCCCCUCACAAGGAGGGGAAUCCGCUUCGAAUAAAAUGUAAUUUAUUUGAAGUGGGUCCCCCUCCAUGUGAAGGGGAGGAAACCGUUAUAAAUACCACAUUAUAUACAAGUAGUAUAUUCCUAUUUUUAAAGAGCGUAUUCUAUCAUUUGAAGAGCAUCUAUAUAUUUAGAGAGUUAAAAUUUUGGAAGUACUCUAACAAACUCUUUAUAUUUAACACUUAAUUUUACUACUCCUAUAAAAAUAAUUAUUAUUUUUCUGUCUUUUAUUUUAAUUAGCUUUCCUCUACAUUAAAAAUUGAAACAUUUCAAAUGCAUUUAAUUAUAGAGUUAAAAUGUUAAUUCAAAGAAUCUCUUUGAACAUGAUUUUAAGUAUUGACUAUUUAAAAUAGAGAACAUUGAAUAUUUAUAGAGUCAAAAAAAUUCAAUUAAUGGGAUUUUUACCAUGUUCUCUUCCCAAGAAGAUAUCCCCAAAAAAAAGAAAAAAAAAAAAAGAGAGGGGUUUUAUAAGCAAGUUUAUCCAUGAACUUAGAGCAUGUUUGGCUAACCUUAAGUGAUAUGUGGCUUCUUUUCUAACAUUUAAGUUUUGCCAAGCAUGUUUUCGACGUACUCGUAAUUGGUCUUUGAAUUUAUAAUAAUUAAACUUUAUAAUACCACCUAGUUAUUCUAUAAAAUUGAUUAUGCAAGUCCCCACCUAACAGUCACUCAUUUGAUUCAAGGAAUGCUAUGGAGUAUGGUCCUUAGUUAAUUGUUCAACUCGAUUGUAAUUUCUAUGACCAAAGUUGUUUUUAAUUGAAGAGUAUUUAUUUUAUCAUGUUUGAUCUUGAUGUACAUUAUGGCUGAUCACAACUUUCGCCAUCACGCCACAUGAGCAUGCUAUCAACUAAAUUGGUGUCGCCAUUGGUUUUUAUGUAUGGACCGAAUUGAUUUUAGUGAAUAAACGAUAAAUAUUAAAACUUUUGGAGUCCACAUACCAUUUCUGACUAUAAGUUCAAGAAGGAUCUAAGUUUCUAAACAAAAAAAAAAUAAAAAAUAAAAAAAAAUUGUAUUCUAUAACUACUAAUAUUGUUGAACCUUCUAUGUAGGAACACCAAUGAAAAACCAGAUAAUUCAACUUUCACAAGCGAUGCCUCCCAUGAAGACAAUAGAUUUCUUUUGGAAUCGUUUGGGCGAUGAAGCAGAACAGAAAUUGUUCUUCAAACUCCUGGUAAAAAAUAUGCAAUCGGUUAAAUCGUCAGACACGUUAAUUUGCAACUCAUCUGAUUGGUUGGAGCCUGGGACGUUUGCUUUAUUUCCAGACAUUUUACCCAUAGGACCUCUUCUGGCAAGUAAUAGGCUUGGAAAAUCAGCUGGCAGCUUCUGGCAACAAGACUCACGUUUUCGAGAAACAAUAUUAAGCUAUAAAAAAUAGAAAACUUAUGUUUAUUUAAAUUAUAUUUUUAACAUGCCCCUAAAAAACUGAAUUAUUUAUUUUUAUCAAAGACCUUGACUCUUGCAUUAGUUUCAUAAAUUCAUAUCCUCAUUUACUCUUUAACCAUUUUAUCUUGAAAACUAAGAUGUAAGAAUAGGGACAACAUAUUUAUUUGAAUUUUGUCUUCAACAGGUUGCCUCUCGUGGCUUGAUCAGCAACCACGUAAUUCUGUCAUAUAUGUUGCAUUUGGAAGUUUCACAGUAUUUGAUAAAAAUCAAUUCAAAGAACUUGCUCUCGGCCUUGAACUCACCAAAAGACCAUUCCUGUGGGUCGUGCGGGAAAACACUACUGAAGACGUCGACAAUGCAUACCCAAUAGGGUUCCGCGAAAGAGUACAGAAUUGGGGGAGGAUGGUGGCUUGGGCACCGCAGCAAAACGUCCUAUCCCAUCCUUCCAUUGCUUGUUUCAUUAGCCAUUGUGGUUGGAAUUCCACCAUCGAAGGCAUAAGCAGUGGAGUCCCUUUUCUGUGUUGGCCGUAUUUCUCGGAUCAAAUGUUCAAUCAGAGCUACAUUUGUGACUGUUUGAAAAUAGGAUUGAAAUUGAAUAAAGAUGACGGUGGAAUUAUUAGGCAUGAAGAGAUUAACAACAAACUAGAACAACUUUUGGGUAAUGAAAGAUUUAAAAAAUUGGCAUUGGAUCUUCAAUCAAAUGUCCUAAACAGCAUUCGAGAAGGAGGGAGCUCUUAUAAUAAUUUCAAGGAUUUAGUAGCGGCUGGGGCACAUUGCUUUCGCUUCUGUAAUAGAGGCGCUUUAAUAGGCGCGCUUGGCUAAGGAAUAAAAACCUUGGUCCGCUUUCAUUUGUCUAGUAGGAUUAAGGAUUGAAAAAUGAUUUUGUUCUAGAUAUCCUAUUAUUAUCUUCACAUUAAAUAUGUAUCAUUGGCAUUGAUAGUAUUGAGUGCAAAUUUGGUUAAUCUUACAUAAUUUUCAAUAUAAUAUUUUGUGUUUAUUAAAGUUAAAAAUGUUAGGGCCUGCUUGGUUAGUGUUUUAGUUUUUAGUUUUUAGUUCAUUUUCAGUUUUCUAUUUUGAGGGUCUAUGAUAGAGCCCCCUGUUAUUGCUGCGCAGCUAUGGAAAUCCCUUGCAAUUGCUGAAAUGGUAAACUGUGGAACAGCUGUUCAACAGUAAUAUCGGCCAAAUAUUAUGAUAAAGGAUAUGGAAUGUAAUGUAAUGUAGAUUUAUUGAUUGUACUGGAAGUGAAAAAAAAGAAUGAAAUACUGGAAUGAGGAAACAGAAAUUGAAACUCUAGGCCUCCCUUCUAUAGCACUAUUAUCCACUAGCCCUUCCUACUAACUGAAUGGUGAAUCUUCAUUACAAAUGGUUGUGUUAACCCUUUUUCUUUUUCUUGCAUAGAUGAUCCUAAGUGGGAGUCUAUCAUUACCUGUCACUCCCAAAAGUCACCUUGUUCUCCAGGUGAAAAUGUGGUUCAACUUCAAAAUUUGGAACCAAUUUUGGAGUAAGCUUGUUGUAGCUAUUAACUUGUAUAGUCAAUCGACCACCUAUAAUUAGAAUGGUAUCAAUGCAAACCCCAUAACCGAAUGUGGCUAUUCAAAUUAAAGUUAUGUAUAUCCCCAUAUUUGAUUAUCACCAUACCUUCCAGCUUCAUUAAUCUCCCUUCUACUUUCUUGAUCAUAGAUGCAAUCAAGCUUGCUAUCGUAUUUUGGAAAAACUCCACCCAAUCUUCCAUCUCGUCCUCUUCGACCUCCUCUAACACCUUCUCUUGGACCUCUCUUUCUUCAUCAUCUUGCAAUACCCGUACCUAGAGCUCUUUAUUUAUGCACCUAUGACCUGGGUUGUAUUUUUCAUCAUAGCGGUAACACAGUCCUCCGGCCCUUUUUAUCUGUAGCUUGGCAUCGGUCAAUUUCUUAAAUGGAGGCUCCCUUUUUGUCGCUAUUGAAGGACUCAGGACUAUAGCUGGCUGGGUUUUCUCACUAUUCAGUCGUGCUGCUUUGGAAUGAUUUGGGUAAUUUGGGUAAGUGUUGGGGGUGUUUUGAUAUGGGUAAAGCCGUAAAGUUGUGGCUGUUGUAGGAUAGCAGGCUUAGAGAGUUUUUAAUUCGGGCAACUUACAAACAUAUUCUUAAAAUUAAGGAUUUUUGAAAAAUCAUAUAAAAUAUAUUUCAGAAGUAAAAAAUAUUGUGUAAAAUUUGUGUCACAUUUUAUUUAUUUUUAAUAAAGGUGGCACAAUGUCACUUGUUAUACAAUGUACUUUUUAAAGUUAAGCAUUACUUUUUAUUAAAAAGUGAUAUUUUUUAUUCAAAAAAGUGACAUAAAUUUCAAGGAAGUGACAAAAAAAAAUCAACGUUAAAAAAAGUGACAAUUUUUUUUUGAAAAAAGUGACAUAUAUUCAAAAAAAUGACAAAACACCAAUUAAAACAUUGAAAUCAAUUCAAUAAAGUGUAUAGAAAAAAAAAGGCGAGACAACAAUGUCUCUUUUCUUUCUCCGUUCACCUCAACCAAUGACUCAAUUGCUAUUCCUCCACUUUCUCCGUCGCCACCACUAUUACUAUCAAUAGACCAAAGCCUAAGCACAAAAAGCUAAACACAUAAAACUGAAGAAAAAAGAACUCAAAUAUGAACAUAUUAAAAAAAAAAGUGAUAAAUAUUAUUCAAAAAAUUGACAAACACUAAAAAAUUGGCAAAAAUUUUAAAAGGUGAUGAUCACUUAAAAAGGUAACAAAACGCCAACUUGGCCAUUUUCCACAAUGGCCUUUUUAUGCAUAAAAGACAAAAUUACCCUUACGUAUGUUAUACAAUUACAAAAAAUAUGGUAUUGUUUUAAAAGACAAUAAUAUCCUUUUAAGUUAGAAAGAAUUCUAAACACUUUUCACUUUAAAAAUUUAAUACCAAGCCACUUUUUUUUUUUUUUUUACUCAUGCAUAGAUAAAAAUUGUUUCAUUUUUUUAUCUGCUUCAACAUUGAAAUCUCAUAAAUUUAUCAAAUGCUCAACAAAAAAAAUAUUGUUUCUAGCCAUCGCUUUGAAUCGGUAAAUAUAUAUUUGCGUAUUUUUAAUUUCAUUUUCAUUGAAUUAGUAAAUUAUUUUAAUCAUUAAAUCUUAUUUUUACAUAAGCAGAUAAAUUUUUACAAUCUUAAGCAGAUUUAUAAUUUUUUGAAUCAAAAAGAAAAAAAAUUCAUCUCCAUACACUAACAGUCGGUUGAAAAAACCCAUGGGCCAAGCGACUAGGCCUUCUGUUUUCCAACUGGUCAAUCAAAAAUGGAUGGCCCAGUCAUCUGGGCCAUCGAUUUCCAAACAACUUGAUCCAACUGGCCUAAUAGGUUUUUCUUCUCAUUUUUUAUCUCCUAAUUAAUUUUUAACAAAUUAUGUUUCCUAAUGCAGAUAGGUGAUCAAUUGCAGUCUCGAUUUGUUACUUUGGUGAAUUUGAAGUAUAUAAAUAUGAUCGAUAGAUGUGGAAAUAGACGAGUGAAAGAUAUGGUGCUACUACAAUUGUGAUAAGAUUGAGUACUUCAUAUGCAGAAAUGUACUACGAUAUACAGAACAAACUCAACAUCUAUCCCUCUCAGUAAGGCAUGAAAUUAGGAUUUCUAUUCAACAAGCAUACAUUCAUUUCAAUUUUACCUGUAAUGAUUACUUUUGAAGCUGAAAUGAAUGUUUUAAUUAAAUUGAACAAAAAUCGCACGACUCCUAUUUGCAUAAUUUUAGUUAAAAAAAAUAUCCUUGAGAGUGAACACGAAGAUUCUAAUAAAAAGGAUCGUGAUGUGAAUAAUAUUUGUGACACGACGGAGAUAGUUUGUGAGGAUGAUAUGACUAUUUUUGAGACAGUUGUUCAUCACCAUGAUUUCACUGUUAUGCACAGAAUUCCCUCUAUAGUUCAAAACAAUAUGAAUGAAAAAUGAAUUUACAAAUGAGGAUUCGAUUGCUUUAUUCCGUCGGAGACAUGAGUCGGGUGGGAGCCCACAGACUGGAACGAGUACAUGGUUCUCUAUUUGUUCGCAUGUAGUUCCCAAUGAUGAAAAUUUAUAUGUCGAGUAACUGUUUGAAACAAAGAAAGAUUUACGAAAGUUAUGCACCAGAUUGCUUUGAAACACAACUUUGAGUUUCAAGAGAAGAAAUCAACAAGUCAGCGUACACAAUUAUUCUCAUUGAAGACAGUUGCCAUUAGCAUUUUGUGAGCAAUAAAGAUAGAUACGAAUGAGUUCUUUGUAAUUCAUAAGUAUGCAUUGGAGCAUACUUAUGAAGUUGGUAUUCAUAGAAAUGAUCAUGUUCAAGCUAUAGCAUGGUUCAUUGAUCGACAAAUAAUGCACAAGUUUCAAGACACACUAACGAUCUACAGACCAUCGGACAUCAUUAAUGACGUUCGUUGAAAGUAUGGGGUAGUCAUGAGCUAUCAAAAGGCCUGGAAAGCCAAAGAAUGCUCAUGGGAGAGCUUAAUGAGUUCGGCCUAGGAGAGUUAUGCUAAAUUCACUUGGUAUUGCUAUAACAUGAGAAAAACUAAUCCUGAAUCGGCAUUUUUUAUUGAGAUGGGGGCGAGAAUCGUUUCAAGUAUUUUUUUAUAGCUUUUGGACAACGCAUUCGAGGAUUUUGAAACGUGAUACGACCCCCAAUUCUAGUCGACAGUACAACCCUUAAGACUAGAUACAAAGGCAAGUUGAUUAUUGCAACAUGUCAAGAUACCAACAUCCAAAUUUACGUUCUUGCACUCGGCAUAACCAACGGAGAGAAUGAUCUAGCAAUGCAUUGAUUCUUCAAGAUAUUGAGAUAAACAAUUAGGGAUAUCGGGAUCCUUACAUUCGUAACUAACCGGGAGCAGUCAAUAAUAAAUAGUAUCAUUGAAAUCUUUCCCGAGGCACAUCAUGGUUAUGUAUGUAUUACAUAUAGGGCACCUAAAGACUAAGUAUUGGGACAAUUGCAUUGUUGCAUUGUUUAGGAGAGCUACAAAAGCUUACAGUUUUGAAGAGUUUGAUAAGUUAAUGGUUGAAAUAGAAAGUAAAUCACAUGCUGCAUGGGAUUAUCUAACAGAGAUGGGAAUCGAACAUUGGGCAUGAUUUCAUUUUUCAAGAUGUCGAUACAACAUAAUGACAUCGAACAAUGUGGAGUCACUCAAUGCAUUAUUCAAAAAGGAUUUAGAGUUACCAAUUCUGGCAAUGAUUGAGCACAUUCGUAACAAGUUAUAACAGUGGUUUCAUAACCAACGUGAAGAAUCCAUAGAAUUGCAUAAAUGUGCUAACCCGAUUUAGGAAGAUAAAGUCUUCAAGACUUUAGAGGUGGCGAGAAAGGUAUGUAUAGAACCACUGGAAUAGUUUCGCUUCUCCAUGAGAAGUGGACGUAAUAUCAGAUACAUCCAUGGACUUGAAUGAUAACACGUACAAGUGUAGAAAGUUUGAGUUUGAGAGUUUUUCAUUUACGCAUGCAGCUGUGUGGCUAUGAGAGGAUUUUUAGCAUACACCUUAUAUAGUUAUUAUUACAUGGUUUGAUUAUUGGAGAUGAUCGUAUGCCGAAAAAAUAUUUCUUGUACCAAGUGAAGUCGAGUGGAAAGUUCCCAACCACAUUCUCCCACUUAAUAAUUUGUUGCCACCCGAAGUCGGACCACGUACUCAUCGAUGUAGAUGUAAGUCAAGAUUGCCAUCUACAGGAGAAUUUUUCCAAUCUCGUAAGUGCGGCACAACAUGGUAUACUCGUCGAUUUUGUAUAAGUCAAAUUCCUUUACAUAACAAUUCAACAGAUGUAUAAUGUAACAUCCCGAAUUUUUAUUUAAUAUUUUCAUAUUGGCCUAAAUUUAAUGUUGGUUAUUUAGUGAAAUAGUCCAUUAUUCUAUUCGUUAUUUAAUAAAAUUUAAUUUUUAUUUACUAUUUUCACAUUCUGUUUAUUAUUUAAUAUUUUUUUUGUAUUUGAGCAUUUGACAUCCCAUGUGAAAUUUAAAUUGAUGGUUGAAAUCGUAGUAUUUCAAAAUUUUUCUUUGGUAAUACUUCAAGUUUAUUGUCAUAAAAAUAAAAUAAUAAGAAUAAUUUUUAACUAUUUGUUUACUUAUACAAUCAAAUAUUCUCAGAAUUACACAUAUAAUUGUUGCAUCACAACACAAAUCACAAUGAAGUAAACAAUAUAUACAUUUUUUAAUAAAAUAAUACACAACUUGCUAAGGAUUACAGUUGUAUUCAUACAAAUUGCAGGCUAACUUCGACCUUGAUAUAUCUAUCCAAGAUUGAUUUAUUGUAUCAACCUUGUGACCAAUACUAAAAAAUUCUAUCUACUUUACUGUGAAUAUACCACAAUUGCCCCUGCAGGUAAAUAAUAAUAUAUUAGUUAAAAACUUAUAGCUAAAAAAUAAGGUUUCAAAUUAAAAACUUAUAAAUCCUUACGAUUCUCCUUGUCUCACCAUCGUCAUGUCCUACACAAUGGCUAAUCUAUCAUCUACUCAAAUCAUCGUAUGACUAGGUAUUAAGGGAACGAUCACAAUCAUUAGCUCCAGUCUUUGCUCCACUUUAGCUUAUGUCAGACAACUAUAAUCGGAGUCGUACUUAUAGAUAAUGGAAUCAGCGAUUGCGAUUUCAACUACAAAGUAGUAUGAGUUCGCAAUCAUUGGAAUGUACAUAUGUAUACAAUCUGUCCAUGGCUUUUCACACAUCGGUUCCAACCUAAUGACCUACUUCAACAUGUACUCAGGCACCACUUAUCCAUCCCCUUGGAGUAUUAUGCUUAAUAUCAAUGGCAUGUGCAAACCCGGAACUCAUGAUGACUCGACCAGGAAAGUCGACGGAUCUCGGGUGUCUCCGAUCCCAAUUGCACGACAUUUUCAUGGUCAUGUCAAUAUGCUAAAACAAAAAAACCAAUAAAAAGAGAUAGAAUCAUUUAAUUAAAUAAAACAACAAAUUACGAAAACAUAAUAAAUAACAACAAGAAUACACUUACAUCAUAGAUGAGCCAAGCUAAUUUAGUCAGUAUAUCUUCAAGCCACUUUUUAGCCUUUGAAACUGUCUUCUCCUCAAUCUUGUAUCUGUCUCUGAAAAAUAAAAAAGUGAAAUGUUACAAAAAAGCAUAUAUGAUCUCAUAUAUAUUUUAGCAAAAUCAUAAAAGUAUUUACUCUGGCUUAAAGGAUUUGAACCAUUCAUCAAACGUUUUGUGCUUCACUGAGUCGACGUCGUGAAAGAGAUUGGAAAACAUCCCGUCCACGAGCAUCCUUCUCUUUGCCUCAGUAGUGAAGGGAGAAAUGAUGUAUUGUGAUGAAAAUAUCGGCCUCUUAUCGACGACCAGUUUCGGUACGUCAGUAGCACGCUUCUUCCCCUUCCUUACCUCUAUCACUCUCUCCUGUAUAAAGAUGACAUCCUCCAUCGUGUCUGGGGUCCUCUUCUCCUCCGUCACUUCCUUCUCCUGUACUUCCUCCGCCAUAUCCCCUCUUGUGCCACACCCCCUUUCUAUAUCCCAUUCACCACCUCCUUAGGCACCCCUUAUUGCCUCCUUUUGCAACCCCCUCUGACGCCUCCAUUGGGGCCACACCCUCUGUUGUACAUGAAAAAAAUGAUUCGAAUGUAGCAUCUAAUGGCCAAGAAAAAUUAUCAUACCCUAUAUGACGAUCUCCUUCGUCAUCUCCUUACCCCUGAGAACUACCUCCGUCACCCUCUCCAUCUAGAGAAUCGUUAAUCCAUCUUAUCAUUCCUUCCGUCUCGAGAGCCGUCAAUCCCCGUAGGCCUACUAUGUCACAUCGUAUUGCUACGACCUCAACAUGAAUGUCUACAACUCGACUCGUAGUAUCGUGACAUCAUGUCGUAACUCUGUUACGUCACCUCUCAUCUCCCUUAUAAAUGUAGUCAGAAGUUCAAACAAAUUAUCAGUAGAAGCUUCACGACUACUUGCAAGAGAUGUACAUGGGAGAUGUCUAAAUGCAGGAGAAGGUGAUCUUAUAUGUGGAGGUGACCUCCAAGGGAAAUGUGAUAUCCUCGGUGAAGGUGAUCUCUUUAAUGGAGGUGAUGGUGGACAACGCUCCUAAAAAAUGAACAUUACAAAUGAAUAAACUAAUUAAAAAUUCAAAACAAUAAUCAACAAAUUGUGUUCAAUUACACACCAUAUCUUGAUCCACAAUGGCCUCAAGCAUCUGAUCAUCUAGCGUAGUUGGAACGAAAGCUCACGCAGAUAACUUUGACCCUCCUCAUUGAUCGACGGUGUCUACUAGGUAAGGAUUUCAAGUUGAUAUAUUGACAUUUCACUGAGUUAGUGACCAUCUAUCAAGAUUUUUGAAAUGAGUACAAUAUAAAAUCAUUGUACACUAUGUGCCUCAGGAUUUUUGAGGAGAGCUUUAAUUGUUUGGCAAGUGGCUUGUCUUGUGCUUGCCAAUGAUGUUUCCGAUGACAACAUGUCUUCCCUCUUCUCGCAUAUCGAUUAGCUAAGAUAAGGACAAUCUCAUACAUCUAUAUCUGCAACAAUUACAAUUAAUACAUGUAAAAUUUAAAUAAAAAAAUGGAUAGUUCAUUAUGUUAAAAAUUUACUUACAAAGCCAACGGCAAGCCAUAUACGUCGUACUUGGGGCCCGGGCCUACCUCUAGGCAUCGAAUACCCCUUCCAAAAAAUGCAUAAAGUAUCCAUAAAACAUUUCUGCCCUCAUGGAUAGUUGCUAAAGGUAUUAAUGCCAUCAACAACUUUCAAAUGAAAAACAUCAAUUGAUGUCUUCUUGUGAUGACACUUGAGCACGCUCUCGAGGAUAAGUGCCAACCCCAGCUUCAACUUGUCUGACAUUUGGUUUCAUUCCCUGAAUGUAUCUCCUAACUGUGCUAGAGUUACUGUCGUUUCUCCAUGAAAAGUAUUCAUUCAACAACCUCAUAUUUUUCAGAAUACAGCCCUUACUGCUUCUUUGCCCGUACAUUUCAAUCUAGAGAUGAAGUCAAACUCGAAUAUAUAGAAUGUAGCUACAUUGCCUCCCAAAAUCAAAAUAGAGGGCAUCUACGUCAACUGGCUUAAGCAGCCGACAUAGUAAUGUAUCGAGCAAUUGUCUGGAUAACUGUACAUCAAGCAACGAAUACAUGGGCUAUAAGCAUGGUUAACGUAAUAUGUCUAUAUGCUCCUCAUCGAGCAAAUCUAAUACCGUCGUAAAGUUGGCAAAAUUACAGUUCAAUGUAACUUUACCGAAAAUCUGUCUAGUGACGACGUUCAUGUGGUAUUCCACCCUGAAAAAUUUCAAUGUUAGAAAUUUUAUAACAGAUAAUAGAUAAAGCAUCAUACUACAAAAAAAAAAAAAAAAAAAAAAAAAAAACAAAAAAAAAAAAAAAAAAAAAAAAACUAACCAAACUAUAGCUAUUAUAUGCAAGAAUUAACAGAUAAUGGAAAAAAGGAAAAUGAAAUUAAACAAAAAAUUAUAAAAAGCAAAAAUUUAUUUCUUGUGAACAACAUUAAAAAUUCAAGAAAAAAUUAAACUAUAAUUAAUAUCAGACUAAAAAUUAAAAAAGAAAUAAUAAUGAAACAGUAAAUAAACAAUUAAAACAAGCAACUACAAAAAUAAUUAAAUAUUCAACAAAAACUAAAAUAAAUAAUCAAAUAUUAAAUUAAAAAUAAAAAUAAAUAAUUUCAAAAACAAAUAAAUUUUAAAUAAAUAAUGAAAAGAUAAUUUAAAUUGAUAAUUAGAUAUUAAAAAAAUUUAAAUAAAAAUUAAAGUAAAUAAUUAAAUUCAACUAAACCAAACAAAUGCAAAAAUAAUUAAAUAUUAAUUAAAUUAAUAAAUAAAUAAAUACAAAAUCAAAUAAAUAUUAAAUAAAAAAUUUAAAAAACAAUUAAAAUAAACAAAUAAUUACAAAAUAUAAAAGCAAAUAUUUAAAUAUUAGGUAAACAAAUCAAAUAAAUUAUUACAAAAAUAAUUAAAUAUUAAAUAAAUAAUUAUAUAUUAACUAAACGAUUAAAUUAAAUAAUUUAAAUAAAUAGUAAAAAAUUUAGUAAACAAAAUAAAAUAAAUAACUGCCACAACAGUUAAAUAUUAAAUAAAGAAUGAAAUAUUCAAUAAAUAAUUCAAUUUUUUCUAAACAAAAUUAAAAACUCAGGGAAAAAUAUUUAAUAAGGAAUUAAAUAUUGAAUAAAUAAUUAAAUAAAUAAAUAAAUAAAUAGUUAUUAAAUAAAUAAUUUCAAAAAAAUAAAUUAAAUAGUUAAAUAGUAAAUAAAAAUUAAUAAAUAAAUAAAUAUAAAUAAUUAAAUAUUUAGUAGAUGAUUAAGUAAAUAAUUACAAAAUCAAUUAAAUAUUAAAUAAACAAUCUAAAUAAAUAAUUAAAUAUUAAAUAAACAACUAAAAUAAACAACUACAAAAUAAUUAACAAUUAAAUAAAAAUUAAAAUAAAUAAUUUAAAUACACAAUUUAGAUAAAUAAUUAAAUAUAAAACAAACAAUUACUAAAAUAAUUAAUAUUAAAUAAAAAUUUAAAUAAAUAAAUAAAUAUCAAAUAAAUUGUUGCAAAAUGAAAUAAUUAUUAAAGAAACAAUUAGAGUAAAAAAAUUAAAUAUUAAAUAAAUAAUUACCAAAAAAUUAUAUUAAAUUUUUAAAUAUUAAAUAAACAAUUUAAAUAUAUAAUUUAAUUAAAUAAUUAUAUAUGAAAUAAAUAAUUCAAAUAAAUAGUUAAUUGUGAAGUAAACAAUUAAAAUAAAUAACUUCCAAAACAGUUAAAUGUUAAAUAAAUAAUUAAAUAUUCAACUAAUAAUUCAACUUUCUUGUAAACAAAAUUAAAAACUCAAGAAAAAAAUUUAAUAAAGAAUUAAUUAUUGAAUAAACAAUUAAAUAAAUAAUAUCAAAUUUAAUUAAAUAUUAAACAAUAAUUUAAAUAAACAAUGACAAAAAUAAUUAAAUAUUAAAAAAUAGAUAUAAAUAAUAAAUAUUUACUAAACGAUUAAAUGAAUAAUUACAAAAUCAAUUAAAAUUAAGUAAGCAAUUUAAAUAAAUAUUAAAUAUUAAAUAAACAAUGAAAAUAAAACAAUUAAAAAUAAUUAUAUAUUAAAUAAAAAAUAAUUGAAUAUGUAAUUAAAUAAAUAAUUUAAAUAAAUAUUUAUUUAUUAAGUUAACAAUUAAAAUAAAUAAUUAUAAAACAAUUAAUAUUAAAUAAAGAAUUAAAUAUUCUAUAAAUAAUUUACUCUUUUGUAAACAAAAUAAAAAAACUCAAGGAAAACAAUAUUUAAUAAUGAAUUAAAUAUUCAGUAAAAUAAGUAAAUAAAAAAUUAUUAAAAAAUAAAAAUGGAAGAUCCAAUGGUCCAAUCAUGUGGAUCCAUAUAGCACUGGAUCCGAAAGUCCAGACGACCCAGAUGUAUGGGCCAUAAGUAUUAGUUUUCAUUGUGCUAAUCAAUUUUAAAACUUUUUUGGCUGUUUUGGGCCUUCCCUAUCUUUUCUACUUGAGCCAUUCUUACCGAAUCAUUCUUAUCUUCUACAAGUUGGGCCAACUCCAUGGUAUGGUCCAAACACAUGGUUUGAGCAUUCGUACCUCAGCCCGAAUGGUUUCUUUUAGUCCAUUCACGAAGCUCCUAUCCAUGACGGCUUCAGAAUUCACCGAUGAAGGGGCUUCAAGAAUUGUCGAAUCAAAUGAGUUCUCUGUGAUCUCUUUUUCCUUCCUCUAUCUUUCUCGCUCAUCCCAUUUUUUCAUCAUCAAAUCAAGCUUCUACGUGAUAUCUACUAUACUUCUCUGGAGCUCAACUUUCAUGGCUCUAUUUCCCCUCUUAUUUUUGAAUUCAUGUUUCCAAUCCUCACUUCAUAUUACUAACCUGAUAUUACAUUUCUUCAUCAGGUGCAAUGUCACAAUGUUGAUGCUUUGAUACCAUUUUGAUGGAUUUUGCUACUUGUACAGAAAAAAAUAUACAUAAUGGAUUACAUAAUAUGUGAGGAGAAAAAAUUGGAUGAAAAAAUUGAUUGUAUUUUAAACUGGCAAAUGGUAGAAUGCCAUGUAGUAUUAUGUAAUCCAUUAUGUAAAUAUUUAUGUACCUAUUUUGAUAGAGCACCUUGUUAUCGUUGUAUAGCUAUGGAAAUCCCUUGAACCUGCUGAAAUGGUAACCCGUGGAAAAGCUGUUCAAUUAUGAUUCAGCCAAAUAUUAUAAUAAAAGGAUAAAGAAUCGAGUGUAAUGUGGAUUUAUUGAUUGAACUAGAAGUCGAAACAAGGAACGAAAUACUAGAAUGAGGAAACAAAAAUUGAUCAAACUCCAAGUAGGCUUGUCUCUCUUAUACCCUUAACUGAACAUCAGUCCAAAAGCAUCCUUACAUAACCCCCCUUCUUACUAUUUAUAGGCCUUCCUUCUAUGACACUAUUACUCACUUACCCCCUUGUGUUAACUGAAUGUUGAACCUUCUAGAAUCUGAGAUAAUCUGACUGCCUCACAGUUGGAUGCAAUAACCCGUUUUCUUCUUCUUGCAUAGGUGAUCCUAAUUGAAGUUUUAUUAGUCUAUUUUAAAAUUGCUAAAAAUACGUUUGGUUUAAAAUUUUGAUUAUUUAAUAAAAUAGAAUAAUUUAUGUUAAUAUAUUAUCAAAUAAUAUAUGCAUUUUAAAAUUGGUGAGAAUAUUUUUAUCUAUGUUCAUUUAAAUUUUUUUUUUAAUUUUUAUGCAAAUAAUCAUUAAGAGAUUGAAUUGUUUUUAUUUUUAUAAUUUUUAUUUUUCUAAAAAUUUCUAUAAUUUUACUUUUUCAGAACUACUAUUUUUUAUUUUUUAGAAUUUUUAUUUUUCAGAAUUUUAUAUUUGAUUCUUUCAAUUAUUUUUCUAAUUUUAUUUGUCAUAAAUUUAUAUUUUUUAGUUUCUAAAAUUUUAUUUAAAUGAAAUUUAUUUAAACAUUUGUUUUUCUUGUCAAAAAUGUUUACAGAAUUUUUCACAUAAAACGCUCAAAAUGUCAAAGAUGUGUUUCGAGUUUUAUAUUAUAAGUUAAAAAACAUUUCCAGUGUUUUGAAAAACUCAAAACUAAAAAUAGCAAAUUAAAUGCACCCUUAGCUACUUAUAUUUUGGAAGUAAUUCUCUUGGUUACUUGUUUCGAAAAAUAAUUAUUACUUUACUAUAUAUAUAAUUAUUUUUCUUAUUUAUGAAUAGAUAAAAUUAACUUAUUCAAACAUGACAACUGAAUAAACCUCAUAUAUAUAUAAGAUAUGCAAAAAUACCCAUGAAAAUAUGCCAACCAAAUAAAGUCCACCUCUCCAAUUUAAAUGCUCACUUGAGCAACCAUAUGCUGCAGCUUAUCGUUGUUCUCUAUUCUACUUGCUUAACCGAGCAGUUGGCUCGCCUUAGCCAAAUUAUUGUUGUUUUCUUCACUCCAAUGUAGCAUUUUAGGUUUAACUCAUGUUCGGCUCCCAUUUUCUUAUAACUCAUUUAUCCUCAAUUUCAUUUUCAAAAAUUGCCUCGAAUUGAAAGAACAUCUAGGGUUGGUCAUUUUGGAGAUUGAAAGAAUAUAUUCAAUCGAUCACCAUUUUAGGUUAAAAUAACAUCAGAAUCUUCAUUUUUUUCUUAUGUACUGCUCGGCUUCACCAAAUAUAUAUCCAAAAACUCCCCAAAAAAGAAGGGGAUGAAAUUUUGGCAUAAAACUACUAUUGGCUUUUAUACUACCUAUUUUGUGAGAUCAACAUUUUAGUAUCUUUCGCUGGAAAAUUACCAAAACCAUGAAGGACAGCAAGUGAAGGAACUGUUAGACUCAGAAAGAUUGUAGUGAAUGAGAUUAACGACGUGAUAUGAAGUAACAAAGAUCGCAAUGAGAAACAAGAUUUAAAAGUAAAGAAACUAACAAAGAAAGUAAAUCGUAAAAGCACGAUGUUUUAUUAAUCGACAAUACAUAGAGAAAUACAAGAGCCUAGCAAUUUUUGAUUAAAAAACCAAAAAAAAUAAGACCACUAUUUAUAGACAUAUGACAUAGCAUAAAGAUGGAAAUAAUGUGGAAUAAGACAAUAAUAUAUUUCGAUAAAAUCCACUUGAAAUAUAAGAAAACAAAUUUUCCCAUAUGAAAAUAAGGAAAUAAUUUAUUUCCAAAAACAAUCCACCAUAAUUUGGGUUACAAACCCAACAAUCUCCACCUUAAUCUAAAUUCUGGUACAACGAACGAAAGUCCAAGAUUUCAAAUCCAUCUGUAUCGAAAUAGCCAAUCUCCUCAAUACAGUAACCACAACUCUCCAAACCAAAUCACCGUCCUCUGUAAGGCGUUCACAAGCGACACCUGAACAUAAAUCCUGGAUUCCCAAAAUUCCAUCGAGUAAUUACUGUUGACCAAACAGGGUUGAAGCACACCCUGUAGCAGAAACCAUACCACAUGCUAGAUCAGAAGGCCCAUUGCUAUAGCUGUCACCUUCAACGUCCCCAAAAGCAUCCCAUACAUUAUUACAUUACAGUACCUACGUUCCAUGAGUCCAACCCUAGCAAAUGAACACAGUAUAUCCGCUAAAAUUGGUGACAAAACAAAAUCACCAAUGCUCCCUUGAGCAAUGUUCUGAACCAAACCAGAGUCUGUCAUAAGAGAUACUGUACCAAACUAAACAUCCACCACGGUACUGAACAUGUCCCGAUGUCUCUUAAUUAGUUUUGCUCUCUCCUGCAAGAUAUACAAUUGAGACUUUUUCCGUCCCUCCAAUACAACCCGGACACCUAUUUGAACCUUGAAAACUCUACCUCCACCAGAGAAUUUAUACCCUUUUGCAUCUAGCGUACUAAGUGAGAUGAAAUUUCUUUUUAGGUCUGAAACAUGUCGAACCUGAUCAAUUGUUCUGAAUGUCUCAUCCCGUAGCCUAAAUCUGAAAUGGCCGACCCAGCAAUACGACAAGAAUGGUUGUUUUUCAUUACAACUCUACCUUGCUAAAAUAGACUCAUAUGUCUGAAAGAAAUUCCGAUUGGAACACAUAUGAUGCGAACAUGCUGAAUCGAGAAUCCACUCCUUGUCAGGCCUAGAUUUCACAUCAGAUACCAUGGUUAACAUCACAUCUCCACGGUCUAAAAAAUCCUCAACUAUAUUUGUUUCGUCCUAAGUCAAAGGUUGUACUCCACGAUUUGCAACUAAAUCACCUUUAGCCUGCAACUUAUCACAAUCCUUCCGAAUAUGUCCUUUACGUCUACAGAGUACUAAGUGAGAUAAGAUUCCUUUUCAAGUCUGGAACAUGUCGAACUUGAUCAAUUGUUCUGGCUGUCCCAUCCCGCAACCUAAAUUUGACUAGAUUAAUCCCAGCAAUACGGCAAGACUGGUUGUUUUCCAUUAUAACUCCACUUUAUCGAAUAGCCUCAUAUAUCUGAAAGAAAUUUCGAUUGGAACACAUAUGAUGUGAACAUGCCAAAUCGAGAAUCCACUUCUAGUCAGGUCUAGAUUUCACAUCAGAUACCACAAUCAACAUCACAUCUCCGCCGUAUGAAAAAUCCUCAACUACAAUUGUUUCGUUUGAAGUCAAAAGUUACGCUCCACAAUUUGCAUCUAAAUCAUCUUUAGCCUAUAACUUAUCACAAUCCUUUCGAAUAUGUCCUUUACGUCUGUAGUAGAAGCAAAACAAAUUGUUGUUAUUCCUCGAUCUGCCCCUCCAUCGACCACUAUGAGAUACAAGAGCUUCCUCAUCCCUCUAUAUAACUCCAACCAAAUGCUUCAACUUUUUCUUUGAGUGAAAAUCAUCAUAGACCUCGUCUAUAGUCAAAGUAUCUCGACUAUACAAAAUGGUGUCCCGAAAUGACGCAUAAGAGCCAGACAGAGAACGUAACAGGAUCAAGGGAAGAUCUUCUUCAUCGUACUUAAACUCCAACGUUUUCAAAUUUGUGGCAUUUUCCUUGAAUACGGUAAUAUAGCUUCCAAUGACCCUCCUUCCGCCAUGCGAUGGGAAUACAACUUCUACUCUAAAGCUAGUUUACUGGUAAAACUCUUGAUCAUACAUAACUAUUCAAAUUUCAACCACAAAGUAGCUGCUAUUUUCUCCUUCAAGACAUUCUACAGAAUAUUGUUGGAUAGAUGAAGAUGAAUCAACAAUAAAGCCUUCUGAUCCCUUCGUUAUUUCUCCUCCAUUGUCCGAUUAGUUGGCAUCUUCUCAAAAUCCAGCAACACAUUGUCCAAAUCCAACUGCGCCAAAAUAGCUCUCAUUUUUACUUGCCAUAAAGAAAACCUUGCAUUGCAAUCCAAUGGCAGAAUAUCAUACUUCAAAGCAGCCAUCUCUGAAAACCUCAUCCAAUCCACAACAAGAACCAAGCUCUGAUACCACUUGUUGGACUCGGAAGGAUUGUAGUGAAUAGGAUUAACGACGCGAUAUGAAGUAAUGAAGAUUGCAACAAGAAACAAGAUUUAAAAGUGAAGAAAUUAACAAAGAGAGUUAAUCGCAGGGGCACUACGUUUUAUUAAUCGACAAUAUGGAGAGAAAUACAAGAACUCAACAAUUCUUGCUUAAAUAAAAUUGAAAGAGAAGACCAUUAUUUAUAGGUACAUAGCAUAGCAUAAAGAUAGAAAUAAUGUGGAAUAAGGAAAUAAUAUAUUUCCAUAAAAAUCACAUGAAAUAUAAGGAAACAAAUAUUCCUACAUGAAAAUAAGGAAACAAUUUAUUUCCAAAAAAAUUCCACCAUAAUUUGGGUUACAAACCCAACAGGAACAAGAAAAGCAAAGAGAAAAUUAGCCAAAGCAGUUUAGAAAAUGAUAAAAACCUAAAAAUAAGCAUGAGUGAAAGCCAUGUUAUACCGAAAGAAAGCACACACCAAAAAAAGCAAUCGAAGAACCAAAAAAUGGUUGCCCUUUUAACCCAAACUUUAAUAGAAAUGGCUGCAAUACGUGUAGUGCUUUAUUGAAGAUAUUACUGCAAUGAUGCAUUUCUUAAUGCAAGAGUGGAGGACUUCCAAGUCUGCCAGUGGUUUUAGUAGGUUGGGGGCCCCUGAGGGAGUCUAAGAGAAAGCUCCACUAGAAUCUGGGUGGAAAGAUAGGGAAAUGGAGUCCUAUCAGUCCAAUAAAAAUAAUCAGUCUUCUUCUUUCAUUCAGUUGAAGGAAAGGAGGGUCAAUAACUCCAUUCAGAGGAAAUUGACGACAGUAACAAGCAUAGAGCUUACCUUCCUUUGAGCCUGAGGGGACUAAAUCAUUGGAAGAGCCUAGCAAAUUCACAAUCCUAAAACAAAGAAGUUCACAAGAAUACAACAAAACUUUGGACCACAAUCAGAUGUACACCAUCCACGUGAAUUUUAUGGGAGCUAUCCCACACACAAGUGCGAAAGAUUCCAAUCAUACUUGGAGAAAGAACCAGAAAAUGGUAUAGCAAACGGCCUAAAUUUAAGAACCAAUUAAUCCAUAUGUUCACCGUGAGAACUCCGGACACGGUCCCUAUUGAGAGAAUUAGCCCUUGUUUCGAUUCCUUUAAAAUCAAAUUUUAGGGAAAAAGCAUUUUGAAAUAAUUUUUCAAGAAUGUAUGGUUAAAAAAAAAAAAUAAUAAUAAUAAUAAUAAUUGCAUCCUUAAAAUUGGAAGAAUAGUAAAAAGACCCAUCACAGAUUCCUUUCAUCUUCUUCCUUCACUCUACCCACUUCCAACCACCAAAAGCCAUUACCAUCAGUAAUUCCACCCCUUCCCGUCUAGGCUACAUUUUUAUACCAAGAAAGACUUUUUUCUUCCCAUUUCAGUUAAUCUGAAAUCCUCAUUUUCAGAAAGAAUCUAAGGCCUUCUUCAAAUUUGGUUUCGUUCCUCUAUGGUCGUUCUCGACCCAUUUACCCCACUUCAAGAACAACGUUGACCCAUUUACCCCACAUCAUAUUUGGUUGGGAAACACUACUUGGCUUGGCGCCCUAUCUGUCUAGGGCCCAUGUGGGCAUCGACAUAUAGGAGGUCUCAAUUAGGUUUCACUCCUCUGUAUGGAUAAAAAGUGACCCGCAUUGGUAAAGCAUGAUGGUUCUCUACGGAGUAUUGAAGACUAUUUAUGUUGGAAGGUAGAUGUCUUGUGGAGGCAAAAUUAUAGUGCGCUUUUCACCCCUCCGGGUCUUGUCCACACGUUGUAGCGGGAGGUCUACAGAGAGGAAAAUCGCAUCCCGAAUGUACGGCCCAAGUGUGUAUAAGUUGUAACCGCAUCCGAAUUCACCCACGUGGCGAACCAGAGGGACAGUCACCACUCUUCAUGAUUAGUCACCAAGCUCGGACACCUGAAUUAUAAAAAAAAUGACCCAUUUUCGCCAUAGUAAAAUGUCAGAUUAUCUAACCAAAACAUUUUAUGUGUUUGUAUGUUUGUUAAUUUAAGUUUGGGGUGUUUGAUAAGUAUACUUAUUUAGACAUGAAAAUAUAGACAUUUAAUAGUUCUUUUAAAGAAUUAUAGCCUAAUUUAUUGUAUAGUUUGUUUAUUAGGUAAAACUCGAUGAUUGAAAGAAGAAUUGAAAGAAAGAAGCGAAAAAGGCAAAAAAUGUCCAGCAAUGGUUGAUUUGGAUCACAAUAGAUAUUUUAAAAUUGUUUUGAGUCAAUUGGAUGCAACUAGAAGUCAAAAAGAAUGGAAUAUGAUUAGAAUAUUACCAUAAAUCGAUUUCCAAUCAUACAGGAUAUCUUCUAGAUUUUUAGUCAAGGAUUGAGACACAUUUUAGGCAUAGUAAGCAUCCAAAUCAGAAAAAUAUUAUUUCAAGGAAAAUUGUAGCCCUUUGAAUUAGCUUUCUAACACACUUUGAAUCAAUACAAUUGGAUAUCGAUAGAAAAUGUUAUGAUAAAAAUACUAACCCAUGCGCGAAGAUAACUUUCCUCAUUCGAUUGACACUCUGUUGGAAACCAAUUUGGACGUGAUUUUCAAAAAAAAUUUUACCCUAGCAAAUACCUCACAACAGAAUAACUUAAAGAGACAUCUCCUACAUCUUUCAUAUACAUAUCAUACUCUAAUACUCAUCAAUUAUUAUCAUUAAAUGAGGAAAAUUCGUAGUUUUUGUGAGAGAAUUGAAGGGAACUUGUAAGAAUUCAAUCAAAUGGAGAUUCAAACUUGAUUUUUGGGCAAAGAAGAGAAGGUUUAAGUGGAGAUUCAUCAGGAAACCAUUGAAAAAAUUCAAGAUUUCAAGAUUCAUCUUCACCUUAUCAAUUUAUCAAAAAUCCCAGUUAUGUCUUUUCACUUAAACAUGAUUUCUUAUAAUUUCGAUAAGUUAGGAUAGUUUUAUACAUUGCUAGGACGAGACGAACCCUUAUUAUGUUUUUUUCUUAGUUUUUAAUUAAUUAUAUUGACGUUAAUUUGAUUUGAUUUGUGGAUGUUUAUUAUAGUUUUUAUCGUUCUUUUCAAUUACUUGAUACCCAAUUGAAUUGUAGCAAAUUUUAUUGUUAUCAAGAGAACAAUAAGGUUUAAGCAUAAUAUAAUAAACAUUGUAAAGUUUAAUAGAGAAUAGAGAUAUACUUCUGUUCUUUAGAUGGUUUCAAUAUGUACUCUAACUCUUAUUAAUGUAUUUAUCAUGUUUGCAUCUUUAAUUAAAAAAUAGAAGAGUCACAUGAGGGGAAUAGAUUUGAUCGCUAUCGAGAAAGAUUUUAAAUUAAAUUAGGAACAUUGAUCAAUAUGAAUGAUUUCAAAUUGUCACUUUAAUUUGUAUACUAAAAAUGGAAUAACAAGGAAGAUUCAACAUCUUAGUAAUGCAUCUCACAUAUUUGAAAAAUACAUUUACUUGCUUUCAUUAGUUUAAUUAAUAAUUUAAGGAUUGGUUAGAAAAAUUACAACAUCUUGUUUGCUAUUCAAUUAUAGUUGCAAUUAAUUUUAACUCGAUCAAAUAUAUAGUCCUUUCUUUUUUAUUAAUUAUUUGUCCAUAACGAACAAAGAUCAAUUGAUCUUUCGAUUAAUAAAACCUACAAAAUAAUUAAUUUUGUUCGUUAUGGCCAAAUAAUUCACAUAGGAAGUACUUUCGAUUCCAUCUUGUAAGAACAUUUUUAUAUCCAAAUUGAAGGCAUUUAAGUUGAACGUCUAGAAGAAGUUUGAGCUAAAGAUAGCACAUUUACAAUCAUAAAAGGUCAGAGAGACAAGUUAAUUCCCAACUUUAAAAAUGGAGAAAUUCAAAUUUCAACUUUUUUCGAAUUUUGACUAAAAAACAUUAUUUCAUGGUGAACAAACCGCUAUUUGUUCCAGGUUUAGUUAGGCCAAAUUUGGUUCAUUUUCAUUAUUCUUAAUAUCAAAUUUCAUAUUUAUUUGUUUUUCCUUUUCUUGAAUUUACUAUUUUCAUGAUUAUAAAUAUUUAGCUUCCAGUAUCUUAUAUUCACGUAACAGAUUUUGGGCUUCCUAGGUUCUAUUCGGACACAAAUACUCAUGUUUGUACAUGUAUGAUGAGAUCAUUUGUGAGAGAUUUCAGAAGAUUUCUUCUUAUCAUUCUUAAGUUGAAUUAUGUAAGAAGUUAUAUAUAUUUCAAUUUUAUAAUUUAGUUUUAUAAUUUUCCAUCCUAGUGUUUAGAUUACUGUCAUUUGAUCUUGUUAUAAACAUAAUCAUAAUCAUAUCUAGACAUUAUUUCGAUUAAAAAAAUGACCCUCAACUAAAGCAAAUAUGGAAUUGACAUACGUGAGGUUGAUAUCAUUCAAUUUCCAUGUCAAUCUUUUGUUCCUUUUUACAAGCUUCACAAGACGUGAUGCAAAGAUCGAAGGAAAACAAUAGACCACUCUCUUGAAGCCCCAAGGAAAAAAAAAAUAGGAAAAGAAAAUUUAAUACUCAACAGUAGAGAUGAAGAAUUUAUAAGAAAUAAAAAUAAGAUCAAGAAAAUGAAGGUGUGAAAAUUGUAAUUAUUGAAAAGUCUUUGGGUCAUUUUUGUAUUCUAUAUUGAAAAUAGAGCUAAAAAGAUGUAACAAAGAACACGCAAGAACAGCAGAAAUGAAGCUAAGGCAUUAUGAUUUUAGUUUGUUGCAUUUUCUUGUUGUCACUGUUUCAUGGUCUAUACUCGUAAUUUCUUAUAUACCUUGUCCAAGUGAGGGCAAAGAAAGAAUAAAACUUUACCAAAUUCAUUUAAUGAAAUAAGAAUAAGAGAGUAGGGCAAGAAUAGGUUUUGGGCAUUAGCAAUGCAUUGUAUUCUGUUGAGGGAAUCGAGGUAUCAUGGAAAUUAUAGAAUAAAUUAUGAGUUUGAAUAAAUAUACGAGGGAGGGUAACAUAGGAUGCAGCAAUUCAUAUUCUCAUGUGCAAAUUGAACUUGGCUGCAAGACAUCAGGAGCAAAUACGCGUGUUUAUGUUUCAUUAGAAAGCCAUUAUUUUUCUUUUCGUGAACUACGACAUCACAUUUAAUGAUCUAAUACUUUAUUGGAAAAUAUUAACCAUUCUUUCUUAAAAACAUAUAAAAUGAUGUUGUUGCAACAAUAAUAAAUUGAAUAAAAUAAAAUAAAAAAUACAGAGUGUUAGUAUGAAUGCAUGGAACGAGCAAAACUUUACAGACAUUAAAAAAAUUAUGUAUAAGUAUUUCUACAGUAAAAAAAAAGAAAAAAGUAUUUACAAGAGUAGAAAAAUAUGAUACUCGACCAUGAAGAGCACAGCUUAUGUUAAAAUGUUCCUGAACAAUGCUACACAUAUGUCAAACACGAGAACAAUAUGCUCCACCUUCAGAUGAACAAAGUGAUUAUACUAAAAAUAACCUUCAGCUGAGCUAAAAUACAAAACUUUAACCUCAAACCUUACAAUUGCUUAUAAGUUGUCAAACUCUAUUCUUGUCUGCAAGUUCUAACUACAACUUUACAUAUUUCUUAGCCACACAUUCCUGAGGCACACUGCUUAUAAAACACUUGAAAGUUUAGCCAAGCAAGCUAUAAAAAGAAAGCAUAUACACGCUAACGACCAGGGACGAAUUUAGCAUCGAACUUCAGCUAGGGCGGAGCUUGAUGGUUGACUAUUGACCAUCGACAAUCAACUAUGGUAAUAGCCCGAUCGUUUAUUAAAAUUUGAUUAAAUAAUAUCAAAAGUUAUUCAAUAUAUAUGUAAAUGCAUUAAAACGAAAAAAUUAUAUACAUAUCAAAAUAUAAUUCAAUACAACCCAACAUUUUCUCAAUUAAAUUUUUUCAUUUAUCCUAAUUUUCUAAACAUAAAUUCCCAAAUCAAUAAUCAUAAUUCAUAAAACAUAAGUUACUUAUCAUAAAUCACAAUUCUCCAUAAUAACUCAUAAUUUACAGAAAACAUUCAUUAUUCAACAAGUCAAUACCUAAUUCUUCUAAUUCUAGAAAAAAAAAAAAAAAAAACCCCAACAAUAACAACAGAGAGAAAGAGAGUAAGAGAAAUGCGCUCACCAGUCACACCAGUUGAAGGCUGCUCAAGGCUCGAGCUCGAAGAUUCUGAUCUUCUGAGACUAGAACGGUAGUCGGCAGAAUGCGUCCUUGGUUGCGCCGACGACUCCUCCUCGCUGCCUCACCCCUGUCACCUAGCGUUCACAUCGCCAGUCAGUAGCAGCAAUUGCUGCGGCGUUGCCUCUGCUUCGAAUGAAAUUUAUAGAAUGGAGAAGGGAGGAAAAGGGUUUGCGCCUCCUUUGCGUUUCAGCUUCAGAGAAUCAAAGACAAAAUGGAUUGAAUUUGAAUGGAAUCGAUUUGGUCAUUUCAUUUGGAGUCUUAGGCCAUUUGUUGUUGAUUUGGCCAUUUGGGGGAAUUGGGCCUAACGUUUUUAAACAAAAAGGAGGCCCAAUGUGUCAAUUGUUAUCCGCCCAAACCAAAAAAAAAAAUAAAAUUGGAUCGUCUCUUCCUUUCCAUCUCCUCGGCUCUGCAACUACCAUCGCCAUCUGUUGAAUGCUACCCAGCAGUGCUGAACAUUUCGACGGAGCCAGCACGCGCGGUCGCACCCCCUCGCCGGGUGCUGGCUCCGCCACUGCUAACGACCCAAGUGACAUCAUUUCUCCCCAAAUGAAUUCCGAUUGAAUCAAAUUUAUAACUUCUUACAAACCCAUUUAUUGCAAUCGACCAAUUUUCUCAAUGGAUAUGCCAAAGAAAAGAAAAGAACAAAGACAAGACAUACCCUCUUUGUUGUCCUAAGCUGCAUGAAUAUUAAACUAUAAUGAAGCAAAACUUCAUCUCCACUUCCAGCCUCUACGGAUUAACUACUGACAACCUCAAGAGAAACGAAAAGGACCGAAAAAUUUAUGACCAUAAAGCAUAUUAAGUCUUGAUGUUCCCUGAAAUUUGUAAAAGCCAAAAUUAUCUAAGCAGACUCGGCAUAACCUUCUCUUCCUCGCUAUCCUAAAAUGCAUGAAUGUUAAAAUAUAAUGAAGCCAAGUAGCCAACUUCUCUUCCCCACUAACCUAAAAUGCAUGAAUGUUAAACCUUAAUGAAGCCACACUUCAUCUCCACUUCUAGCCUGCAUGAGUAAAUACUACUACAACCUCAAGAAAAAUGAAAAAGACCCAAAAAUUCACGACUUUGAAGCAUAUUAAGUCAUGAUGUCCCCUUAAAUUUGUGAAUCCCAAAUUAUCUAGCCAGACUUGGCAUAACCCAUAAUAUCUACAAAUAGCAUCCCUUCACAUCCAGAAUUCCAAUUCAAGGCAACCCGGAGAAUCAAAUUCUCCACAGGGACACUCCUCUACAAAUUUCAAAAUUUCAAUACUUUUUAUGAAACUAAAAUACAGAACCUAAAUCACAUUUAAUAUCAACAUAGACAACAAUAAUAAGGUCAGCUCAAAAUAUAAAAUUAGAAAAUGAACAUGAUAAAUUCACAGCAACACUUGACUAAUAUAAUUGGUUUUCUGGCUGAAAAACCAUAGUGGAGGAAGACAAAAUCUGUGGCUGGGGCAUUAGGACAUCCUUGAGGGGAUCUCUCUUUCGACUGGAAAACCAUGGCGGAGGAGGACGAAGGUAGUUUUUGACUAGAAAACCACAACGGAGGAAGACAAAGGCAGUGGAUAGGGUGUUAGGACAGAGCGUGUACUUGAGGCAGAUCUCUCCUUCAACACGUUGAGUUUCAAGAUUUGAGAACUUUUAGAAGUGAAUGAGUGUUUUCUUUGGUGGUCAAGAGAGGAAAACUGGUUACAUUCAGGCAUUCAGCCUUGGUAUAAUCUAAAAUAUGCAAUGUAGAAGAACCAGUUUGGUGAACAGUGUUUAAAAGGUGCGUGGCAUGAAUAAACAGUAAAUCAAAAGUCUCUCUUUUGAGAGAGAGUAGAUAUAUAGUGAUUAACUGACAUAUAUAUAAAUGCUGCAAUAUAUAUAUAUAUAUACUUAAAGAAAAACUCAUCAGCUGCUGCAUAAAUUUCACCCUUUGUUAGAUAUAUUAUAUUUUACACUAACUAUAUAUAUAUAAAUACAACUUAUGAUUUAUAUAACGGAUUAUGUACUGAGAUCAUAGGUGGAAGAUUAACAUGGAAAAGUAGAAUUGGGUAUAAUGCAUGGAACGUGAAAGAAAGCUCUACAUAGUUAGAACUUAUGGUUGAUGGAAUUGUGGAUGGUUUAAUAUAUAGCAAUCGGGUUCUAAGUAAACAAACAAUUGAAAAAAAAAGUACUUCGUGCUUUAAAUGAAAAGCUUGGAUUUCAGAAGAACUAUGAUAUUUACGGAAAUAGAUUGAGUUGGUUUAAGUAAUACUUCGAAGUUUAGUUCAUGAUUCCAAACUACUAAAUGACACAUUAGAAAGAAGAAAUAGACUUAAGUACUACGAGGUAAUCAAUUUUUUUCUUGAAUUGGUUAUAAGCUAUCUUUUUCCUAACAUAAGAUGAUUUAUGCAUGUAUUGUAUACUUAGGUAAAUAUUUUCUUGUGCAUUCUGGAUUUCAAAAUCGUUGUUAGUUCUUAGCUCCAUUUCGAGGUGUUUGGUAUCAUCGCCAAGAUUUUUGUGGCCAAGGACGUAAUGCAGAAAAUUUAAUGAACUAUUCAAUCUUCAUUUGCUUCCUUGAGAAAUGUAAUUGAGAGAAUAUUUGGCAUAUUCAAAUCGUGGUUCACGAUAUUUAAAUCAGCUGUAGGAAUGGAGUUUGCUUGUGUAGGAUUGCAUAAUUUUCUUCACAAAGAAUGCCAUUCUAAUCAAUUUCGUGUUGAACUAGAUAAUGAAGAUUCAUCUAUAUCAUCAUUGCUACCGGGAACUGAAGAGGAUGAAGAUGUUUUUGAACAUGAUCCUUUGAAAAUUAGCAAGUAGACGAAAUCGUGAACAAGUAAUAUAGUAGUGUGUAGAGUGUCGACCCACGACGACUAAGUAUUUGAUUGAGUUCAAAUUAAUAACAACCUUAAUCAAAUAGCAACAAGUUUUGAGGUUUCUAUACUAAUAACUAAGUUAUCAAUUAAACUAGAAAGUGAUAUAACUAAUUUUUCAAAUAUGUUAAGUAUCGCUGAGAUGUCGAAUCCCCUUGCUAAUCCAUUUUUAGCACAACAAAUUAUGGUGGCAGUUUGUUGUCGUUCUUGUUGGUUAAUAUUCCUAAUUUAAUUGAAAGGCUCACUCAAUAGUUAUCAAAUCUAUUCUCCUCGUGUGACGUUUCUAUCUCUGGAUGAAAGAUAUGAAGAUGAUAAAUGCAUUAAACGAUCAAGAAUACCCAUCCUCUAUCGAACAUUACGGUGUUUAUUAUUUUUAGCUAUAAACCUAUUAUCCUCUCGAUAACAAUAGAUUACAAUAAAUCAUCUCAAUUAGUAGCUAAUUAAUUGAGAAGUCGGUGAAAACAAUAAUAAACAUCUAAGAAAACAUACAUACUAAAUGUCAAAAUUAUUAAUUAAUACCAAAAAUCUAAUAACAAGUGUUCAUCUCAUCCUAACAUUGUAAAAUUCUAGUCAAGCAUAUUGAAAUUACAAGAAAUUAUUCUAAAUUUAAUGAACGUCACCCAGAAAUCAAAUAAUUGAAGAGAACGAUGAAUUCUUGAUAUCUCUUCCCAAUUCUUAUGUAAAUUUCCUGGUAUGGGGACUCCUUGAUGAUCUUUUUGCAAUUUCUCAAUUGAAAUCUCCAUCAAAGAUGAAUUUGUCCACUUCUUAACGUGAUUCUCUCAAAAUCACCUUGUUCUUGACGUGUUUUUGUGCAUAAAAGAGGCUCCUUAGUGUGUAUGGGACGUUCUGGUAUUUAUAUGACUCGUAUCUAAGUCAAAAAUAUCACCCAAAACCUUGUCAAAUUGAGUUUUAAUCGUAUAAGAAAACCUGAGUUUCAGCCGAAAUCUCACAUUAUGUGGUAACAUAGUACAUUGGGAUACGACCAUGUAAUGCAUUUGUUGAACUCCAAGUUUGUCCCUGCAUGAUAGGAUGCAACUGCAUAAUUCAAUUUUUUUCUGUUAGACAACCUUUAAUAUUUUGGUCAUAUCUUUCUCUCUUGCUGUUUGAUUGAAGUGAUUCAAUGUGGAUUGGAAAGCUAACUCAAAGAGUUACAAUUCUUUCAGAGAUAUCAUUUUUCUAAUUCGGAUAUUUACUAUACAAAAAAUGGGUCUCAAACAGAGAUUGAAAAUCUGAAGCUUAACUUUUUUGCUUGAAAGUUGAUAUGUGAUAAUACUUCGACUAUAUUUCAUCCCUUUGACUUAUUUCCUCAUCCAAUUGACCUCUAACACUCUCGAAUCUUCAUCGUAAGAUUUCAUACAACUUUUUGUAUUUGCACUUUAGUCCUUAAGCUUUUAUUUUGCUUCAUUUCAUCAUUUUUUUUGUAAUCUUGUUUCUUUAUCAUCCAGUUGAAUCUAAUUAAAGUCUUGACAUCAUCGGUCUUCAUUUCAUCGCCCCGUCUUAUCUAUGGAUUAUUUGCAACUUGGUCCCUGACUUUUGGAUUUCACUUAUUUUUUUUGGGUUUUCCUUUUGUUUCUUCCAAUUUCUUGUUCAACCAUUGAGUUUACCUAUUUAAUAUAAAAAUUUAGACUAUAUUUCAUCAGAGGAACAACUAAAUAUAACUAUUUAAGACUCUGAAUAAGUGUAUAAAAUACACUUGUCAUCGUGAAUAAAGAGUAAUGCAAAUUGAAUUCUACUUAGAUAAGUUGUUGUUGUUGUUGUUGUUAUUAUUAUUAUUAUUAUUAUUAUUAUUAUUUGGGUUUUAAAUGAAAAAGUUAUAUGUUUCUUUUAAUAAACGAUAAUUUAGUUUUUUAGUAUCAGACAACUUAGAUUUUUAGUAUUCAAUUUCUCAUAAUCUUACUAAUAAACUUGCUUGCAAGGGAGAUGGGGGUGAAGAGAAGUGACAUUUCAAAAGAAAUUAAGAUCUAGUGCAAAUGUACCUAGAUGAACCAUUAGAAUUUGCAAAUUGUGACAUUGAAAUAAUAUGGUGGAAUUUUAAAAUUUUCUACAAAGUUCAGUUGACAAUUUGCUUUGAGCAAUUGAGGAGGUAAAAAUACAAUUUUAAUAAAAAGUCUAAAAAUCCAUGAAAUCUUUAAAAAUCUACAAAAUAGAAAUUCAUUAAAAUCUUAUGAAAUCCGUUAAAUUCUAUUAAAUUCAAUAAGAUCCAUGUGAAUUUAUAAACAUUAAGAAAUCUAUUAAACUCUGAGUUGAGGGCACCCAUUAGUCAUUGGCUACCUAGUCAUAGGCCGUAAUCAACAUAAUUAACGGCAAACUACACUAUAUAUAUUUUUAUUUAUUUAUUUAUCAGAAACUACACAAUAUUUUAUUGCACUUUGGGAUGCUCAAGCUAGAAAAAUAAAUGUUUUUGCAACAUCGGCUCAAUAUAUGUUAUGCGGACAAUUACACACACUUGUAAUAUAAGUAAUAUUUUCUUCUUUAUAGCUUUCCGGAUUUUGAAAACACUUGACCCAAUCAACUAUUGAUUUCCAACAUGCGGAACAAAGUUGAAAUUACCAAAAUGCCCUUUGCCAAAUACACAAAAUCCUCAAAUUCCAUUUUCUAUGUAACCACUACAUGUGCUCACAUCACAAUUUUAAUCAAUGAUCAAUGUCAAAUUGCUAAACUCAAAAUUAAUUGUUUGCCAAAAAAUUCUCCGAGGUCAUGAUCGUGCAUGUUAAAUAGGUGACAAAUUCUAUAUUGUAAAUAUAUGUUCCCUAUUAUUUCACUUUAAUUCUCAAAGUAUACUGACUCACUCAUUAAUACAUUAAAGGACUCUAAGUUAGUAAUCAAAGUUCAUUACCUGCUCAGAAUUAACAUCUUAUUAACAACAACCAACUUAAAUUAAAUUCAUGCGAUCAAUUUCACAGUUUAAAUUUCACGUUGCCAAACCUAAUACAUUCAAUUUGGCACUCAAUCUUAUUAUUAAAACGAAAUACUAAAGUCAAAAGAUGAACUUUAACAAAACUUAGAUGAUCUUAAUAAAAUAAGGUGUUCAACUUUAUUUAUAGAUCAUGAACUAUAAAAUUUCAAUAGAAUUACGAAUCGAAUAUUCCGUUCUUAAUAACUAAAGCACUAGAAAUAUAAAUUAAUGUGCGAGUAUAAAUAUAUUUACUCGAAAUGCAAACACCAUCCAACACUAAUAUUAUAAAGAAAUUCAAGAGUAGAAGCUUUUCAUUUGUUAAAAAGGUUGAACCCCAAUCUUGAGAGCCCACACCGCCCCGCCCUUAGAGCUUUGUGAGGGAGGUAAAUUGCGGGAUGUGCCCUAACAGGUCAAGGAACAAGAGCUGCUUGUACACUACUCCUAUGAGAAGUCCAAUUCCAUGUCUCAGGAAUCGAACCCUCACACUGCGGCUGCGAGCAAGGCGUGAGAUAACAUCACUCCUGUCCUUUGCACCACUGGGCUAUACCCUGGGGGCCAAGCUUUUCAUUUGUUAAUUUUGUACAAGUGAUACUAUGCUUUACUUAUACACACGAGAGAGCUAUACCAUGCUUUGCUUAUACACACGAGAGAGCCAUUGAAGGAAAAUAACGAUUUUCUGAUAUCUGCUUCGCCAAAAUAAGAGCACUAACGGUCACACAGAAAUUGAUUUGCUAAUCCCUAUUUUAGGACUAGCAAAACUCUAAUUACUGUUCAUAUAACCUUCUCUAAUAAAUGCGCAAACCCCUAUAAAUGUUCAAGAAUCAGCUCUCUAAUUUCAGUCAGAAGAAGGUUUCAAAAAAUCAGAAAGACAAAAUUUGAAAAUUGGUGGCAACAACUUUCCGAAAUCAGUAAUAUAAAAACAUAAAAUUGAUUAUAAUAUAUUCAUCAAUAUAACGUACACCAAUUAAAAUCCACCCAAAAAAAAAAUAGAUUUAUUUUUGAAUGUAAGGCCACAUUUUUUUCUUUUCCCUGUGGUUUUCUACUACUACCUUGGAAGUUUUCCUCUUCAUCUCUCUCCAUUGAUUGGAGUUUUUGAUUUCGACCCAGAACUUCAAUGGCACGUAACAGCCGUUUUUUGAAUUGUUUAAAGGUAUAUCAAAAUAAUAUAGAAACAAAUAAAAAAUCAUAAAGAUUGAGAAAUUGAGUUUUAGGUAGUUAUUUUUGGAGAUUUCGGAAUCUCAAAAAUGGGGUUCUCCGACGAUUAUUGCUGAUUUUUAGCUUUCAAGCAACGACUGUAGAAUGAUAUGAGGGCUUUGAAGACCAAUGGCGAUUUGAUGAUUGAGGAUAUUAAGAUUUGAAAUUACAUCUUAAAAUGUCAACCUUAUUAAGAGUAGUAGCCAACGUCUUUAUAUUUAUAUUUUGGUUUAUAUUUUGGUAUUUAAUUGACGUGGAAUUUAUUUAUUAACAUGUUCCUGUAAGAUGGUGGCUUGUUUGAACAGAUCAAUCAUGAAAUUUGCGUGUUCAUUUUUUAGUUUUAAUUGGAUCAAAUUGGUCGUUGGAGCUUAAUAGAUUCUAAUACCAUAUUAAAAUUUGGGAUUUCAUCUUAAAAUGUCAAUCGUAUUACGAAAGUAAUCCAAACUCCUAUAUUCAUUUGUUGGUUUACAUUUUAGUAUUUAAUCGAUAUAUGAUUUAUUCCUUAAUCAAGGUUCCUUGUGAAAUGGAAUUCCAAAUUUGGUGAUGGUAGGUUUCGAUUAUGGUGAGUGUUAAAUUAUUAUUAUUAUUAUUAUUAUUAUUAUUAUUAUUAUCUUAAAUUGAAAAGUAUAAUCAGGUUUAUGUAAAAGUCAUUAAAUUUUUAAAUGAAGUGAAAUCAGUUUUAGUGAUUGUUUGGUGGGAAUUAAAAUUAGGGGGAUUUGAAAAAAUGUCCAAUUUUACAUAUCUCAAUUCAAAAAUAUCCACUUUUGAUAAUCUUUACAAAAAUGGCAAAAUUUGGCAUCAAAUUCUCAAUUUAUCCUUAAUGAAAGAAUAAAUAAUUCUCAACUUUUUUUUUACAAGUUGACACUAAUAUCGAUAAGAGCAAUGGCUUCCAUGAGAAGCCAGAAACGAUUUUUUUUUACAAUUUACCCAUGCUCGUCCACUUGCCUGCACUUUUCUUUAGAUAUUAACAAAUUAUUUUUGGAAAAUUAAAAAACAUGAAGUAGCAAGCAUUAGCAACCAGAAAGAAAUCUAUGGUUUGUACUCGAUCCAAAAGAAGAAAUAAUUUGUUUAUAGCGAUACAUUUAAUAUCAUACAAAUUUGAAUUCAAGUAGGCUCUCCUCAUUUCUGGGUAGAAGGUAUUUUUCUUUGUUAUUUGAUGUUUAUUGAGAAGUGGUUUGUCGUAGUUGUCGUUAUAUAUUUGAUUUCAAUAUGGUAGAUUGACAAAAUAAGUAGUAAAUAUUUGUUAUAACGUUCUUACAUUAUUUAGUUACAUAAUAAUUGAAAGUACUCCUGUAGUUAAAAUGUCAUUAAUUGUUGCAUAAAUUCUUUACAAAAAUGGUAGUUGAAGAUGAAGAAGAUGAUAAAUGCAUAUUGUGAAGUGGAAUAUGUCAUGUCACUCUCGACAUUUUAUAGACGUCGAGAAUGGUACUUGAAAUGUUGUUCUCUACAUUUACAAACAUCGAGAAUGUUACUUUUAACGCCAUUCUCGUCAUUUAACAAUGUCGAGAAUAACAUUACAAAUACCACGACAAAAUUAGGGAACAUUUUUUUGUAUAUUGCUUGUGGAUAAUUAACAUAUUCGUUUGAGGUAUUCGUUAUUAGUUGAUACUAUUUUUUGUUUAUGGUAUGCAGAUAUGGUUGAUGUUAUGAGAUUCGUUGUCUCCUACAGUGGUACAUUUGCCAACAUUGACGACGAGUGGAAGUGGUUAGGCAACCGAACAACAUCAAUUGUUGUCCGACGGGAUAUUGAAAAUGAAGAGCUUGUACAUAAAUUAUUUGAGAAGCUUAAUAUUGACAGACUGUAGUUUCGGAUUUAACUAAAAUUUAAAGUUCCAAACAUGAACAUACCCCCUGCUGAUGUAGCCGACGAUGAGGCUUUGUAAUGAUACAUUUCUGUUCACACACAAGCAGCUUUGUGUAUAACUGCGAAUAUGAUGCUGGAGAGCAAGAACUGACAAAAGAUGCACAUGAUACAGUCAGUGUGUACGAACUUCAAGAGCCAGAAAUGAUUGAUAACACGGGUGUAGGUUUAGGUGAAGAAAAUUUGUAUAUUGAAAAUACAAUUCAGUCGAUCGAUCAACAGAAAAUUCACGAGAAUCUGAUUUUCUUUGCCAAGAAACAGUUGCACACAAGACUUUGACUAAAUGCUUUGACAGAGAAGUUUCAUUUCAAGGUUAAAAAUUCUAAUCCCAGAUUUCUUACUAUGUGCUGCAUCAACACCACGUCCCAUUGGCUACUGCAAGCAUCCAAGAUAAAAAGUACAGACUUCUUUAAAAUUCAAAGGUACAUACCUGAGCACACAUGUUCUUUGGACGUUUGAUGGAAUGCGCGAAUUCAUGCAACAAGUGCAUUGAUUAGGCAUCACAUUACCAGACGAUUGGCCAAUAGAAACCAACCAUACGUUCCUGUGGGCAUUGUCUGGGAUAUACAAUGUGAGUUUGGUGUACGAAUUAGAUACAGUAAAGCGUGGCGGGGUAAAGAGAAGGGACGUCAAAUUCUUCAUAGUUCACCUGAAGAGAGUUAUCAAAAAUUGCCUUCAUACUGUCACAUGUUAACUAAGCGAAACCCAGAAACCAUCUCACAUAUUGAGCUCGACCCCAAUAAUAGGUUCUACUUUUUCUUAGCAUCCGGACCAAGCAUACGUGGUUUUCGAGAGCACAUAAGGUCGGUAAUUUGCGUUGACGGGAGACAUUUGAAGGGUUGGUAUAAGGGAACACUACCAGUAGCUGCAACGCAAGAUGCCAACAUGCAAAUAUAUCCUAUUGCUUGGGGUGUUGUCGGAAACAAAUGUAUCAGGGUAUUGGUUCUUCAUGAAGUUGAAAGAUAUUGUUAAUGAUUCAAAUCAGCUAGUGUUUGUAUUCGACAUGAAGAAUAGCAUUAAACGACCAAUUACGAUGCUUUUCCCGCUUUCGCACCACGGUGCUUGCAUAUGAUAUUUCGAGAAAAAUCUCAUUGCUAGGUAUAGUAGUCAAAAUGUCAUAUUCCUUUUCAAAAGUGCAGCACUCGCAUACCGCGUAUCAGAAUUCCAACAAAUGAUGAGAUAGAUUAGGACCAUUCGGCCAAUAGUCCCAUCUUAUUUGGAACGUGAUGGUCCAUCUACUUGAUCACUGGCAAAUUUUGUUGGUAAUCGGUAUAACAUCAUGACUAAUAACAUUGCAGAAUCAUUGAAUUCAAUCCUCAGGCGGCAACGAAGUUUCCCUAUCACCUCGUUCAUCCAACAAAUUGCGACAUUGAUGCAACAAUGGUUCUUUGAGCGGAGAAACGCAUCUGCCAACUGUUAUACUGUCCUGACAUAAAAAAUGGAGGGAGAAUUGAGACAAUCUUUUGAAGCCGGUGCAACCUUGGAUAUACAAAAUUUGGAUGAACUCGUUUUCGAGGUUGGCACAGGUAUAGAAAUGUGUACUGUCGACCUUAUAGGUAAGACAUGUUCAUGCUGAGAGUUUCAGAUGUGACAAAUUCCAUGUGCACACGUGUCCCGCGCUGCGUGCUCAAAAGGUAUAUCAUUGUACGACUUUUGCUCCCGUUACUACACUACCGAGUGUUGGCAAGCUUCCUACACCGAACUUCUUUACCCCGUUGGAAUGGAGUUAGAUUGGAUUGUUUCCAACACUAUUAGUUCCAUCAACAUUUUGCCUCCAAAUAUACAUAUAGCACCAGGUCGCCCUCCUACUCAACGUAGAAGGUCAAGAACUGAACGGUUUACCAGCACCCGAAAAUGUGGCCAAUGUGGUGGUUUCGAAUACAACAGGCAAACAUGUAGGAACUCGACAUAGAGAAGUAACACGUACACUUGAAUUACUAGUGUAUUUUGUGUAUGAAAUCAUUUGCACACAUAGACUAUCCAUGUGUUCAAUAGAUUUUUGUACAUUUUAUCGUUUCUAUCAUUUUCUUUCCAAAUGUAAUUGUUAGGUUUGAUUUUGUGUAUGAAAUGAUUCCCUAACAUAUAUUAUCUACGUGUUGAAUAGAUUUAUGAGCAUUACAUGCUUUCUAUCAUUUCGUUUCUGAAUGUUAUCGAUAGGCUUCAAUUUUAUUACCACGUAAUUUCAUGAAGACAAAAGUUAAUAACUGUUUUAGUACCGCUAUUUUCUUCGUUAUUAUAUACACAACUUAGUAAUGGAUACAAAAGAAAGUCAUGCAUGACUCAUUGUCUUAUUCACUAGCCUUACUAAAUAGUCGUCACAACAAAAGUAGGAAACCACUAUGUGUAUGUUUGAGAUCACUGCACAUACAAAUUGGUCGUCACCAAAAAAAUUAUCCAUUAUCUAUAUACCUAUAAAUAUGUCAUUGGAUAUGUUUAGACAUUAUAGAUAUACGAUUAAACCUUCUACAUGUCCUCCACAAUGGAUAAAGAGGACAUAACACUGUCAUUGUCAUUGUCGUCGUCCGAGCUUAUCACUAUCAUGUCAUCAUUUCUGAUUGGAAUCGUCCCAAAAUUGUCGUCCACCAAAGCUUAGUUUGCUUCCUGUGGGACCUCCAUUGGUACGUUGUUACGAUCGACGUUAUGAUUACCAUCUCCAACAUGCAGCGGCACAAUUUCAUCGAUUAGAUUAGAGAACGGAAUGGGGUGAAGGCAAACCCUACGAUGGCUGUUCAUUGCUUGAGGAAUAUAUGGAGCAAUGACUUCGAUUUUUUUGUCGUCUUCUGAGUCGAUGAUGAUGGGGUUGCCCACUGAAGAGCCGGGUAUGGAUACAUUCUUGACAACAUCAAUAUGUGGAGUCCGUUCAGUUGAUGAAGACAGAUUCACCGGAAGAACUUGUUCACGUUAAUUUUGUUCAAAGAAACAUGCUUGCAUAUUGAAACCAAUUCUAUUAUUUUAUAGUGAACGCUGAGGUGUGCAUUACUGCAUUAAAAGUCCUCACACCAAUUCCACCUACGUAUAUUUACAUUUGAUUAACAUGCUCUGUUCCCAUAAUAUCUCCUGCUUGUCUUAUCCAUCAAUCUUAGCCUCCAUUUCACCCAUUUUCGUUCCAUUGUUAAUACUUAGAAUAGUAUUUAUUGAGAAAUGUGUAGUCCCAAAAGUAGGAAAAAUUUGAACAAAAAGUACAAAUCGAUGCAAUUCACGACAUUUCAUGUCGUUCCAACACUUCAAUAGUUGUUAUCGACAUUCGUAAUCCAAUCGUUCGACACUUGAACUUACAUUAGAUAUCGCGUUAACAUUUGGACCGAAAAAGGAAACGAGACAUUUCUCGACAUUUCAUACAUUUCUUAACGUUUGUCAUGUAGUUCUCGACAUUACAUGCCUUCAUAUCUUAACACUUGACAUUACAUUUUUCUAGAAUGACAAUACGAGCAUAAAAAACACAUAAAUAUAGCAAUGAACAACCGUUCAUGAACACCGAUGGUGAAAUAUAAUCAACGGUCAAAUAAUCAAAGUACAGCUAGCUACUAUGACUUUUUCACUAUCGGGGAUAAAGAAAGUAUUCGUUAUGACAAAGAUCUACCACAAUAUUUUAUCUAUAUAGUGACAUCCCGUCUGCUGAAAUUGAUUCUAUUGGAUGCCCUAGAACGAAGCAUUCUACAUAUUUAAGUACAAAGAUUACGCAAUUUGGCAUGUACAAGAAAUGAUUUUACGUUAGUCGAAAUUAGCAUAUAUGAUAAAUUAACUACAGUAGUAAAUAACAAGAGUUGAAAUGCUCACCCAUUGUUUGUACAUGGUAGAUAAGGUAUAAUCUCCAGCUUCGUUCGUUCAUUUCUAUGUUUAUUUAUAUUUCGUCUAGUGAAAAGGGGUGAACGUUGCAAUAAUCCUUGAACCAUAGUACAUGCUGCUUCUACGUGUGCCAUGAUUGCAUCUGGUGUGUGAACAUUAUUGCUGCAAUCGUAUAUGUGAAAUUUUCAUUCAGGAAUAUUAACCAAAAAAAGAUAACAUUCAUUGUCUGGAUAUGAGCUUGGAAUUAAUAAAUACUUGCAUCUCAUCCACGGACGACCAGCUACAGGCAAUCUACCUUUGACGUAGUCUUGUAGGUGAGUUCCAUCCAGUUGACCUCUCUAGUUUCCCAUUCGAAAGUCCAAUUGCCACUUCAUAUGAUGAGAACACUCCUCUUCAAAUUGAAAGUCCAAAAUUGCAUAUUUUUUAUUGAUGAGAGUACAACCUUCAUUCAUACGCUGCCUUAAUAACUUCAGCUCCAGCUCAAUAUGCUAAUGAAAUAAAUACAUAUAACAUAUAUUAGACAUAUUAAAUUGAUUGAUAUUGUUAACCUUCACUCACCGCAAUAUUUAGAUCCUUCGUCGGAUCCAUUAAAGUUCUCAGCAUGUCUCUUCUAUAGACAUUGCCACUGCCAUCAUUCAAAUAUGUACUGUAUAAAAUAAUUUAAAUUACUGUCGAAUAAAUCAACAGAGAAUUUUUGACAUUGAUAUAAUAAUGUUUAGUAUUCGGACUAUUAAGAAUGAGUUAAAUUUGUUACCCAUAUUGAUUUCUCAAUAUCCAAUUUCUAAUAUUUUGGUAUUUUUUUCAUGUCGUAGUCUUCUAAGGGACGGCCUGUGGAUGACAAAGACUGUGUGUAUUUCCUCUUCUUUUCCCUUUCUCUUCUCCACAUUUCAACACUUUUUAUUGGUUGAGACUCUCCUGUGGUUGAUCAGUAGGAUUUGGACUUACAUAGGGAGGAACAUCCUGCUUCAUGGAACCUAUAAUGGCUUUCAUGUUGGAUUCCCAGUUAGAUAAUAUGUUUAGCAUAUUCUCAUUCUUUUCAUCAAUGUAAGAUCUCACAGAAUAUAAAUUGGUAUCAACAUAUGAUUGCAUGUGGUCUUGUUGCUGUUGGAAUAAUUCUUCUUGCUUUUGGAGAAUUGCCUGAUAAUGGGUUUUUUGUUGUUGCGAUUUCUGGGCAAUAUGAGUGUUAAACAAAUUUGAUAAAGAAUUAUCCAUGUAUGAAUGCAUACCACAUUGUAUGUAAUUUUGCAACGAUUUUUUAUGUUGUUCGAACAGCUGGUUUUGGCUUUCGAGGAUCGCAUGAUUUAGGGCUCUUGAUUCUUCAACAAAUUCUGCCUUCAAGUUGCCACAUAGAUCGGACACAUUUGAUAUCAUAUGCUACCUGUACAAAUCUAACAUUUCUUCCAUUCGAUCUUCAGUUACAUAUCUGGAGGCACCAGAAGCAGAACUAGGCCCAACUCCAGUUAAAGUUCUCGAUGUACCACGACUGGUCGUUUCUUGCACACGGAUGUUAUCCGGUAUUGGUUGUACUACAUUAUCUAAUUCUCCAUUAAAAAUGACAUCUAAUAUACUAUGUUCAUUGUCAUCUGGUAGUGAAAGACUUGUGUGCCACGGUAUUUGUAAUUCUUCUUCAGUAGGCUGCAGCACUGCAAUGACUUCGAUCUAUAAUCAUAGCAAACUAUCAAAAUCAAUUUGUUGAAUUGAACUUGUUAAUAAUUAAAUGCAAAUGUCAUUCUACAUUGAAAAGAAAAAAAAUUCAUGCCUCUUCAAUAUCCAAAAAUUCCUUAACAUUCGAUUUCUUGAGUAUUGUAUUAGGCCUCCAAUUAUACAUUCGUGGAAUCUGCACUGUUUUGUAUCUACGAUGACCAAACUUUUAUCCAAUCUAUGGAAACACUUCAUAUAUCCAAUACUGCAACAUAAUUAAAGAUAAAUGUGAUGUAUAUAAUUUAUUCUUUGUAUAAAGAAAUUAUACAUAAUACGUCAAUAAUUAGAAUAUGAACAAAAUACUUGAAAUGCAAGUGGACAGCGUUGUAGUGCAUACUUACAUUCUGUUUGUUGGUUCUGUUGCAUCCUUAGUAUUCUUUCCAAUUGUGAAUCUUUCAAUGAAUUUAACAAAAUGAAAUAUGUUUUACGGCCCCAUGGAUACGUAAGGAACUGAUGAAGAUGUUCAACCAUGUCUAGAGUUCUAUAAUCAAUUUGUCUUGAAGUCGGUUUCAACACACACUCAACCAACAUAACUAAUCACAGCUUAAAUUUUUCUUCUUCAUCUUCACACAUGUGGAAAACUUCAAAAAGCAUUCUAUUGCUAAUUCUUUUUGCAUUAUUGAAGUAUUGAUAUCUAAGACGAUCGUUAUUAUAAUCAAUUUCUAUGGAUGGUUCAUGGCAAGGUAGUCCACUAAUGAGGAAAUUUUUUUGCAUGCCAAACAUAACAAGAUGGUCAUCUACCAUACCCAAAAUUCAUUAUUUUUGCCACAAUGUACAAGUUUCAUUAUAAAUUUGUGUAUUAACUUACUAGUAAAUUAUUCUUCUUCUCCUCCGAAAAUAACUCCGUAAAUAAAUUCAUAAAAAUUACUACACACCAAAGAACAUUGUUGAUUUGCAUCUAUGAAUUCUACAAAAUCUUUGACGUAUUCACGAUUUGGAUACUGAACGAAGGUAGCAGAAAAUCAUUGUUUUGGAGAGAGAAGGUAUUCUAAAGACAUCCGCAUAAAUUAUAUAAGAAUUAAUAUUUUUAAACAAAUCUAAUUAUUUUUUGAGGAAUGCUUGUAUACUAAACAUACUAUAAGUAAAUGUCAAAUUAUUCAAUAAUUAAUAUUUUCAUUUGAUUUUGCACAUCUAGUAAACCAAAACAAAGUACUGUUAAGUGUAAAAUUAUUUAAGAAUCAAUAUUUUCAAAUAAAUAUAAUUUUUUUUUUUACAUAUCUUGUAUACUAAAAAAACUAAAAUUAAGUGUAAAAAUGUUCAAAAAUUAAUAUUUCAAAAAAAUCUAAUAUUUUUGUUUACACAUAUAGUAAAACAUACUAAUAGUAGGGGUGGGUUUAAAAAAAAAAAAAGGUUUCAUGAGCGUCUCCGUCACGGUGAUGGAGACGCUGUCUCGUGAUUAAUGGAGAUAAUUUUUUCAACUAAAUUAUAUUUUCGUGCCACAAAAUUAUAUUUUUUUCGAUGAUAUUCAAUUAAUUGCUAAGUAGCACAAAUCUCGAACACAAAUUUUAAAUUACUGACCUUUUUCGAUCAAAUGACUGCCUUUUUUAAGUGAAUGUGGGAAAAUCUUUUCGGCUAAAUGUCUUUCAGAGUGAAUGUGAGAAUGAGACUUUAAUUAAAAUGUGUGGAGAGUGAGUGAACGUGACAAUUAACUCUAGCUAAAUGUGUGGAUGGGAGAGUGAAUGUGAGAAGAAGUAGCUAAAAGUGUGCAUGUGACAAGUCCUAGCUAAUUGUAUGAAAAAAAGAGUAAAUGUCAAAAUGAAAUUUGUUGUGUUAUGAUAAUUGAAUGUUGUUGAUAGAUUCUGUACAUAGUGAAUAUAUUCACUUGUUAUGUUGUGAUAAUUGAAUCUUUUUCACACAUUAUGGAUAUAUAUAUUUGGUUUCUUUACGCAUCAAUAUUGUGACUUGUUGUGUUGCAAUAAUUGGAACUUUUUGACAAAUUAUAAAUUUCUUUAAUUUAUUAAAGCUAACCGAGUUAAUCAAAGUUUCCUUAUACAUAGAGAGAGGUGUAAAGAAUAUUGGAGGUGUAAUCGCAUUAUAAGAACUCAAACCAACUCCCACAUUUUGAUCGUGUUUAUGGUGUGUCCCCAUAUAUAUCUUUACAUUUCAUCGUGUAUUGACAUUUCAUCGUGUAAAAACAUCUGAAUUGUCGUUAUUGAUGUUUGUAAACCAAAUAACUCAAUAGUUGAUGUGCAUGUAUGAAUUUUGGAGAUUGCAUUUCAUAUCUUAGAGUUCUAUACAUUUCAGACAUUUCUCGACUUAAAAAAAAUAUAUUAAAAACAAAAUGAAUUAAACAAAAGAAAGUUACAGAAUUAAAUAAAGAAUACAUAGAUAUUAUUUAAUUGAAAUUGAAAUAAUUAAAUUUUAUCAUAAAGAUAAAAGAAUUAAAAAUAAUUUUGAUUCAAAAAAAAUUAAAAUAAAUGAAGGAGAGAAAAUCUUUCUCCAUAACAGUCUCCAAUAUGGAGAGAGAGAUUCUAUGUUAUGGAGAAGUUGUUCUGCAUAACACGGAGAUGAUCCUCUUCGUAUUAUGGAUAGAUUUCUCUCCAUCACUUUGUUCCUUUUUCCAUAUAUUUAUUUUUGUUUAUAUGGAAAAUAUUUUUUUCCCGAUUUCUAAUUUUUGUAUUUAUUUUCUCUUAAUGCUAAAAUUUAUUUUUUUUCAAUUUUAAUUAAAUAUUAUGUAUAUGUUCUUUCUUUAAUAUUUAAUAUUUAUAACUUUUUUUGUUUAAUUUAUGAAUUUUUUUUAAAAUUAUUAUAUCACCCAUUUUUCCUUCUUAUUGUAAAUAACUUUUUGUUCGAUUAAAAAUUCUUUUUAAUUCUUUUCAUUUUGUAAGAUAAAUAAAACUAUUUUAGUUCAAACUUUGUCAAUGUUUAUAAUUUCUACUGAAGUUUUUAUGUAUAAAAUUUUACAUUGCCAAAAAAAAAAAAAAAAAAAAUUUGACAAGUUUAGGAUUGACUUUAUCACUUGCCAAUUUGAAGUGAGAUGCUGCAUUUAAUUCUAACUGAGUUAAUCAAUUUUUCCUUGCAUCUCCUUUUUUUAUAUUCGAGUAGGAUAACAAAAGAAAGAAUUAAUCUUUUGUUGUCAUAAGUAAGAGCUUCAAAAUACAUAAUUUAUAUUUUCUUUUAAUUCUUUAAUUUAUUUUCAUAUACAUAAUCACACAAAAUCACACAUAUGUUCACAUAUUAUUGAAACUAAUUGAAUGAACGAGUACCGAAUUUUUAUGCUUUACAAAAAUACGUGUGACGUUAGCAUUUAUAUUGAAACAAUAUAUUUCUUGAUAUGUCAUUCAUUUCCUGACAUUUGAGGUUUAGUUCUUGACAUUAAAUGCCUACCAAUCUGGAUACUUGACAUUACAUUUGUAUAGAAUGACAUUUCAACUAAAGUAUAUUAUUUCUCCACAUUUCAUUAGAACAUUGAUAUUUGAUGUGUAGUUCAGGAUAUGAAAUGCCCGCAUUUCUCGACACUUGAUAAUUCAUUUGUGUAGAAUGACACGUCGACUAUGAGAAAAACAAAAUACAGCAAUGAACACAGUACAUGACAAUUGUUUGUGAAAUUUAAUCAACAGUCACCUAAUCAUUACAAUGCAUGUCGGUAAAACAUGUACUCUCUGUACCAACAUAUGAAUCUCCAUCAAGAAUAUUUACAAACUAUGGACAACCAUGUGAAAAAUAGUUACUACAUCACAGUAGGUAAGGCAACACAAUGAGAACGAAGAUGCGAAGACGUAAAAUAGCAAUUGAAGUCAUUAUAACCAAAAGCAGUUUAUAAUGUUUUUUGACUGAAAAAAUAGAUGUUCUGGACAACGCCGAUUAGUCUGAAUAUUUACUAAUGCAUAAUACAAGUCCACUAUAGGAAAUAAUAAAGUUAUAAACUAUUUUCAACAGAUAACCUUCCGAACAUGCCACUAACAUAUAAACCACAAGUUUGCAUCUACAAAAUGUCGGAUAGCUAGUCUGUACCAUGAACAAAAAUAUGAGAAUUGUAGUGUACACACACUACACACCCUUCUUAUCUCUCUUGCGAUUGGAUUGACUGAAUGGUGUCUUAGUGUUUGCACUAGGCAUCUUCAGUAUCAACGAUCGAGGUCUAUGUAGGGAAGAUCAGCAAUCUUCGACGGCUCAGCACGGAUGGCAUCAUCAAUUGGCGAAGCAUCGAUGGAGACAGCAACUGUAAGUACAGUGUUUGUAGUCUCUAUUACACUAUCUGGAGCAAUAUCAACUGACCUCUCGAAUCUAACCCCAGUCAUCGACAUUCUGAACACAUCAUUGGUUUGGCAACCAACUGCUUUGGUUGUACCUUUUAGAUGUCGUGUGUCCACUUUGGUAUGUGGCAUGAAAUUGUGAUCGUAACCAUCAUGGUGGGGCACAUCUCCACCACAAUAAUCCUGAAAUCUACCAUACUCAUCGGCGGCAUUGUUCCCCCAAUGUUAGUAGCCAUUUCAGAAAGCCUACAUCGGAUCACAUUGACCUCAUCAGUCAGAUGCUGCCUCAAACUGUGCACAUAAGUCCCCAUAUCAUUUUCCAAACUAGCAAAUCUCGCAUUCAUUUCCUCCUUCAACUUAUCCAACCUACACUCAAAGGCCUCUCUUUGUUCAUUCAACAGAGAUAUGAUCUCAUCCGAAGACACGGGCUUCACGGGUGCUCGGUGGCACCCCGUAGAAGAAGAUGGACGGUCGAUGACUGGGUCACCAUGGUCUUCAUCUCCACCUUCAGCAGGAUGCAUAUCUCAGAGAUGAACUCCACUUGUGUUGCCUCUCUGAGACUUUUGUCGUUAAUUGUUGUUCACAUUGUGCAUAACUUCACCUUCUAGUGGGCAAUCCUAUAUUUCUGUUGACUGAACAACGAGGCUGUCCAGAGCUUGGUCUGCUUUGUCUGGUAAAGCAACCAAACCAGCAAUAUAUGGCUGUAAUUCUUCUGCAGUAGUAGCGCGCAGCGUCGCCCAUAAGUGCACCUGUAAGGGAAAGAAAAAAUUGUCGAAAUGAAAUAUUAGUCAUUCUAAAAUUGUAACAUGAAUUUUAUAUGCAAAAUGCUCACAUGUGUUUUCUCGAAAAAGUCUGAAUAUGUUCUGGAUUGAGGUUGUCUUGUGACAGUCCAUCGCAACAUCCUCAGAAUAUCGUCACCCGUCUUUGUUGUGAAUCGAGCUCUUAGCUCCGGGAUAGCCUCGUACACCCACAACUUCAUGACGAACAGAACGAAAGUUACUAUAUACAGAGGGACAUAACAUGGGAUGGGAAAAAUGAAAUGAAAAUAUGGAACAUGUAUACCUGAACAGCAAGAGGAAAACCAUCAACGUGUAAGACAUUCGGUCACAAUCGUGGACCUUUGCUAAGUCUGUCUUUCUCUCUCAUCCAUGAAGAAGUGAUUUAAGAAGAAGUUUGAAACACACUAUCCCCCAUGGAUAGGCAUUGAAGAAAUCCAAGUCAUCCACAAUGGAAAGAGUUUCAGGAUGUAUCCCCAUAUUUUUGUUUCUGCAAUUGAAGACCCCUUCAAUGAUCAGUGCCAACCCAAGUUUGUAAAGAUCAUUACAUUGGGUACAUUUCAGGAAAACGUUCUCCAGGUCAGUACUCGUUACUCGGUCUCUAAGGGUAAACAGUUUGUCCCAUAGCCGGGUUUUUCCUAGGAUGUUGUCCAAAUUAUCACCUUUCGGUACUUCACCACACUUCAACCUAGUGAUUAAUGCAAACUCUGGCAGUCCAAAUCUUGCAAACCUUUGGUUCACCUUGAACCAAACCUCGAAACUUUUGCUCGAAAACACUGAGAUUUACCAUUUCGUGAAUUAAUUGCUAGACAGUUUCAGCUCCGACAACUUGGCAACAUGUCCUAUGUAACUUUCCUUGAACAUACGCUUUUGUUGUAAAUCUUGUUUGUUGAGGACAAUUGCUAUGUAAUUCAUGUUGCUGACCUGUGAAACCUGCGCCAAGAUGCGCUCUUCUUCCAGUACUUUGAAUCGAUGUGAAGAAGUCAUCUAUAUAUAGCAAAGAACACAUAAAAAAGUAUUAAGAAAAUGUAAGAACAAAAAAAAUCUAAGAAACGACAAGAGGAAAAAAAAUAAAAACCAAGUAACCAUUGAAAAUGCUUGGUAUCUAAUCGAAUAGGUACCCAUAAAGCAUAGUGUGCAAGAUACUCAUAAAGCAUAGUGUACAAAUUCAACGGAAUGCAAUACAUUAAAAUUAAAACUACCUUCGAAAUGAUGACUAAGAUCUAUGGAUACAUUAGCAUCUAAUGCGUGAUCACAAAGUUCAAUUUCAAAUUCAGCUUUCUUUUAAAGAUAGUAUGAGAAGUGUUUGUAGACGUGUGCUUUAUUCAUGUGUAUGUGUGUAACACAAGAAAGUAAGUAGUAAUGUUUACAACUCAUUUAUUUUCCACGCAUUUAGCCUUCAACUUGAAAAGAAGGUUAAGAUGGCAAUUCUCAUGUGCUCGAAAUCAAUUGUUCAUCGUGCACAAAGUAAUCUACACAUUAAUAGUGCAACUGCAUCAUAAAACUAUGAAUUUGCUUUUGCACAGAACAAUGUUAUUCACUUAUCACUUAGUGUGAUGGUUUAAACCCCAACUACAAAGGAAUCUUGUGAGAAGAGAAAUUAAUUCGUCUGUUAAAUAAUCUAUACAUGUCUAUAUGAGGCAAGGUUAAUGGCUUUGAAUUGGAGUCCGUUAAAGUGAUGGAUAAACACGUACAGGCAGCCCAUAUAAUUUACUUUACACACAUAUUUGGAGGCAGCCAAGAAUAUAUUACACAUACACGCCUACGAAAAAUGAGGGGGCAGCCAAUAUUUCACAUUUUUACACACAUUGGAGCCUGGAAAAUGAGGAUUACAUGUAUACAUAAGAAUCCCCUUAACAGUAAAACAUUGGUCAGCUGUCGUUAAUUUAUAUUGAUAUACACGCAAAAACAGAGCAAAAUAAGAAAAAAUGAAGGCUGUUGCUGUCGGUAGCUGUUCGGGGAGAAACACAGAGCCAAUAUACAUGCCAAGAAUUGCUGGCUGCCUUUAUUAUCUAUACAUAUUCAUAGAAAACCAAAGCACUGGAGGAGAUAUGUAUACAUGCAUAGGAGGAAUUUAUUGGGCUACAUACACGCACAGGAAAUUAAGUUUAUAUACCAAGUUUUGAGCUAAUUAAUUAACGUAUACACAUAUAUAAAACAUAAUAACAAGGAGUCUACUAAACUCUAACUAAAAUUUGCAACUAUCAAAAAUUAAAUACAACAUUGUAAAAUCAAAUCGAAUGAAAUACACAUUAAAAUUACAACAGCAAACAAUAAAAAAAAAAGAUGUAUUUAUGUAAAGUUACCUUAUUGAAGGUAACUAACGAAGAAGAAAGCGGUUAGGGGAUGAACGGAAAGGUUAAAGGUGUGGCAACUCUUCACGGCAGCUCUUUACUUCCAAUUAAAUCAGUAAAUUGUAGCCUUGUAUUUCCAGGUUUCUAAGCUGAGAGAGAGGAUUUCACAUUUAGAUGAAAAUUGAAUGAAGAAAAGGAAUAGAGUUUUAUGUUUUCACCUAACCCAUUUUACAAUUCAAAUGACCCGGUUGACUUAAUUAAUGUGAUUGACAUUUGUACUUUUUGAAACAAGUAGCAUAGGUUAUGUAUCCUAAUUUUAUUGGCAAUUCUUAAUGAUGAGACACAAUUUGAAUACAACUUUGGAAUUAGAAAUUUCAGGCAAGGGUAUUCUUGUCCAAAUAAUUGGAAAAUGGACAUUAGGAAAAACUUUGGACAUUUUUGCAAAUGCCCAUAUAAAAAUGGACAUUUCAGGCAAUUUCCUCUUAAAAAUUAUAUUUUUAGUAGAUUUUUAUAAAAGUUAAUGAAUAUGUAAUUAAAAGCUUAUUAGUCCCAUAAAAUAUGUAAUUAAUUAUUGACUCCGACUUAACUUAAAAUUAGAAUUUUAAUUUCUAUCCAACAGUAAAAGUAAAUAAGGGUAAUUAGCACAAAAACGUCCCUACCUUUCAAUAUUAUUGUACAAAACUUUCAUACCUUUCAUUUUUUGGCACUUUUACCUUUACCUUUAGUUUUUAUUGCGGAAAUCAUCAUUUUCAUCAAAUUUCUUGUGUAAAAUGACAAAUAUACUCCAUAUUUAAAUAAAAAAAUAAAAAAGAAAAGAAAAGUUAAAGAAUAAAUUGCAAUCAUACUUCCAAACCUUUUAAAAAAAAGUGCAAUUGAGUCUAAAUAAAUUAUUAAAAGGAUAAUUAGCACAAAACGUCCAUACUUUUCAUUUUUGACAUUUCACCCAUAUUUUUAUAUUUCAUUGCAAAAAAUUAUUAUUUUCAUUCAUUUUCUCAAUUAAAAGCUGUAAAAUAACAGGUACCCUCAUUUUUAAAUAAACAAAAAUAAAUAAAAGAAAAAUAAAGAACAAAUUGCAACUAUACUCUCAAAUUUUCCAAGAAAAAUACAAAUAAAUUUCAAAUAAAUAAUUAAAAAAUCACUUUCUUUUUAAAUUAUCUGGUUCAAUUUAUUUGGAAUUUAUUUGUAUUUUUUGAAAAUUUUAAAAAUAUAGUUGCAAUUUGUUCUUCAUUUUUAUUUAUUUUAUUUAAAGAAGGGUGUAUAUUUGCUAUUUUACAGCUUUUAACUGAGAAAAUGGAUGAAAAUAACAAUUUUUGCAAUGAAAUAUGAAAUAAGGGUGAAAAUGUCAAAAAAAAGAAACGUAUGAACAUUUUGCAUAAUAAUAAUAAAAGGUAGGGAUGUUUUGUGCUAAUUACCCUUUUAAUAAUUUAUUUGGACUCGUUAGGACUUUUUUUUUUUAAUAUAAAGUUUGGGAAUAUGAUUGCAACUUAUUCUUUAUCUUUUCAUUUCUUUUUUAUUGUUUCAAUUUAACAAGGGGUAUAUUUGUCAUUUCACACUAGAAAUUUGAUGAAAAUAAUGAUUUCCACAAUAAAAGAUGAAGGUAGGAUAAAAGUGCCAAAAAAUGAAAGGUAGGGACGCUUUGCACAAUAACAUUAAAACGUAAGAAAGUUUUGUGCUAAUUACCCAGUAAAUAACUAUUGCAGUUAACCCUUCUUUUUUCGAUAUAGAUAUUUUUUUAGUACUUCUGUAACAAUGGGAAAGCAAAAUGUGAUUUUUUUUUUGCACAGGCAACUGUACCUAUAUAUAUAUAUAAAGAUCAAGUAGAUUUACAAUUUUCAUUGGUGUCGAACACCAAUGUCAAAAUUAUUAGUAUAUUUUCAAAGGAAUCUUUAAAUUUAAUUAUUUUCUAUUGAAAGAGUUAAUACAUAAAAUCUCUGAAGAGUUUAACUUAUAUUAAAAUUUUAAAAUCGGGAAUGAGUUUAACUUUCUAUCUUUGAAGAGUCAAACUCGACUCCCGUUUGGAGCAUAUUACAAUGGCAUUUUUUUUUUAAAAUCUCAUUAUUCUAUAGUGAAAGAAUCAAUCAAAAAAAAAUGUAGUUGCUUUGUCGUACUUCAGUUUCCAACCAUUGUGCCAUUGAAAAUGCAUUGGAUAAAAUUACCAUCAACUAAACUCUAUAAUUGAUGCAAUACUCCACAAGAACAUCUCAAGGGCGGUUUGGGAAAUUUAAGUGAAACACCCACUGAAAAGUCAAGACCAAAUGUCGAGCAAUUGGACCUGUAUAUUAAUUAUUUAUAGAUGUGAAUCUCGUGAUUUUGAUAAAAAAAAAAUAAACAAUAAAAAGGAUCAAGCAGAUUUACAAUUUUCAUAGGUGCUUCGACACCAAUGUCAAAAUUAUUAGUAUAUUUUCAAAAGAAUCUUUAAAUUUAAUUAUUUUCUAUUGAAAGAGUUAAUCCAUUAUAGUAUACUUAAAUUAAAAUUUUAAAAUAGGGAAUGACUUUAACUUUCUAUCUUUGAAUAGUCAAACUCAACUCUGUUUGGAGCAUAUAACAAUGGCAUUUUUUUUAUUUUUUUUUUCAAAUCUCAUUAUUCUAAAGUGAAAGAAUCAAUAAAAAUUACAAAAAGUAGUUGCUUUGUCAUCAAUUUCCCAUAUUGUACCAUUGAAAAUGCAUUGGAUAAAAUUACCCUUAACUACACUAUAAUUGAUGCAAUGCUCUACAAGAACAUGUCAAGGGUGGUUGGGAAAUUUAAGUGAAACACCCAUUGAAAAGUCAAGAUUAAAUAUCAAGCAAGGUAUACAGGGGUGGGGACCACAAAUUCUGUAAAUGAGAAGAAAAAAUGGGCAAAUAAUGGGGGCCAAACGGAUGCUUAUUUUUUAUUAGUAUUUUUAUAGUGAUGCAAGAUUCAAUACUUCACUUCUUAAAUUAUUCAUGUAAUCAGGGAAGGCCGCACUAGCUCUGCCAGGAAAAGAAAUUACAUGUUAAUGAAGCUUUUAUGUUAAAUAUGUAAAACUGUUCCAACUUUCAACAAACGUGAUUGUAGCUCAUAUGGUAGGUCGUCAGUUUUGCAUGUGAGAGGCACCUAGUUCGAUUCCCCUCUUCUGCUUCUUCAUUCAAUUUUUUUAACACAAUAAAUAAUAAUUAAAUAAGUCUACGAGAUUUUAUUUUUAGUAUUGUUGGCAACAGUGUUGUAUCUCAAUUAUUGUGAAGUCCUUUUUUCACAUGUAAGAGGUAUGGGGUUCAAUUCCCUUCACCUCCUCUUCUUCUCAUUAAUUUUUUAACACAAUACAUAACAACUAAACAAUUCUGUAUAAUUAGUUUUUGUUUCUAAAGAUUAGUUUUUAAAACAAUUUGUUGACUUACUUGUAUUGUCAGAUUUUAUCAAUUAUUUUGUAAAAUUUAAAUUUGGACAUUCUUGGUACUGAUCUUUAUUCUUUUAAGGGUAAAGAGUUAGAAAAACACUUUCUUUUUCGGUAAAAUUAGCUUUAAAAAUCAUCAUUUAAAAAAUUUAUUGACUCAAAUUAUUACUUCAUAACAUAUAUAUAAUUUAAUUGUUAAGUUUUAUCCAUUUAUUUUGUAAAAUUCUUUAUUCUUUUAAGAGUUCGAAAAAUACUUUCCUUUUUGGGGUCAAAAAUAGCUCUAAAAUUCAUUGUUUUAAAAUUUGUGUCUUUAUUGUUUAAUCAAUAUUUUACACAUAAACUUCAUCUUUUCUAGCUUAGUUCAUAAAAAUUUGAAACUUGAUAAUACAUAUAUGAUUCAGAAAAUGCAUUCUUAUUCCUUAUAAUUUUGGGUUGAAUUGAAUUAUAUCUUCAUAUGUAUAUGAUUUUUACGUUUUAAUGGAGAUUUUUUUAAAAUACAAAUUAAUUAAAUAUUAGUGAACAAUAUCGUUAUAUUGAGCAGUCGUUUGAUAAACGUUUGACACUCCGCCCUAGCUUACUCAAGCGGCUGGAUCUGUCCUUGCACGUAAUAUUUGAAUAUUUUAGCUAUUGACAUCUAAACAUUAUAUAUUUGAAAAAUAAGGAAAACAUAAUAAAUGAUUGUUGAAAAAAUAAAGAAAAUGAAAAUAAGAAAUUUAUUAGAGUAUCAAAUAUUGAUUUUCUAUUAUAUACAAGAUACUCUUUAAGAAUAAAGAAACUCUUUAAGAAUAAAGAAACUCUCAUCAUAUAACUAUUAGGUCAUUUGCAAAAAAAUUCAAAUCACACCCUGAAAUCAAGCUUAAAAAUAAGGAGAUGAAUUCAGACAGAAAUGAAAUGUCACGGGUUGAAAUGAAACUUGUUUGUAUAUUCACUGUAAUAAAAUCACUAUAUGAGGGGGAAUAAAUGUCCCUCUAGAUUCAAUUAUUAAGCAAACCAAAUUGGACUUAUUUGAUUUGGUUAAAAACAAUUGAACAUGGACAAAUUAUAUUAAUUCAAGAAACAUCGCUAUUAAUUAACAGUUUAAUAAUACUAGUAGUAAGCACGUGUGUUGCACGUCUUAUAUGUAGAAUGAAUGAUAUGCAUAAUAUUUUUAAAGUAAGGUAAUUGUUCAUGUUAAAAGAAAAAAUUAAACUUGUCAAAGAAUAUACAUAUAAAUAAAAGUUUUAUGAAAAUUAUGUACAUAAAGUGAAAAUGCUGAAUAAAUUGAAAUGUAACGAUUUGCUUAUUUUAGACUUUGGUUGGACCCCUAUUUUCAACUAUUACGACGACAUCAACCAAUUUUGUGAUACAGAUAGAUACGAAAAAAAUCAAAUUAGAAGAUAUACAUUUGAUUAAGUUUAAAAUAUUUAUGUGUAAGUAAACUAAAGGUACGUAAAUAAUUUUCAAAUUAAAAAAAUUACUCAUUUUUUUUGUACCAUAAACUUAUUUACCUCAAAAAACAAAAACAAAAAAAGUAUAUUAUCUGAACAUAUUUAGAAACAAAAAAUUAUAUAUUAAUCAUGCUCGUCAUAAUAAUUCAUAGCAUUUAUUUUAAAUUAGAAACCAAUGUUACACACAAAAUAGAUAUUGAAGUGAAAAAUCUUAAAUAAAAGUUUUCCUUUCCUUUUGAAUGGUAACAAAUGGAAGAAUAAAAAUUCUUUAUUUAAAUGUACUGAGAUAAAAAUCUUUUUCUUUUGUUUAUAUAUUUAUAUAUAAUAAGUAACAGGAUUACCAUCAAUUUUUAUGCUUAUACAAAAAUGAACACGUAAUAAUAAAUACUCAAUACUAUAAUAAUUAAUUUUUAGAACGCAUAAUAUUAAAUUUUAUUAAUACUUAAAAAAUUGGAUUUACUGAAAAUGUGUAAAUGAGAUGCGAAGCUUGUAUUAGUGUGUGAAUAUAAAUAUGGGAAGUGUAAGUAACUUCUAAUUAUUAGGAGUAAUUAGUAAGGUUUUUAAGAUUGAUGGAUAAUUUUUCCCGUCAUCGAUUAUUUCUCUCCUAACUAUUGAUCGCAUUUAAGCACUUUUUUCUUUUCAAUUUAUCGUCUUUUGUAUUUAAAUAGUUAUAUUAACAACUAUUAAUUAAUUAAACAUGAAAUUUAUAAUUUUUGACUGAAAAUAUUGACAAUGUUAUAUAAGGAAAAAAAAUUAUAAAUUGAACAUUUCUCAUGUAUCUCCACAUUUUAUUUUUAUAUAUAUUGUAAUUAUAAUAUAACUAUAUAAGUAGAUAAACGUCGAUUUUAAGUGAAGCUCACGGAUAUAAAUAAUAAAUAAUAUAAUAUAUAUACAUGUACGUAUAUAAUAACAUUAUAAUAUAUUAAAGGUGGCAUUAAUGAUAGAUUAAUUAAAAUUUGAUUUCAUGUAGUAACCUUUUAAGUAUAGAGUUCAUUUCUCAUAGUGGAGUAUUCAUAAUUUUGGGUUAACUAAAUUAAGUUUGAUCAGUUAAAAUCAAAGCUCUUCUACAUAUAUAAUCAUAUUAAAAAUAUAAUAAAUACUAUUUUAUAUAAUAAUUAAUCUACCAUUAUAUUAAUGCAACUUUUAAUAUAUUUUAUUAUAUAAUUAUAAUAAAAUUACAUCUAUAUAUGUGAGCUUAGAUUUUAAGUGUAAAACUUAAUUUCAACAAUGCAGGUUAAGUAAUUAAACUUAAUUUGAUUAAUGUAAAAUUUUAGGUACUCCAAUAUAAAAUAAUAAGUAUUACACUUAAUGGAUAUCAAAUGAAAUUAAAUUAUAUUAAAUGGUACUAUAUUAAAUAUAGGGUAGAAUUGGCAUAUAGCUAAAAAUAUAAGAGAUUUUUAUUAAGAGAAUUAAUUCAAUUAAUUCAACAUGAAAUUGAAAAAUGGGUAUUGUGUAAGGAAUUCAAAUGAUAGCCUUAAAUAACCAUUUAUAGAAAUUAAAAAAUAUUUUUAAUUUAAUUAAUAGCAUUACACUUAAAUGGAUAUUAAAUGCUACUAUAUUAAAUAUAUAAAGUUAAAAUUGACAUGUAACAAAAUAUGUAAGGGUAAAACUGGUAUUCAAAAGUUUCUCCUCAAUCCGCACUUUUAAUAUAUUGUAGAUUAGAGACAAUUAUCAACUAAACUUAGAAAUUAUUUGACAACCAUUAUUGUAGAAAAAAAGUUUUGAAUAGUGAUUUUUAUGAGAAUGUACGGUUAAAAAGUAGGGAAAAGUUUUUGGUAUACUUGUAAAAUAUUUUAUUAUAUGAAUGUGUAAUUUUGUAGCAAAUCAUAAAAUAAAUUAAUGUGUGUUAAACAAGUGCGUAGUCAUAUUUGAUGGGCUAAUGAGGCGAAAAGGAUGAAUUACUUCCAUAUGUAUACAUGUCAAUUUCAAUGCAGUGAGAAUUGAGGGCUAUUGUUCAAUUUAAUGCACGAUUGCAGAACUGCUUUUAAGCAUGAUUCGAGAAGGUAAUAUGGUGUUGGACCAUGAAGGAAGGUUAAAAGGCAGAACAAACUCAAAUAAUUAGGGGAGAGGCGACUGCUCGAAGAUCGGUUGGACUUCUUUGAAUGGACCGAUUAAAGGUUCUUUAGAAUUUUAUACACACACACACACACAGAGGAAUGACCUCCUAAGUACUGGUGACGUGACAUACCAUUUAAUUGGUGAAUUAUUAAAUACAUGAGACCUACCAUUAACUUGUACACCAUUUAAUUGGUGAAUAAGUCAAUGUAGGUCCCAUGUAUUUAAUGAUUCACUAAUUAAAUGGUGUGUCAUGUCAUCGGUGAUUAACAUAAGCUAACUUAGGAUAUAUAUAACAAAUCAUGCUAAUUUUCAAAACAGGGCAAGAGAUGGAGAAAUCUGUGCAUGAAAAGAGGGCUAAAUGUGAGUUUUAAAACCCUAAUUUCCAUAAACUAGCAUAUAAAUGCUCAAAAUAUGUUGGGAAAAAAAUUGGCAGAAUAGUCCGUUUAUGGCUGAUUUUGAUCAAGUACAACUUCAAUUAAACAUGCAACAAGUCACAUUAUAAACACAUAUAUUGAAGUAGAUCGGAUUGGAUGUCUUACUCAGUCUCCUGUACUAGAUAUCGUCAUAAUAGUAAUCUAUGUUCAUUGUGUUUUAAUAGAUCAUAGCUGAAGAGCGAACAUCUGAGGAUCAUAAGAGAUUUAUUUUGUCGAUCUUAAAUAAAUUUUAUUAAAUAUAAAUGUCAUAUCACAAAUUUCUUAAUUUUUCUUUUUUAAAGACAACACAUCACAAUUUUCUUAUAAAUGUCGCAUUACAAAUACUUACUCGUGAAUCUACAUCGUCAAAGACUUAGUUUUUAACAAAUACAAUGUCACAUCAUAAAUUUUUUAGCAUUAUGAAACGAUAGAGACAAGACCUGAGUUGAACACUUAAAAACACGUGUAAGAAUUUGAUUUGAUUUUAAUUUCUAUUUUAUUAGCUCUUCUUGAUGUAUUGUCUAAAUAAUAUUUUAUUUAAUCAGGAUUGACUAUAUAUUUUCUAAGAGUUAGGGACCUAAUUAAUUAUUGUAAUUAUGUCUUAAGGGUUUUGUAACGUCGGCUGCAGCAAAAUUAAUUUGGUUUCUUUUGUUUAAAUACAAUUUUGAGAUAUCUUUCAUUUUCAGGCUUCCUUUUAUGAAUUAACAAAUCUUGAUCCUCAAUACUCAAUAUUUCUAAAAAAUAAUGCGUUUUUUUUAUCGUGUUAUUCGAACAAAUAUCACUCGUGCUACUUCAACAUACAAGCAACAAAAAUUUAAAGAAAAAAUAAGUAAAAAUGUAUACACAUUCUACAAAGUCCUCUUAGACAUAUAUGAUUUGAAUUUAGUUAAAUAUUAAUUUAUGUAGUAAUUAGUUGCAAUAUGAAACUAUAAUUAGUUUCUAUAAUUUAUUAUGUUUUCAAUUUAUUGAACUAUUAAUUAGCAUGUUGGUUAAGCAAAAAAAAUUGUCAAAGUUUUAUAAAUAAUCAUGUGAUGGAUAUAAUCACAAGUUUCUAUUUUAUUAGUUUAACAAUACAUGAAAUUUGAUAUACAUAUAAUAAAUUUGAUUAUAGCCAACUCAUCUGGCAUAGCUAUUAAUGUUACCUUGAGAGAUUUAAUAUGCCUUAAGCAUAUAAUUAAAGGAAUAUUAUCAUGAGGAAAGUAAAUAAGCGUUGUAGUCUUUUUUCCUUGGCUGAUGCUAUGUGGUUCAAAUAAUGAACUAGAUGGCCAGUAGAGGAUAACUCCCACUAUGUCAGAUGACCUAAACUAUGUCAGGUUACGUCUAUCAUGACAUGAAGACUGCUAUUAUGCUAACUUGACCGAUGCCAUGCUUGCUUGAACAUAGAGUGCAGUUGACUUUCACUGUGUCAGGUGACUUUUGCUAUGAUAGGGUUUUUACUGCUAUGCUAGAACUAGUGUCGCGCGUGGCUCGACUACUUUCAUAUCUACUCUCACCCCACUUGAUGUCCAAGAGGAUGAUCUAGAAUGUUCUGGACUAGACAGUGAUAGAAUAACCUUAUACAUUGAAAAAUUAUGACAAGCUACUGGAAUUCCAAGAAAAAAUAAUAGUGGAAUAAGAAGAUGUAACACUUUAAUUAAUUAAAAGAAAAGUCAAACCAAAAAAAAAAAAGGAAAUUAAACAAAUUAAAAGGUUGGGCGGUUUAACCAAAUCCAUCCCAAUCCAAUACAUUAUAUAUAUAUAUAUAUAUAUAGAUACACACACACAAACACAAUCCAAACCCAUUUCAUAUUCAAUACACAAAUAGAGAAACGAGAAAGAGAGAAGGUAAGAGAGAGAAAAAAAGGAAGAAGAAAGAAAGAAAAAAUUUCGCCAACAUGUUAGAAAUAAGUUCUUCUACUAUUACGCUCGAAUUCCUCAAUUUUGAAAGGUAAGUAAAAAGUUACUUAUUGUCAAGUUAUGUUUAAUUUUAAUGUUGUUAGAUUGUUAGAUUAAAUUCAAUUUCAUUGAAGGGGUUAAGUAUAAUAAACUAUGAAAUUUAGCAAAAUGAAAGAAAAACUAGUUUUAGUGAUUAAAGAGAUUUUAGAAAUCGCUCAAAUGUAAAAUGAUUAAGUUUGGGUAUCAUCUAUUUAAUUAUUAAAAUUACUUAAAAUAAUUAAUUGUUGAUUUAAAAAUUAUAUCAUAUUUCACGCGACGAUACCGACAUCGGGACAGUUUAUCAACCGAGUUGAUUUUGCAACAUAGUUCUGUGAGUGGAAAAAGUUAAACAUUUUUAAAGUGUUUAUAAAUUAAGUAUAUGUGCAAUUAUGUGUUUGAUUUUAUGAUUAUUAUAGAAGUUUCUGUUAUUAUGAUACAUGUGGAAUCUCAAAGAUUAUUUAUGGCACAUUUGUAACUUGAUAUGUAAGACAUGUGAUAUUGAGAUUUGUUUGGUAUGUGAGACAUGUAAUAUUGAGAUCGGUCUAAAAAGUACCCGUGAUUAUAUAUUUCUUCUAGUUCACAGAGGGGCCUUGGCCGUAUUCUAUCCUACACGGAGGGGUCUUGACCGGAUAUUGGUUUCGACCGUGUACUUAUAGCUCACAGAGGGACCUUUGCCAUGUUCUAGAAUUGAUUAUCAAAGGUCUUUGAGACCGGCUUUCAUUCACGGAGGGGACCAAAGGCCCGUGGAGAAAGUGGUUAGCCCGAGGGACGGAUUUACAGAUUUUAGUCUGAGGGUACAUUUUUGGUAGAUCACAUGUGAUGUGAUGAGAUGAUGUUAUAGAUAUCAACUGAUGACUAUAUCGUGAUUAUGAGAUGAUAUUUAUAGUGUUAUGAGAAUGUUUCACUGUUUGUCUAUAAUUGUAUGAGGCUAUCAUGUGAAGUAUUUAAUGAUAUGAACUUAACGUUUGAUAAAAAUGUUUAAAGGAUAAAGUAUGAUUAUUUUUGAAGUCUUUUACUCACUGAGCUAUCAACUCAUAUUUUUCUAAAAUUAUUUUUACAGGUAAUGUUGGUCCUUGAUAGCUUGAGGAGCCUGGUGAUUUCAAAGUUAGAGCCACCCAACAUGUUGAAGGAUAUGAGUCAAUUAGAUUAAACCAUGAAUUAAAGUUUUGAGCCCAUCGCAUUAUGUUUUGCAUAAGCAUUUGAUUUUGAUGCAUUUUUUGAAAUAACUCAUAGUUAGCAUUGAUGAUAGAUCUGACAUCUAGUUAGCAUUUAUUCUUGGUGUCAUAAGAUUACCUAGAGAAUGAAGAUAGAGAGAAAAACACUUACGGUUUACAAGAGAGAAGAAGAUAUAAAUGAAAAAACGAGAUUCUAUUCCUUUUAUAUAGGAAAAUUUCAGGGUUGGCAAAAAGUCCAGGCCCAUGAGCUGACCCACAUUUUAAUAAAAUUCUCUACUAUGCUGUAAAUUCAAUCUAUUUGCGAUAAUAAAAUAAUGAUGAAAAAUAAAAAAUUGCAAUGUAAUAAUUCAACAACGCUACCUCUUGAUAAUAAAUAUCGACAAAAGGUAGAGGGGUUAGUGAUGCUAUGUGGUUCAAAUAAUAAACUAUGAUGACAUGUAGAGAGAAGAUAACUCCCGCUAUGUCAGACGACUCCCGUUAUGUCAGCUGACGUCUAUCACGAUGUGGUGACUGCUGUUAUGCUAACUCGACCAACUCUAUACUUGCUUGACCAUAGAGUGAAGAUGACUCCCACUAUGUCAGGUGACUUUUGCUAUGAUAGGGUGUUUACUGCUAUGCUAGUCUGACUACCAUCGUCUGCGGGCCAACUACUUAUGUGCUAAACUGACCACUAUUAUCCAAACUACCAAAACAUCAUUGGAACUGAUGAGAAACCGUUCCGACGGUUAUCAUUAAACCCACCAUUCAAGUUAUGGGUAGAAGGUAACCACUUAACAAGUGGUUGGGGGAGGAAGCCCCCAUCCACUUUUUUGUAGGAUCACUAGAGAACUAAAGACAUCAUUUUCCUUCCCAGGAAGACAUAGAGUUGUAUCCAAACUAUUUCAUUGACCAAUGUUUUGUCCCAUUGAGUUUUUAGGCAAAGUUUUUAAUUAGACAACUAUUGUAGCGUAUUCAAAAGAAUAAAUGUACCAUUUUUCCUUCAUUAGGAUUUUUUCACAAGGUUUUUCCAAAUAAGAUUUUAAUGAGAUAUAUUCUUUCUAUCAUGAAUAUCCAUAACCUAAAAGACAUUUACCCUCAAAAUAAUACUCCAAUAUGUAUGAAACUUAGGAAGAGAUCAACAAGGGCUGUUUUUUGAAUCAUCAUGUUACUACAGUUGUUAAAUAUUGAUAAAUAUCUCAUGUGAAGGCAGUUUUAUUUGAAUAUUAUACAAGACAACAUGAGAUAUACUCCACCAAAAAUUACAAUAUUGAAAAUAUUGACAUACAAGAUAAGGAUGAAUUGAUACAAGAAUUAAAAUUAGGGAGAGCAGUUGUAUCUUUUUCCUUCGAUCAAGUUUUGUUCCACUGAAUUUUCUUGACAAGAUUUUAAGGAGGAAAAUAUAUUAUAAUGUGUCAUUUAAAAAGAAGUGUUGUAAAUAAUAUGAUUAUUAGUGAAUGACAAUUAUACCCUUGCAUCCACAAUUCUAUUAUCAUCGUAUCUCUAAUUCUUCCCCAUAAAUAUGGAGGUUUGGUUCUUAUAUAAUACACAAGUCUAUUGACUUUUAUACUUCUUCUACUUUCACUCUAGUUUAUAACACUUGCUAUAAAAUAAAAACUUAAAAAAAAAGGAUAAAGGAAAAACGGUUUCACCAAAAAAUUUGAUAAACACGGUAGAAAAUAAGGUUUCCAAUAAAUGUCUCAUGCACCAACUUCAAUAAAAGAGAAUAUUAGAUGUAUGUUUAUUAGCAGAUCAAAUUUGCAAAUUAUAAUAAACACUAGAAUCUUUAAUCUUUAAGUUACAAAUAGCUGUUUUGGCAUUGGAAUAAUAAGAUUUACGAGCAUUAAAAUGUUGACAGACUUGAUACUUUUGCUUGGAAAGAACAGAAAAUGUUCUUCCGUAUCUUGAACACAGAAAUUUUAAUUAUAAAAAACAAUACUGAGCAUGUUAAUGUAUACAACAAUUAUAACAAUUGUAUCGAAUAGAAAAUCCAACCACUUAUAUGAUGAAUUUGAUAAACAAGUCAUUUUGACAUUUCGUAUAUUCGGUUCAAAAUACUAACGAUAUUCCAACACAUAAAAAAGUAAUAAAACCAAUGAAGAUUAAUUUUGGUUAAUUGAGAUACAACAUGUUUACAUAUAAAUUGAAUGACUAUUGGCGAGAGAGGUAUUGAUUUCUCUUAAUGGGUUCAAUGCAUAUAUUUGGAGCACAUGAGUUGGGAACAUUUUCCCUUAUUUCAUCCAAAUGAACCUUAUUCUUGUAUUCACGUUCUUCUAUAAACUUGUCAUGUAAAAUGUUGCAUUUGUAUUUACAAAUACUUUAUUGCUCUGAGGACUACAGACGUAAAAUUUUCUUGUUCUCUCGUGCCUUCAAUAAGUAAAUCGCAAUUUGUAGGGGACAUCCCCGACAUGAUGUUUCAAGAAAUGAGAAGCCCGUCAUGGAUUUGGCCAUAUCCAACAAGGUCAUGUUUCUCCUUUCUGAGUAACCAUUUUGUUGGGGGUAGAUGAUGCACUCAGUUGGAAUAUAAUCUCAUUCUCUACAGGUGCAUUCUAAAGUAAUCGGACAGAUACUCUCACUACAAAAAAUAUGGGCUCCACUGACCAAAGUUUCAACGACCAACAAAUAUUGGUUGGUAUAAGUCAUGUUCACCGACCAAAGCUUGAUCGGUGAAAUUGUCGAUCUGUUAAAAUAGAAUAAAUUUUGGAAGGGCAUUCAGAGACCAACAUUUGGUCACUAGUACCAUUAUCCAGCGACUAGCAUUGCCGUGGUCGCUAUACCAAUUGGCGGGGAGAACCCCACGAAAUUUUGGUAACUCCUUUACCAAUCAAGGCUGUGGUCGUUGAAUAGAAAUGCCUCCAGUGACCAACAUUUGGUCGCUGGCACUAGUAUCCAACGACCAAAAUUUUCGUGGUCGCUAUACAGGUUGGUAGGAAGAACCUCGCCUAAUUUUUGACAACUCCUUACCGACCAAAACUGUGGUCGCCGAAUAUAAAUGCCUCUAGCGACCAACAUUUGGUCGUUGGUACCAUUAUCCAGCCACCAACAUUGUCGGGGUCGCUGGAACACUUGGCGCAGUUUUCCCCUCCUUUUUUCACUUUUUUUUUCAAAUAUUUCGCAAUCAAAUCUAUGGUUGCUAGUUAGUCCUAUGUUCCAGCGACCAGAGUUUAGUCGCUGAUGGAACGUUCCAGCAACCAAGUAUAUUUGGUCGCUGGAACCUCUGGCGGAAUUCUAACCCACAUUUUUUUCACUUUUUAAAACUGCUCAACGACCAAAUCUAUGGUUGCUAAUUAGUCCUAUGUUCUAGUGACCACAGUUUGGUUGCUGGAACACUUGGCACAAUUCUUCCUGGCUUUUUUGUUUUCACUGUUCAGCGACCAAAAUUUUGGUUGCUGGUUAAUAGUAGGUUUCAGCGACCAUAUGUUGGUCACGGGUGUAAAUCUAAAUUAACACUUGGCACCAUUAUUCCUCCAAUGUGAAAAUCUUCUUAUGUUCUCCCAUUUCACUAAUUAUUGAAUUUCUCACUGUUUGAUUUCACCAUUCGAUCGAUUUCUUUUCACACUUGUCAUUUAUGCUCUUCGAUUUCCCUCAUAAAAUUUUCAUGUCCUUCUAAAAUUUUUGUAUUUCCCUCUAUCUUUUUCUCUUAUCUACUCAAAUAGUUCAUUUCCUUAUUACCUUAUUUCCAAAUCCAUAACCCUAUUUCAUCUCUCACCCCUUCCCCCGUCUCAUCCCUUUCUCAUUAUCUAGGUUUCAACUUUCAUCCUCUCUUCUCAAUUAGUACCACACCCACCAACCAAAGAAUUUUAUGAUGACCCACACAUAAGAAUAUAUUGGUCAACAUGUUCAAAGUAUGAUGACCCACACAUAAGAAUUUUAUGAUCAAUUUCAUGAUCCACACAAUUGCUAUCAAGAGUCAUGGUCAAUACUCACUCAAAACCGACCCAGUCGAUUUGGGUUAAUUGUAAUCCAAACUGAACCACAAAGAUUUGAAAACAAUUUGAUCGGGACCAUAUUUUGUCAUUGGAUCUUUCAGUGGUUUCAAUUAGGACUUUGGCUCAAAUUAGAUCAAACAGUUCCAAGAUAAAUUCCAUUUUGAACAUCAAUACAUCAUCUUGGUUAAAAUAAAAAAGAAAAGAAGUAAUACAAUCACCUUUUCUCAUUUGUUAUCCAUUUUAAUAUAGUGUAGAAGAUGGAAGAUUUUAGUUUUGAUUUUUGCUUUUGUACGCACAUUCGAUUAUUAACUCCUUGAUUCGCUGUCGUCGUUACUAGUACAGCCUCACUAUCAUAGUUGUAGGGGAGAAAUCCAUCUUACUGAUGUGAAUUCACUACAAAAAAAUAUCUAAAUCGUGACCAAAAAAUAUUGUCGCGCAAAUAGAGAUUUUGUUGCAAAAAUAAUUUUGCGACAACAUUAUGUUUGUUGCAAGCAAUGUCGCGCUAUAUGAGCCACAGAAUGUAUUUUGCGACAACUUUCGAUCAUUUGUUGCAUUAAAAAAUAUGCAACAUUAUUUGUUUGACGCCAAAAAAUAUGAAAUAGCAACAAGAUAUUUGUUGCCAUAAUAUCGUCGCAAUACAUAUAUGUCGCAAAAAAAUAAAAGGGCGACAAAACUAGAAGUGAACCCUUUGGCAACCAAAAGUUGGUCGCUGUUAUUUAUAUGUUCAGCGACCACACGUAUUUGGUCGCUAGAACCCUUCAUCUACGAUCUAUUAGCAACCAGUUCUGUGGUCGCUAAAGGUUUUUACCUACCGAAAACUACCCUUUAGCGACCAAUAUAUUUGGUUGCUGGAACCAAUUUUUAUUUUUUUUUAUUUUUUAUUUUUUGUAGUGUCUCCACCACAAUCUAAUUGAGUGUCUUAUUGUUAUUACCUAAUUUCCUUUUUGCUCCUCAAUUCCUUGAGCUUUUUAAGGGGCUAUAGACUUGUCAUCCAUUUGGUACACAUAGACGUAUCUUGAGUAAUCGUCUAUAAGAGUGAUGAAGUACUAUACCUACCUCUAGUCUAGACACUAUUGGUCUAUAAAUAUUAUAAUGCAGUAAUUCCUAGAUGUACAGAAUCUCCUUGUCAUCUUACCCUCCAAAUAGGAUUCUCAUAAUGAUAGAGAUUCCACAUUUAAUUCACUUAGCCCCUGUUUGGUACAGGUUAAAAUCUAGAUUUAAUUUAAGUCAAAGUCAAUAAUUAAUUUUAACAACAUAUUUUAUGAGACCUACAACUUUUUAACCACACAUCCCAUCAACUUUUAUCAAAAUCUAAUAAAGAUCUUACUUUAAUCUCUAUCAAACACAGGCUUAAAACACCAUACAUUACCAGCCUUCAAAUUUUAUUAUGGUUUAUGUGACCACGUCUAAGGUGUCAUGAAUAAGUCUCAUUAUAAGUGGGAGACAAUUUUAUGCAAAAAUUAGAAGUAAUGAUGUUAUUAAUAGAGCCAACAACAAAAUUCAAAAUAUAUGAUAAUUGUUAAAAAAUUGUCCAUGACAAAUAAGAUGAUUAUUCAAUAGAAUAUCAAGUCAACCGCGCAAAAAUAACUGAAUAUCCAUGCUAAAAUAACUAAGUUACACAAAUUAAAUUUUAUUUGAUGUCGAAACAAAAUUAUAAUUUUUUAAAUUCAAAUGUUACAGAUCCAAUGACUCUAGCAGAUACUAUUUUCAAUGGAACAUAUAAAAGUGAAGUCUCUAUCGCUAAGCUCCAUGUUUACCUGGAGCCCCUACAAUGAAUUGCGAAUACGAUCAAUAGCUCCAGAAUCAACUAUUCAUUUACCAAUAAAAUCAACCACCCGUUGGGACUCAAUGCAGGAUAAAGAACCAUUAUUUUGCUUUUUGGAAGCUGGGUAUUUCGAGCAGUUCCUUUUCUAAUAACCUUGUCGUCCACAGUGAAAGAAUUUCUCCUUGGACUUUCCUUCCAUCCGCUUUCUUGGUCAAUCGUCGUUGCCCUCCUUGUUGGACUUCUUCCACUUGUUUUCUCUCUUGCCCUUUCAGCUUGUAAAAGAAUGGUCCAUAGCACAAGAAACGACAAAGGCUUUUGGUCUUUAAAAUAGUUUCUAUAUCAACUCGGGAUAUGUUAAUCUUUUUUAUGUUAUAAUUAACCUUGAACUGCCAAAACAUCUCAGGGAGAGUCUCUAAAGCCAUUUCAACCUGUCUCCUAUUUCAUUUCAGCAUCUAAGACCUCAGCCACAUUAAACUCAGCAAUUACUGAAAGCAUAUAAUCUCUCGCAAGCAUCCCUAACUUCAUGAAUCAUGCUCAUGACAGACCUAAUGGCAAUCUAUCAGCUUUGAUGACCUUGGUAUCCAAACAUCUCUCGAAGACUUUUUAUAAUCUUACAUGAUGUAAUAAUCAGUUUUAAUGAGUAAAAUAAGUAAUUUUUUUAAACAUAUUUUGUUACUUUUCUAACAAUAGGAAAGUAGAACAAUCUCAUGAUUUUGGAAAAAAAAAGAUCAAGUAGAUUUACAAUUUUCAUAGGUGAUUCAACAGUACCAAUGUCAAAAUUAUUUGCUUUGUUAGAGUAUUUUCAAGAGAUUAUUUACAUUUAAAUAUUCUUUAUUUAAAUAGCAAAUCCUUAUAUUAUGGUUAAAUUAAAAUUGUAAAAUAGAGAAUUAGUUCGACUUUCUACGUUUGAAGAGUCAAACUCACUUUCUAUUUGUAUUUUUUAUAGUGAUAACAUUUAACAAAUUUCAAGACUCAAUACUUCACUUCUUAAACUAUUCAAAUAGUAUUUGAAUAUUUUAGCUAUUGACAUAUAAAAUUUAUAUAUUUAAAAAAUGCAAAAGAUAUAAUAAAUGAUUGUCCAAAAAUGUAAUUAAAAAAAAGCAAAAAUAAGGAGUUUAUUAGAGUGUAUCAAAAAGUAAAUCUAAAAAUACUCUAUGUUAUGUACACUAUAGGUUAAUUUUACAAACGGUCACUGAACUGACCUGAAAAUUACAAAAUGGUCACUGAAGUUUAAAACUUGUAGAAACGGUCACUGAAAUUUACAAUCUUGCAGAAACAGUGAUAAUUUUUUUUCGAUUUUUGGACAAGGUUUGCGGCAAUUUUUCGACAACUUCUGACCUCCAAGACCGUCGAAUUUGGAUACCAUUGAAAACCCACAAUGUCCUCUUCAAUUACCAUCCAAAAUAUCCCCAUAGCUCCAAAGGAUUCGGCCAAAACAAGCCCGCAAAAAUGGACUAAUAGCUGAUUUGCAAAUAUAAGAAAUCAAAUCACACAUUGAAAUCAAGCUAUAUUCUAGGAUUGUUAGGAAAAUAUGUAAUUGGCAAAUCUGUUACCAAGGACCAAAUUGUCAAAAUUGUAAAGUCAAGGACCCAAAUUGUCAAUGUCCAAUAGUUCAGGGACUAGAGUUGUAAUUAACUAAGUUUAUAGGCUAGGUCUAGGGUUGUGUGGGAUGCCUCGAAGAUACAAGCGGCGCUUUGAUUUCGCUAGAGUAUCACCCUGACCUCGCUCGAGCCACAAUUGUAGAACCAACUUCGCUGAACUCACGCUGAGCCGUCGCUCGAGCGAAAGGUACGUCGCUUGAGGCUCACCAGUACCUCACUCGAGCGACCGUGUUACCUAGCCAAUUCUAAUUUUAAACGCUCGCGAAUGUUUGACGCUCCACAUUACCAUAUAUCAACCUCUAUAUAUACCAAACGUCCCAUUCGUGUUCAUCAACCCGAAAAUUCACAUUGAAAACACUUUGAAUAUUCUUUCAAUUCCUUGGCAACCAAAAAUCCAAAUCAUUCUCUCCAAGGAUCAAAAGCCAAAGAAAUCCUUCAUUGUUCUCAUACCAAUCCUUGGCUUGUUGAGUAAAAAAUCAAAUCCAUAAACCCCAAAACAUCUGUCUCACAACUCCAAUUAAACUUCCAAAAGAUCAUCAGUUUGAAGAUCCGGGAAGGAUUUGCUUGAAGAGCUGGAGUGCGUGGCGAUUCACAGGAGGUAGAAAUUAUACAAGGCUGGGAUUUAGCACGGAUCUGCAAAAUCUAGGAGGGUCUUGAGUUCAUACAGCAAGGAGGUCAGAAAAUUGAGAGUGUCAAUGAUGUCUGGCGUGCUGUAAGUUGGUUUCUACAAUAGUGAAUCUCUACUGGCUUGUGCACCUUUUUCGGUUUUGUGUUGUGUUAAAGUGUAUGUGUCGCGCAAGAAAUAAAAAUUUGUCGCCAAAUAUUUUCCGGCAAAAAAUAUUUUGACUCGUCGCUUUCAACAUAUUUUUAGCGACAAUCUUUCUUGUUUGUCGCCCCUUUUGACAUAUUACGACAACCCUUAACGUCGCCUUAUAAUUUUUUGAUACUUUUUUUUCUAUCACAAUUUUUGCGACAAACUUUAAAAACAUGUCGCGCUUCAUCACAUAUUGCGACAACUUUUUGUAUGUCGCAAAAAAAUUUGUCGCUAAAUCACAAUUUUGUUGUAGUGAUUGAGGCUACCCAAUUGCUUUAUCUUUUUGAGGCUACCACAAUUUGGUCAUUGCAUGUUAACUAUCAACGACCGCAACAUUGGUCAUUAUUGACCUUAACUUUCACCGACCAGAAUUUGGUCACUAAAUGUCAAUUACCUGUGACCACGCUUAUUUGAUCGCUAAAGGCAUUACCGACCACUCAUUGGUUGCUUGAGGCUACCCAAUUGCUUUAUCUUUUUGAGGCUACCACAAUUUGGUCAUUGCAUGUUAACUAUCAACGACCGCAACAUUGGUCAUUAUUGACCUUAACUUUCACCGACCAGAAUUUGGUCACUAAAUGUCAAUUACCUGUGACCACGCUUAUUUGAUCGCUAAAGGCAUUACCGACCACUCAUUGGUUGCAAAAUACAUUAAUAAACCAAUAUUCCACUAUUACUAGUGAACAGAAGUGAACCCUUUGGCGACCAAAAGUUGGUCACUGUUAUUUAUAUGUUUAGCGACCACAAGUAUUUGGUCGCUAGAACCCUUCAUCUACGAUCUAUUAGUGACCAGCCACUGUGGUCGCUAAAGGUUUUUACCUACCGAAAACUACCCUUUAGCGACCAAUAUAUUUGGUCGCUGGAACCAAUUUUUUUUUUUGUAGUGUCUCCACCACAAUCUAAUUGAGUGUCUUAUUGUUAUUAUCUAAUUUCCUUUUUGCUCCUCAAUUCCUUGAGCUUUUUAAGGGGCUAUAGACUUGUCAUCCAUUUGGUACACAUAGAUGUAUCUUGAGUAAUCGUCUAUAAGAAUGAUGAAGUACUAUACCUACCUCUAGUCUGGACCCUAUUGGUCUAUAAAUAUUAUAAUGCAGUAAUUCUUAGAUGUACAGAAUCUCCUUGUCAUCUUACCCUCCAAAUAGGAUUCUCAUAAUGAUAGAGAUUCCACAUUUAAUUCACUUAGCCCCUGUUUGGUACAGGUUAAAAUCUAGAUUUAAUUUAAGUCAAAGUUAAUAAUUAAUUUUAACAACAUAUUUUAUGAGACCUACAACUUUUUAACCACACAUCCCAUCAACUUCUAUCAAAACUAAUAAAGAUCUUACUUUAAUCUCUAACAAACACAUGCUUAAAACACCAUACAUUACCAGCCUUCAAAUUUUAUUAUGGUUUAUGUGACCACGUCUAAGGUGUCAUGAAUAAGUCUCAUUAUAAGUGGGAGACAAUUUUAUGCUAAAAUUAGAAGUAAUGAUGUUAUUAAUAGAGCCAACAACAAAAUUCAAAAUAUAGGAUAAUUGUUAAAAAAUUGUCCAUGACAAAUAAGAUGAUUAUUCAAUAGAAUAUCAAGUCAACCACGCAAAAAUAACUGAAUAUCCAUGCUAAAAUAUUUAAGUUACACAAAUUAAAUUUUAUUUGAUGUCGAAACAAAAUUAUAAUUUUUUAAAUUCAAAUGUCACAGAUCCAAUGACUCUAGCAGAUACUAUUUUCAAUGGAACAUAUAAAAUUGAAGUCUCUAUCGCUAAGCUCCAUGUUUACCUAGAGCCCCUACAAUGAAUUGCGAAUACGAUCAAUAGCUCCAGAAUCUACUAUUCAUUUACCAAUAAAAUCAACCACCCGUUGGGACUCAAUGCAGGAUAAAGAACCAUUAUUUUGCUUUUUGGAAGCUGGGUAUUUCGAGCAGUUCCUUUUCUAAUAACCUUUUCGUCAAGUGAAAGAAUUUCUCCUUGGACUUUCCUUCCAUCUCUGCAUUCUUGGUCAAUCGUUGUGGCCCUCCUUGUUGGACUUCUUCCACUUGUUUUCUCUCUUGCCCUUUCAGCUUGUAAAAGAAUGGUCCAUAGCACAAGAAACGACAAAGGCUUUUGGUCUUUAAAAUAGUUUCUAUAUCAACUCGGGAUAUGUUAAUCUUUUUUAUGUUAUAAUUAACCUUGAACUGCCAAAACAUCUCAGGGAGAGUCUCCAAAGCCAUUUCAACCUGUCUCCUAUUUCAUUUCAGCAUCUAAGACCUCAGCCACAUUAAACUCAGCAAUUACUGUAAGCAUAUAAUCUCUCACAAGCAUCCCUAACUUCAUGAAUCAUGCUCAUGACAGACCUAAUGGCAAUCUAUCAGGUUUGACAACCUUGGUAUCCAAACAUCUCUCAAAGACUUUUUAUAAUCUUACAUGACGUAAUAAUCAGUUUUAAUGAGUAAAAUAAGUAAUUUUUUUAAACAUAUUUUGUUACUUUUCUAACAAUAGGAAAGUAGAACAAUCUCAUGAUUUUGGAAAAAAAAAGAUCAAGUAGAUUUACAAUUUUCAUAGGUGAUUCAACAGUACCAAUGUCAAAAUUAUUUGCUUUGUUAGAGUAUUUUCAAGAGAUCAUUUACAUUUAAAUAUUCUUUAUUUAAAUAGCAAAUCCUUAUAUUAUGGUUAAAUUAAAAUUGUAAAAUAGAGAAUUAGUUCGACUUUCUAUGUUUGAAGAGUCAAACUCACUUUCUAUUUGUAUUUUUUAUAGUGAUAACAUUUAACAAAUUUCAAGACUCAAUACUUCACUUCUUAAACUAUUCAAAUAGUAUUUAAAUAUUUUAGCUAUUGACUUAUAAAAUUUAUAUAUUUAAAAAAUGAGAAAGAUAUAAUAAAUGAUUGUCCAACAAUUUAAUUAAAAAAAAGGCAAAAAUAAGGAGUUUAUUAGAGUGUAUCAAAAAGUAAAUCUAAAAAUACUCUAUGUUAUGUACAAUAUAGGGUUAAUUUUACAAACAGUCACUGAACUUACCUGAAAAUUACAAAAUGGUCACUGAAGUUUAAUACUUGUAGAAACGGUCACUGAAGUUUACAAUCUUGCAGAAACAGUGAUAAUUUUUUUUAGAUUUUUGGACAAGGUUUGCGGCAAUUUUUCGGCAACUUCUGACCUCCAAGAUCGCCGAAUUUGGAUACCAUUGGAAUGCCCACAAUGCUCUUCAAUUACCAUCCAAAAUCUCCCCAUGGCUCCAAAGGAUUCGGCCGAAAUAAGCCCACAAAAUUCGUUCCCCAAAAUCUGAAAAUCUGACCAGAUUUUUUUAGAUUUUUGGGUGAGAUUUGCUACAAUUUUUCGACAAAUUCCGACCACCAAGACCAUCGGAUUUGGAUAUUGUUGGAAAGCUCACAAUGUCCUCUUCAAUUGCCAUCCAAAAUCUCCCCAUAACUCUAAAUGAUUCGGCUGGAAUAAGCCCAUAAAAUCAGUUCUCCAAAAUCUGAAAAAUCUGCCCAGAUUGGGGAGCUAACUUUGUGGGCUUAUUCUGACCGAAUCUUUUGGACUUAUGGGGAGAUUUUGGGUGGCAAUUGAAGAGAACAUUGUGGACUUUUCAACGGUAUCCAAAUUCGACGGUCUUGGUGGUCGGAAGUUGCCAGAAAAUUGUCGUAAACCUCGCCCAAAAAUUUGAAAAAUCUAGAUGACUGUUUCUGCAAGUUUGAAAACGUCAGUAACUGUUUUUGAAAGAGCUCUAAACUUCAAUGACCGCUUCUACAAGUUUUAAACUUCAGUGACCGUUUUGUAUUUUUCAUGUUCAAUGACAGUUUCUGAAAUUAACCCUAUACUAUUUACUCUUUUAAAAAAAAUGGACUAAUAGCUCAUUUGCAAAUAUAAGAAAUCAAAUCACACAUUGAAAUCAAGCUAUAUUCUGGGAUGAAAUGUUGUGGGUUGAAAUCAAACUUGUCUGUAUGUUCAAUAUUAUACAAUCACUAUAUUGUGGGGGUAGGGGGGUUUAAAUGGCCCUCUAGAUUCAAUAUUAAGCAAAGCAAUUUGGACUUAUUUGAAUUGGUUAAAGACAAUUGAACGUGGACAAAUUAUAUUAAUUCAAGAAACAUUGCUAUUAAUUAACAUUUUAAUAAUAUUCGAAGACAAUUAUCAAGUAAACUUAGUCAUGUUUGAUGGCUUAAUGAGAUGAAGAGGAUGAACUAUUUUGUUAUGUAUAAAUUAUCGAUUUUUAUGCUAUUAUAUGAAGAAUUGAGGGCUGCUAUCCAAUUUAAUGCACGACUGCUGAAGCCCUUUUCAGGGCUAUUGAAGAAGGUAGUGUGGUAGUGGACGGAAGGUAAAAAAGCUGAACAAACUCUGAAUUGAUAUGAAUGAAAGUUAUAUACAAUGUAGCAUAAUGAGUCCUAUUUUGACCGCCUAAUGAUGGCCUAUGUGCCAGAAGGUGUGUGCCUUUUAUUUAUUAUUUUUUUUUAUCCAAUUACUUUUAACUUUUUAAUGUAAAUAAACUAAAUCUACUUAUACUUUUAUCCAUUCAUUCUAGUGGCGGAGUGUUCGCAUUUAAACUGUUCCUAACUGGUUUUACACUAUUUAUCAAAAAUCUUCUUCACUGUUCAUUCUAUUGCUUAUUAAGAAAGAAAACCCUACCAGCAGCCGACUCCCUUCUUUGUUUUCCAAUUUGGUCCCAUCGACUUGUCGAACCUGGGGCAGAACCAACGACUGAGCUUGAAACUUGAUAAAGCAAUCAUAAAGACCAAAGCUAGCAGAAAGUUUGCAAGAUUUGUUCGAAGAACCUCAUACUUGAAUCAUUUAGUAUUUGUCGUGAAAUUUUGUGAAGCUUUUACUUUCAAAAAAGUUUCUGCAUGUUGUUUGUGGAGGUACUGGGAGAUGUUUUUGGAAGUACUCUUGAAUCCGUUGUAGCAAAAUGUUUGUGAUAUAUGAAAAUGAACAUGUUUUAAUCAUCAAUAAUGUUAAUCUUAGUUGACCCAUAUAGUUUUGUUUGUAACAUUAAACCAAGCCCUUCAAAAUAUGUUACUAUGAUUUUGUGUUUCCAUCCUUCAAGUUAGAUUACAGAUUUUCAAAUGUUCUAAUUGAACAUUUUGAUUGUAUUUGUGACCUGUCAAGAAAAAUGAUAUGAGAAGAAAUCCAAUUUCUCUAUUCAUUUAUUUGAAUUUUUCCUUUCUUUUUGGUAUCUUCCUACUUUUUUGGGCCUUUGGAGGUGAGUACAAGUUGAGUUUUACAAGAGUUAUCUUUGGCCGUUGUCAGAAUUGUAAAAAUUUCCUACGUGAUUUACUUGCUGUGAAAUUUGAAUAUUUUGUUCCCAACCAUUUUCACUGAUCACUAAAUAGCAAUAAAAGGUUGAAUGUACACUCGAAAGUAGUUGCCUAUUCUAUAUCGAUGAGAACAAAAAGGUGAAGAGAAAUGCAUUACUUAUUUAUAAAACAAAAUAGAUUUUCUGGAUGGUUCACAUAUUCUUGCUAAGUUUAGCUUUACAAACAUUCUAUAGCUCCAAGUUUUCAACUUAUGUUUACAAUUUGGAAGUACUUGACGUUUGAAAUUAUAGUAACUCAUUUUGUUAUAGGUUAUAUUACUUAUCAUUUUUCACUACCAUCAUAAUUACUAUUUGCUAUUUCACCAUGAAAAUAAACUAUUCUUUUUUUUUUUUCCAUUAAUGAAGAAUGAACUCCAGGAGAAGAUAGUGUAAUGCCUGAAGAUAUUUCACCAUGAUAUUUUUCAAGUACCAAUUUCUUAUUAUUUCUGCUUCAAGUCUAUCGUAUAACUGAGGUAUGUCAAUUUUAUAGUAUUUUAGUUUAGGUUUAUUUGUUUGUUCUCGUUAGGUUCAUUUCUUUUCCCAAGUUGUAAAUAAUUUCUUGUGCUGUUGAUUUCUCAUCAUUUCAGUUUCAAAUCUUGUGUGUUGUCAGUGUGGUAAUUUUUUAUUUUGCUUAUACUUUUUAAGGAAUUUGUGAUGAAUAUCAGUCUGUUAUCACUGGUAUUCUGAGUCUUUUUAUUCGAAGUACCUAUCAAAAUUGAAUUUUCUUACGUAGGUCUUAUGUGGGGGUAUUGUUAGAAUUUGGGAGUUAAUUAAUUGAAUCACUUGCCAUGGAUCAUGUUGUGGGUCGAAAGUUCAAGCUUGGGAAGAAAAUUAGGAGUGGUUAAUCCGGUUGGCAUGAAAGCAUUCAAAGAUACAGAAGCACAUAUUCUUAGCCUCAACACAUUUCAACAUCUGAUGCACUCCUUAACACAAGUACUUCUGUAGCUUAAUUUAUUGAAAAGGAGAAUCAAGGUUUGAAAAUGUAUAUAGUUACAUAUUUUUUUUCAAUAUAAAUGUUGUAAAUGAGUAUUGAAGUUUGCUUUUCUUUUCAUUAUGUAAUACUUAAUGGAGAGAACAAACGUACUCAGGUCUCAUGCUGAGAAUAUUAUUCAUACAAAUUACUAAUAAGGACUUUUGGUAAGUCUGUAUUGCUUCAUGUUGGUAGGUUAUUGCACUAAUAUGUUGUAGAUAUGUAUGCUAAGAUUGAAACAGCUAGAUUAGAUUAUUUUCAUAAUAACAAAAACAAAUUCAUGCUGAACUUUAUCAAGGUAUUGUAAAUAGUGUUCAAAAUGGAGAAACAAGAAAGGUAAAAAUUGGACGAAAUUUUGUUUUAGCACAAACUUUUACAUGUGGUCCUUGUGACAUGCUAAGGAGAUAUAUGGAUGGAAUGGCUAUUGUACAACAUUAUCGAAAAUCAGAUAUCUUUUUAACUAUAACAUAUAAUCCAAAUUGGCGAGUGAUUAAGCUGGAACUAUGUAACAAUGAUGAAGUUCAAAAUCGAUCGGAUUUAAUUGUGCGUAUAUUCAGAGAAAAAUUAGAAGAGUUGAAAAAUGAUUUAUACAUGGCAAGUAUUUUAGGCCUAGUUGUUGUACAUAUAUAUAUUAUUAAAUUUCAAAAAAAAGGUCUUCCUCAUGCUCAUUUGUUGCUAAUUUUCAAUUCUUGGACAUAAAAUUUCUUGUGCUGAAGAAGUUGAUAGAAUAGUUUGCUAUGAAAUUCCUGACAAAAAUAAAUAUCUCCAUCUACAUUCUGUAAUUGUUAAACAUAAUAUGCAUGGUCCUUGUGAAAAAUUUAAUUCAAAAUUUUUUUGCAUGGAAGCAAAUAAAGGUUGUAAAAAUAAGUACCCUAGGGAUUAUUGUGAUAGAACUAUAUUUGGUCCAAACUUAAAUCUUUUGUAUAAAAGUCGUAAUAAUGGUAUUUCUAUUCAAGUUAGAGGCCAAAUGUCAGACAAUUGAUUGGUCGUACCUUACAAUUCUUAUCUAAGUGCAAAAUUUGAUUGUCACAUUCAUGUUGAAGUAUGUUCUUCUAUUAAAGUCGUGAAAUACUUGUACAAAUAUAUGUAUAAAGGAGAUGAUCGUAUUAAUUUUUUAGUUCAUAGGAAUGAGACAGAGAAAGAAAUAGAUGAAAUUUUAGCUUAUUAGUCUGCUCAAUGGAUAUCUCCACCUAAAGCUGUGAGGAGCAUUUUUUAUUCAAUAUGGCUAAAAUUUAUCUGACAGUCUGUUCUUUACAACUUCAUGUUGAAAAUUAUCAACAAGUUACAUACGACGAUGAAGAUGAUUUGUCUACUAUUGUUGACAAUGAAAAUACGAAACGAAAAAUGUUAACAGAAUUCUUUCAAAUGAAUGAAGUGGAUGAGUUUCCUCAUAUACUUUUGUAUCGAGAUUUUCCAACAAAUUUUGUUUGGAAUGCAAAUAAGAAUAUUUGAACUCGCAAGAAAAAAACAUUUUGUUAUAGGACGAAUUUUUAUAGUAAAUCUAUUUGAAGGAGAACAAUAUUUUCUUCGAGUUCUAAUGAACCAUAUAAGAGGGCCAACAUCAUUUCAUGAUUUACGAACUAAAAAUGGAGUCAUUGUUCUUACCUACCGUGAAGCAGCACUUCUGCAUGGUUUGUUAAGCGGAGAUAAUCACUGUGAAGAAUAUCUAUCUGAAUUUGUAGUUACGAAAUGCCUUUUUCUUUAAGAUGUUUCUUUGCUACACUUCUUGUGCCUUGCAACCCUAAUAAUCCAAAGCUUCUACGGGAUAAAUUCAAAUGUUAUAUGAUUGAUGAUUAUGUACAUGAAAAAAUACCUUCAAAAGUUGUUGAAGUAGGGGCUCUAUAGGAUAUCAGUUGUAUCUUAGAAUCCUUAGGUAAAAAUAUAAAUGACUAUCAAAUAGUGACAUACAAUGUAAAUAUGAAUAAGAAUGAUAGAUUGAGAAGAAUGGUAGAAGAUGAGACAACGAAUUUGGAUAUUGAAGGAGGUAAUGCUUGUGCAACAAGGUUAAAUAACAAACAUCAAUUUGCAUACAAUACGAUAAUGGAAAAAGUAUCAUCAGGAUUAAGUGGUGCCUUCUUUAUUGAUGGUCCAAGAGAAACAGGCAAAACUUUUUCGUAUAAAACAUUAUUAGCUAUUGUGAGGUCUCAAAAUUCAAUUGUUUCGGCAACUGCAUUUUCUGGAGUAUCUAGAUCUCUCUCUUACUUGGAAGUCGAAUUGCUCAUUCAAGGUUUAAAAUUCCUUUAGAAAUAUUUUGGUUAUGUAAGCUGCUCGAUCAGAAACAAUCAGUUUUAGGAACUUUGUUGAAAAUAUCAAAAUUAAUCAUUUGGGAUGAGGCACCCAUGGUCAAUCGGUUGUGCUAUUGGAGCUGUAGAUAAAAUGUUAAGAGAUAUUACUGAUUGUAACUUACCUUUCGGUGGGAAAUAGUAGUUCACGAAGGGAAUUUUCGAUAAGUUUUAACAAUGGUACCAAGAGGGAAAAAAUAAGACAUAAUGAAAGCUAGUUUAGUCUUCUUUGAAUUGUGGCCUUCACUUUUACAUCUAUCAUUAACUGAGAAUAUGAGGGCAAAAGUUUGAUCCCACUUUCUGUGAUUACUUGUUGAGAAUUGGAAAUGGAAUAGAGGAACACCAUACUUGUAAGUGUAUCAAGCUUCCAAAUAAUAUCAUUGUACCAUUUAAGAAUGAGAUAGCAUCUUUAAAAUGUUUGAUACAUCAUAUCUUUCCAAAUAUAGAAGCUCAUGCUGACACACAUAUGGCAAAUCAACCUAUUCCUACACCUAGAAAUGAAUGUGUUGAUCAUAUUAAUAAGAUAUUAUUAGAACAGAUUCCUAGUGAAAUUUUUACGUAUUAUAGCUUUGAUGGGACAAUUGAUAAAUCAGAACAGAGCAUGCAAGAAGAUUUGCUCAGUAGUCUGAUUUCAAAUUAUAUUCUACCUCAUGAAUUGAACCUUAAAGUAAACUAUCAUGUAAUGCUAUUACGAAAUAUCAAUCCUUCUGAAGGAUUAUGCAAUAGAACACGACUAACUUGUCGAAAAUUUUAAAAGAAUGUGAUCCUUGCAGAAAUUACGUCUAACGAAUAUCUUGAAAAACAUAUCUUCUUACCAAGAAUCCCGUUUACACCACUUGAAAGUGAUAAGUCUUCAAUUCCAUUUAAAAGAACUUAAUUUCCAAUUAGGCCAUGCUUUGCAAUGAUAAUAAACAAAGUACAAGUACAAACACUUGAUUUUGUUGGCUUAUAUUUUCCAGAACCUUUUUUUUUUUUUUUUUUUUUUUUUGUGUCAUAGCCAACUUUAUGUAGCACUAUCUAGAGCUAAAACAAUCAAAUCCCUCAAAGUUUUAUUUAACCCAUCAAGCAACGAAAGUUUACACAGCACAUGUACUAAAUAUGUUGUAUAUAAGGAAGUUCUAUCGUCUGUACAUAUAUAGAAAAACUUAAAUUGAAUUGUUUUAGUGCUAUGUUCUUCAAUGAACGAGUCAACAUAGAAAUUUACUUUCAAUCCUUGCCUGCGAAAGCGAAAAAUAGGGGACAAAAUUUGAAGGCUGGAGCUGCACUUCUGAUUCUAACACGGGAUAUCAACAAAAAAUUGGUAGUCAAUAAAUAAAUUUACCAGAAGAUUUCAUUUAUGUUCUUCAAAUGUUUGUUUUAUUAUUAUGGAUUUUAUGUUAUAUAAUGAUGUCAGGCAUUUGAAGCACCAUCCUUUCAUCAUCCUGCAAAGGCAGAUUUAAAAAUGAUGACUUGAAAAUUUUUUGGUGGUUCUGCUGCAACUGAAUUGUUCCUUCAUACUAUCAAAAAAGGUAAAUCUGUUGUUAGAAAGACGUACACAUAUGCUUUUCAGAGCUUCUUUUUUUUAUUCGAAGUCAAACUUACAUUUUAUCUUAUAUAUUUGACUGUUCGUAGAUAUCAUUCUACUUAAUACAAUGAUCUUGAAAAAAUUGACUGCAAGAAGUAAACUUAUAUUGAUAGUGAACAAUUGUCCAUCAUUGAGGCAAUCUGUUAUUCCCUUUUGUUCUUUGCAAGCUCAUGUAUUAAGUAUUGAACUUAAGCUACAUCAAAUUUUAUUGUUGUUUUUUGGUAAUUGUAUAAACUAGGGUGUUUGUAAAUUUAUUUCCUAAUUCUCCUAUUUUCUUCUAUUGUUGUACUUCAUAAUUUAUUUAUUUUUUUAAGCAUGAGUUGUUUUAAAUUAAGGAUGGAAUAUUUCUUGACUUGAUUUCAGGUACCUGGAUUAAAACAAUUGUUUAGUAUGCUCUUUCACAGCAUGUUCAAAAGCAGUUGUCUAAAAAGGAUGGGUGCGAAUGGACAUAUGGAAAGGUGUUUAACUUGUGCUGAUUGCAUGUGGUUUUAAUGCUAUCAUUUGUUCGUUUUAAAUAAUAGUUGAUUUGUUGAUAUACAUGUAGAUCUUGAAUAUCAGGAGUUCCUUGAAUUAUUUCCUAUUUUCUUUUUAGGUGCUCUGAAGGAAUGCUUCUAUAGCUACUCCUUUAAUGGACUUUGUUCGUCAAAAAAGAGCUGCAAAGAGUGGAACUUGGGCAGGAAAAUAUGGUCAAUCGAUUGUGCUAUUGGAGCUGUAGAUAAAAUGUUAAGAGAUAUUACUGAUUGUAACUUACCUUUCGGUGGGAAAUGGUAGUUCACGAAGGGAAUUUUCGAUAAGUUUUAACAAUGGUACCAAGAGGGAAAAAAUAAGACAUAAUGAAAGCUAGUUUAGUCUUCUUUGAAUUGUGGCCUUCACUUUUACAUCUAUCAUUAACUGAGAAUAUGAGGGCAAAAGUUUGAUCCCACUUUCUGUGAUUACUUGUUGAGAAUUGGAAAUGGAAUAGAGGAACACCAUACUUGUAAGUGUAUCAAGCUUCCAAAUAAUAUCAUUGUACCAUUUAAGAAUGAGAUAGCAUCUUUAAAAUGUUUGAUACAUCAUAUCUUUCCAAAUAUAGAAGCUCAUGCUGACACACAUAUGGCAAAUCAACCUAUUCCUACACCUAGAAAUGAAUGUGUUGAUCAUAUUAAUAAGAUAUUAUUAGAACAGAUUCCUAGUGAAAUUUUUACGUAUUAUAGCUUUGAUGGGACAAUUGAUAAAUCAGAACAGAGCAUGCAAGAAGAUUUGCUCAGUAGUCUGAUUUCAAAUUAUAUUCUACCUCAUGAAUUGAACCUUAAAGUAAACUAUCAUGUAAUGCUAUUACGAAAUAUCAAUCCUUCUGAAGGAUUAUGCAAUAGAACACGACUAACUUGUCGAAAAUUUUAAAAGAAUGUGAUCCUUGCAGAAAUUACGUCUAACGAAUAUCUUGAAAAACAUAUCUUCUUACCAAGAAUCCCGUUUACACCACUUGAAAGUGAUAAGUCUUCAAUUCCAUUUAAAAGAACUUAAUUUCCAAUUAGGCCAUGCUUUGCAAUGAUAAUAAACAAAGUACAAGUACAAAGUUUAGUAUGCUCUUUCACAGCAUGUUCAAAAGCAGUUGUCUAAAAAGGAUGGGUGCGAAUGGACAUAUGGAAAGGUGUUUAACUUGUGCUGAUUGCAUGUGGUUUAAAUGCUAUCAUUUGUUCGUUUUAAAUAAUAGUUGAUUUGUUGAUAUACAUGUAGAUCUUGAAUAUCAGGAGUUCCUUGAAUUAUUUCCUAUUUUCUUUUUAGGUGCUCUGAAGGAAUGCUUCUAUAGCUACUCCUUUAAUGGACUUUGUUCGUCAAAAAAGAGCUGCAAAGAGUGGAACUUGGGCAGGAAAAUAUUACCAUUUGUUCACUACUAAAUGGUUUUAUAUUUCUCCCUUUUAAGGAAAUAUAUUGUAUCUAAGGUGCUAAUUGGUAAGGAACUUCAUGCAUGUAGCAUAAUUAGUAGCGGAUAUUCUCUCAGAAUUUUCACAUUAUCUUGAUAGCUUUGAGGUUUUUAUGUCUAAAUUUUACUUUUUAACAUAAACAGGUUGACAAGUUGAAAGUUUUUUUAGAAUUGCUUUUCAGCUCCUCUUCUAAAGUUGAGAAGCGCAUCUCAAAUAAUAGGUAUUAAAUUGGAUAUAAAAAAGAUUAUGCAAGUCAACCCCCUUUCGUUAAUUUUAGUCCAAGAAUAAGAUGCUUAUAAUGAUUUGAUCUUUAUUUUUAUCUACUUGCAUUCACUUUUUUAAGAACUUUCAAUCACCUAUAUUCAUUCACUUUCUUUGGAAGGCAUUUGCCAUUUUGAAGUUUUAUGUGACUUCAACCUUCAAUGCAUGCUCAUUGGCAGCGUUACUUAUUGAGAAUGGUAAUACUUAUUAUGCAUUUUAUUUAAUCUAUUUCCUUAAAUUUUUUUUUUUUUUUUUUUACAGCUUAGAAAGAAGAUCCGUUAAAGUUUCGUGUAAGCAAAGUUAGUGAAACAGAAAAGGUAUUUUCCCACAUACUUAUUGCUUUUGGCUAAGUAUGUGGAUGUGUUCAGAAAAUGAGAACAAAGUACACAUCUUUGAUUUUAGAUUCUAAGAUAUGCAUGUAAAGACCAUUCUUUUGUGUUUAUUAUGAGUGAACUGAUAUACUUACCUCCUAUUUCACUAAUAUUAAAGGGAAAAAAUGAUGCAUUAAGAAGUAUAAAAUGCACUAUCAUAGUAAAAUCAUAUUAGUUUCAAUGAUUCAACCAUAUAAAAAUAAUUUCCUCUUAUGAGUCUUUUAAAAAUAGAUAACUUGUUUGCAAUUUAGUUAUUUCAAUAGAAAGUUCUCCUAUCCAAAAGGAUUGCAUUUGAUAAUUUUUGUUCGAUUAAAUCUAUAAACAAGUAGGCAAGCAUUUUUCUAUAGAUGCUUAAGCACAAUCAUUAGCCUUUUAACCACUGGAUUGAAGGUGUGAGUUACUAUUUUCUUCAUAUCCUCUGUUGUGAAUUGUAUUUAAUUAUAAGUUACCAGUUAUUAUCUGAUAAUAGUAUCAUUUGAGUUGAUAUAGAUUCUUAUUCACAUUAUGUAAGUUCAUCCAAGCUACCGUUUUAGACACAACUUACGUUUCUAUUAUGAAAAGUGGUGUAAAAGUAAUACCAGUGAACACUUUUUCCAAUGGCAAUAAAAAUCUGAACUUAGUCGAUGUUUUGAAAUUUUGAUUUAUAUUGAAAGUAUCAUAGUUUAUCCAAGUUGGUUAACAAAUCUUACACAUGGCAAACAAAUCAAUGUUCAGCAGUAAUCAAGAUCAAAGCUUUAUGAACAGAUUAUGAAGUAUUCAUGUUUAUCUAUCAUCUGAUCAUUUCUCAAAGCAAAGUGGUGGCUCUAUUUGUUUUGGUAAUUUUAGCUUCUUGUACUAUUGCCUAGGUGAUUAUAGCUUCGUAGUAUUGGAUCAAACUACUAACUUGUUCUAUCUAAUAUUUUCCUAGACAGAUGAAAACUUAAUUCAUCUUCACUUAAACUUUUAACAGUUCAAGGUAGCUAUUUAGUGCUACAACUGAACAGCUGGAUUGAUAAAUAUUUGUUGUAUGCUUCAUUAUGUUAAUUUCUAUUGCUUAUUCAGUUUAACAUUAAUCAGUAUUUGUAUGUCAUAUUUCUAGUUGUCGAGCCUGCGGGAAUGCUAAUUUUUGUCUUCAUACUUCCUUAUGUGUUUAGUUGAAUUUAAUUAGUUCAAACACGAUUUCAUCAUUUAUUCAUUAGGAUAUUUGAUAAUAUUUUUCAUGCUUUAAGGAAGUAAUUAGUUCAAGUACCUUAUGGAGUUAUCUAUUGACCAUGAUUUGUAUGCCAUUAUAAACAAUCUAUUGGACUCUCUUCUCAAUGGAAUAGUGGGUGCAAGCUAGCAACCUUUCUUGAAGUUUACACUCAAACAGAUGGGUCUCCUUCACCGAUCGGUGCAGAAAAAUUCUAGGUCUCUUGUAGCGCUAUAGAUUAGAUACGGCCCUGAGAAUAUGGCAGAUGAAUUAAAAUCUAAAAAUGAAUCCGUGGUUGAAUAUGAUAGAACUUUUAAUUGAAACUUGAUGUUGUAGGGCCGAAAAAAUUGAUGUUUCUUCACGUUGCUGCUGGUAGGGAUGCAUCUAAUAAUAUAUUGGAUACACUAAUCGAUGAUCCUAGAAAAGUAAUAUAGUUUCUCUUUCCAUCACUUUCAAUGGUCAUAGGGAACCAUUGAAAUUUGUUCUUUCACACAUGCAUUUUCCUAGAAAAUCGUUCAUUAUCUUACUGGGCUUAUGCUAUGUUUGCUUGCCCUUCAAAUUCGAAAAUUGUGUAAAUUUUGGGAAUGGAUUUGUGGAGGUCAAAUGUAAUUGUUAAUAAAAAGUAAUGAAAUGCUUUGUUAGAGAUAAAAGCUUUGGUUAUAUCAUUUUUCUCUAUCCUUUGCAUGUAGGGAACCAUUGAAAUUUGUUCUUUCACACAUGCAUUUUCCUAGAAAAUCGUUCAUUAUCUUACUGGGCUUAUGCUAUGUUUGCUUGCCCUUCAAAUUCGAAAAUUGUGUAAAUUUUGGGAAUGGAUUUGUGGAGGUAAAAUGUAAUUGUUAAUAAAAAGUAAUGAAAUGCUUUGUUAGAGAUAAAAGCUUUGGUUAUAUCAUUUUUCUCUAUCCUUUGCAUCCCUCUAAAUUCUAUCUUAGCUUAAAAGGAAAAAUGUGUUCAAAACAGGUUUUAGCUGCCACUCAGACACUGGGAAAUGCAAGUAAAAAGUAAUUAUAAGAAACAAAAGAUGCCAUGAGACAAUUUAUACGAGUGUUUCAGGUCCCUUUUUUUGGAAGCUAAAUUGUCAUAAAAAAAAAAAUACUCAUUGAACAAAGUUUCAAAGGACUAAUGAUGAUUCUAAAUAUAUUUGUAGGAUGCUAAAAAAUGAAAAUGCCGAGCACAUUCUUAUCUUGUUUGUUGAUCAUCUUUGGUCCCUUUUUUUGGAAGCUAAAUUGUCAUAAAAAAAAAAAAAAUACUCAUUGAACAAAGUUUCAAAGGACUAAUGAUGAUUCUAAAUAUAUUUGUAGGAUGCUAAAAAAUGAAAAUGCCGAGCACAUUCUUAUCUUGUUUGUUGAUCAUCUUUAUCGAAUUGACAAUAUGGACUUUGUUCAGACUGAUUAUUUUAGAGCUGGUCAUCUUUCAUAUCGACCCAUUGAAGAGCGCAUCUGUAGAACAAAGACUUGUCUUUGAUCCUUCUUGAGUUGAAAUCCGCCUAGCCUAAUGUGGUACAGAGAUGGUGAAGGGUAAACCUGUUGGAUUAUAACCAACUUAAGAGUGGUCCACAUAUCUCAUAUCCCACUACUUCAGUAACUGACCCAAUGUUUAAAAAUUCAUAUUUGGCAACCACCCAUAAUCUGAGGAUGAGCAAAAUCGCUCUGUCAUGGGUAGAGCAAUUAUAAAAGGGGGUACAGAGAUGGUGAAGGGUAAACCUGUUGGAUUAUAACCAACUUAAGAGUGGUCCACAUAUCUCAUAUCCCACUACUUCAGCAACUGACCCAAUGUUUAAAAAUUCAUAUUUGGCAACCACCCAUAAUCUGAGGAUGAGCAAAAUCGCUCUGUCAUGGGUAGAGCAAUUAUAAAAGGGUUGAGAUCCAUUCGGAAGGUCCCUAAGCUCAUUUUUUACGUUCAGUUUUUAUACAUCAUCUAAGCAGUGAGAAAGAGAGCUUAGAAGAGCCUUAACCCGAAAUCAAAUACUACCCAUAAGCUUGAGAAAGUGUGUGAAGAACGAAAAUGACGGGAGGUACGUUUUCGAUCCAAUCUAUUUUGAAUUGAUCUAAAUGCUAUUUGUUGAUUAAAGUAUAUUUAGAUCGCUUAAGGCAACUUAUAUUUGGUAUCAGAGCCUUCGUUUUGCCUCUGCCUUAUUUGUUCUUAACCUGCACACUUUUUGUUAAAAAACUUAGUUUUUGAUUUAGUUGAUUUUAUAGAAACUGAGAUUAGGAAUCAUUAGAAAAUUGAUUUCUGAGAAUUUUGAUAUAAAAUUUGCAAAAUUUAGUCAUCGGAAUCAUGAGAUAUGACUGGGCUUUUCAUUUAGAUUGGAACCGAGCCGAAACGACCCGACAAGAGGUUGAAGACGACCUCUAACAAUAAUAAAAAAAUAAUAACAAUAUAGUUAACAAUCUUUUCAAACCUUUUUUGCAGAGAGAAAUGGCGCAUCAUGGGGGCCCACUUGAAUGAAAUAAGAAAUGGAAUGUUUAUAUUAUUUUUUGGGAUUAUUUUAAUAAAGUUUUGGGCCUGCACUUGUACCAGCCGAAAGUACAAGAAUGUUUAAUAUUAUUACUUUAAUAAAAUCUAGGCCAUUUUCUGCACUUAACAUUUAAUUCCAUCUUACCCAUUUGGAAUUCUACAGCACCAUUUUGAAAACCAAAUUACAGACUUCCAACAUUUUUCAAUAAAUAAUUUAGUGCAAUGGUUGAUGUAUGUACUUUGUGAUUUUGUUUUAUGUACUAAAUUAUUUAUUUAUGUUUUUGUAUGUAUAAAUUUUGUGGUUUAUUAUGCAUACAUUAUUAGGUUAAAUAAUUUUUACACAUUAAAAUUAAUUCAAAUAAAAGGCUCUUUACGAAUUUAAUGUGGAUAUUUAUGUGCUUAUAUUAUUAUUAUUAUUAUUAUUAUUAUUAUUAUUAUUAUUAUUAUUAUUAUUAUUAUUAUUAUUAUUAUUAUUUGUUAUUUGUGUGAAUAGUUUAUUGUUUUAUUCAUGCAAUAUUAAGUUGAAUAAUAUUGGUACAUUAAUGUUCGAUUGUAUUGCUUAUGGUUUAGACAAUAGUUUGAGCCUAAGAAUUUAGAUAAUGUUUCGUGAUCCAUAUAGUUUUAUUUAAUUAGGGAAUAGCAACAACAUCUUUAAUUAAUUGAAAUUAUAUUUUAAGGUUCAUUUGGGAUCACAAUUGGAGAACAAACAUUAAUUGUGAUNNNNNNNNNNNNNNNNNNNNNNNNNNNNNNNNNNNNNNNNNNNNNNNNNNNNNNNNNNNNNNNNNNNNNNNNNNNNNNNNNNNNNNNNNNNNNNNNNNNNNNNNNNNNNNNNNNNNNNNNNNNNNNNNNNNNNNNNNNNNNNNNNNNNNNNNNNNNNNNNNNNNNNNNNNNNNNNNNNNNNNNNNNNNNNNNNNNNNNNNNNNNNNNNNNNNNNNNNNNNNNNNNNNNNNNNNNNNNNNNNNNNNNNNNNNNNNNNNNNNNNNNNNNNNNNNNNNNNNNNNNNNNNNNNNNNNNNNNNNNNNNNNNNNNNNNNNNNNNNNNNNNNNNNNNNNNNNNNNNNNNNNNNNNNNNNNNNNNNNNNNNNNNNNNNNNNNNNNNNNNNNNNNNNNNNNNNNNNNNNNNNNNNNNNNNNNNNNNNNNNNNNNNNNNNNNNNNNNNNNNNNNNNNNNNNNNNNNNNNNNNNNNNNNNNNNNNNNNNNNNNNNNNNNNNNNNNNNNNNNNNNNNNNNNNNNNNNNNNNNNNNNNNNNNNNNNNNNNNNNNNNNNNNNNNNNNNNNNNNNNNNNNNNNNNNNNNNNNNNNNNNNNNNNNNNNNNNNNNNNNNNNNNNNNNNNNNNNNNNNNNNNNNNNNNNNNNNNNNNNNNNNNNNNNNNNNNNNNNNNNNNNNNNNNNNNNNNNNNNNNNNNNNNNNNNNNNNNNNNNNNNNNNNNNNNNNNNNNNNNNNNNNNNNNNNNNNNNNNNNNNNNNNNNNNNNNNNNNNNNNNNNNNNNNNNNNNNNNNNNNNNNNNNNNNNNNNNNNNNNNNNNNNNNNNNNNNNNNNNNNNNNNNNNNNNNNNNNNNNNNNNNNNNNNNNNNNNNNNNNNNNNNNNNNNNNNNNNNNNNNNNNNNNNNNNNNNNNNNNNNNNNNNNNNNNNNNNNNNNNNNNNNNNNNNNNNNNNNNNNNNNNNNNNNNNNNNNNNNNNNNNNNNNNNNNNNNNNNNNNNNNNNNNNNNNNNNNNNNNNNNNNNNNNNNNNNNNNNNNNNNNNNNNNNNNNNNNNNNNNNNNNNNNNNNNNNNNNNNNNNNNNNNNNNNNNNNNNNNNNNNNNNNNNNNNNNNNNNNNNNNNNNNNNNNNNNNNNNNNNNNNNNNNNNNNNNNNNNNNNNNNNNNNNNNNNNNNNNNNNNNNNNNNNNNNNNNNNNNNNNNNNNNNNNNNNNNNNNNNNNNNNNNNNNNNNNNNNNNNNNNNNNNNNNNNNNNNNNNNNNNNNNNNNNNNNNNNNNNNNNNNNNNNNNNNNNNNNNNNNNNNNNNNNNNNNNNNNNNNNNNNNNNNNNNNNNNNNNNNNNNNNNNNNNNNNNNNNNNNNNNNNNNNNNNNNNNNNNNNNNNNNNNNNNNNNNNNNNNNNNNNNNNNNNNNNNNNNNNNNNNNNNNNNNNNNNNNNNNNNNNNNNNNNNNNNNNNNNNNNNNNNNNNNNNNNNNNNNNNNNNNNNNNNNNNNNNNNNNNNNNNNNNNNNNNNNNNNNNNNNNNNNNNNNNNNNNNNNNNNNNNNNNNNNNNNNNNNNNNNNNNNNNNNNNNNNNNNNNNNNNNNNNNNNNNNNNNNNNNNNNNNNNNNNNNNNNNNNNNNNNNNNNNNNNNNNNNNNNNNNNNNNNNNNNNNNNNNNNNNNNNNNNNNNNNNNNNNNNNNNNNNNNNNNNNNNNNNNNNNNNNNNNNNNNNNNNNNNNNNNNNNNNNNNNNNNNNNNNNNNNNNNNNNNNNNNNNNNNNNNNNNNNNNNNNNNNNNNNNNNNNNNNNNNNNNNNNNNNNNNNNNNNNNNNNNNNNNNNNNNNNNNNNNNNNNNNNNNNNNNNNNNNNNNNNNNNNNNNNNNNNNNNNNNNNNNNNNNNNNNNNNNNNNNNNNNNNNNNNNNNNNNNNNNNNNNNNNNNNNNNNNNNUAGAGAAUAAUAUGGUAGAUACAUUGAAAGUGGACAAGCGACUAGUCCAUUUGGUUUCUUCAAGAGAAUGGGAUUGUUGCCCAAUACAGUUUGCCUAGUUCUCCGGACUAGAAUGGAGUAGCUGAGAGGAAAAAUCAAACAUUAUUGGAUAUGGUGCGAAGCAUGCUUGCUAAUUCCAAGCUUCCUCACUCAUUAUGGAUUGAAGCUCUUAAGACAAUUGCGUACAUAUUAAGUCGAGUUCUAACUAAGGCUAUCCCAAAGACACCUUUUGAGUUAAUCAAGGGCUAAAAACCGAGUUUGCGACAUGUACGCUUAUGGGGAUAUCCAUCUGAUAUAAGAGUCUACAAUCCACAAGAAAAGAAGUUAGACCCAAGGACCAUAAGCAGGUAUUAUUUUAGAUAUGCCGAAAGGUCUAAGGAAUACAAAUUUUAUUGUCCAUCUCAUAGCAUUAGGUUUGUGGAAUCAAUAAAUGCAAAAUUUCUUGAGAAUGACUUGAUUAGUGGGAGCGAUCAAUCCCAGGACAUUUGUCCUGAGAAAGAUCAUUUAGAUGCUCAGUGUGCCACUUCAAGCAAUGGACUGAUUAUUGUUGUUAACAAUACACCUCGAGUACAAAUGCAUAAUUAACGAUCAAUCUGCGAAGAUCUACAAGCCUGAUCCAGUAGAUGCUGAAGUUCAACAAAUGCCUGAAACUAUUGAACAGCUUGCUGAACAAAAUGAUCAUGUUCCUCCGGAGAAUAUUGAUGCAGCAUAAAGAAGAUCUACUAGAGUAAGGAAGUCGACGAUUCCCAGUGACUGCGUUGUGUAUCUACAAGAAUCUGGCUACAAUUUUGGAGUUGAGAUUGAUCUUGAAACGUUUUCAUAGGCCAUAAGUUCUAAGGAUUCGAACUUAUGGUAAAAUGCCAUGAAAGAUGAGAUAGAUUUGAUAGCAUCUAACAAAGUUUGGGAUCUCGUCAAGUUGCCUGAUGGUGUAAAAGCCAUUGGAUGUAAAUGGGUUUUCAAAACAAAGAAAGACUCACUAGGCAACAUUGAGAGAUAUAAAGCAAGACUCGUUGCCAAAGAAUUCAUUCAAAUGGAAGGAAUCGAUUACAUAGAGACAUUCUCUCCUGUUACUAAGAAGGAUUCCCUUCAAGUAAUUAUGGCAUUGGUUGCCCAUUUUGGUUUAGACUUGCACCAAAUGGAUAUGAAAACGGCGUUCCUUAAUGGUGAUCUAGAGAAAGAGCUUUACAUGAAACAACCUGAAGGAUUCUCCUCUAGUGGUGGUGAACACCUAGUCUAUAAGCUUAAUAAAUCCAUAUAUGAAUUAAAACAAGCUUUCCAUCAAUGUUAUUUGAAAUUCCAUAACGUCAUCACUUCGUUUGGUUUUGAAAAGAACAUCAUGGAUCAUUGUACAUAUCAGAAGGUUAGUGGGAGUAAGAUUUGUUUCCUUGUUCUAUAUGUGGAUGAUAAUUUACUUGAAACCAAUGAUAAGGGUUUGCUACAUGAGGUGAAACAAUUUCUCUCAAAGAACUUUGAUAUGAAGGAUAUGGGUGACGUCUUAAGUCAUUGGCAGUAAGAUCCAUAGAGAAAGAUCUCGAGGCAUUUUAGAUUUGUCUCAAGAGACCUAUAUUAACAAAUAUUUAGAGAGAUUUCGGAUGAAGGACUAUUCGCCAAGUGUAGCAUCCAUUGUGAAGGGUAACAGGUUUAGCCUAAUUCAAUGUCCCAAAAAUGAGCUCGAGGAGGAACAGAUGAAAAACAUUCCAUAUGCUUCGGCCAUUGGAAGCCUAAUUUAUGCUCAGGUCUAGUACCUAUACUAGACCUGACAUUGCAUUUACUGUUGGAAUGCUAGGAAGAUAUCAGAAUAAUCCAGGCAUGGAUCACUGGCUAGCUUCAAAGAAAGUGAUGAGGUACCUUUAGGGGACCAAAGAUUACAUACUUAUGUACAGACGGACUAAUAAUCUGGAAGUGGUUGGCUACUCGAAUGUAGACUUUGCUAGCUAUGUUGAUUCACGAAAAUCAACAUCUGGUUACAUUUUCAUGCUUGCUGGCAGAGCUAUAUCUUGGAGGAUGUGAAGCAGACCUUGACUGCUACUUCCACUAUGGAGGCUGAGUUUCGUGUUUUGUUUUGAAGCUACCUCACAUCGUGUAUGGUUGAAGAGUUUCAUGUCUGGGCUUAAAAUAAUUGAUUCACUAGGCCAUUGAGAUUGUACUAUGACAACUCAGCUGCUGUGUUUAUGGCUAAGAACAAAAAGAGUGGUAGCCGAAGUGAACACAUCGACAUUAAAUACUUAGCCAUUAGAGAACGUGUUAAGGAGAAGAAAGUAGUCAUUGAGCACAUUAGCAUUGAGUUGAUGAUUGCUGAUCCUUUGACUAAAGGCAUGCCACCAAAGAAUUUUAAGGAUCAUGUAGCGAGAAUGGGACUUGGUUCGGUGAUAUAAUUUUAUUGUACGUACAUUUGAUGUUUUAAUGAAACUCUUAUUCAGUUGAUAUUUUCUCAUUUGUUUUGUGCACAUAUUUGUAUAUUCAUUUACCUUGAGAAAUAUCAUUAAGUUUGGACCUUGAAUAAACAUAGGGUUUAUUCAUUAAGUUAUUAGGGCUGGUGUUUAAGAGACAUGAUGUAUUGUGAUACAUGAAAGAUAAUACUUGCUUUAGAGGACCUAUCACUAUGAUUUAUGUAUUAUGUUUCUUAUUAUGAUGAAAGAUGGUAUAUAUGGACCAAGUGGGAGAAUGUUGGAUUAUAACCAACUUAAGAGUCGUCCACAUAUCUCAUAUCCCACUACUUCAACAACUGACCCAAUGUUUAAAAAUUCAUGUUUGGUAACUACCCAUAAUCUGAGGAUGUGCAAAACUACUAUGUGAUGCGCAAAGCAAUUAUAAAAGGCGUUGGGAUCCAUUCGGAAGGUCCCUAACCUCAUUUUUCACAUUCAGUUUGCAUACAUCAUCUAAGCAAUGAGAAAGAUGACUUAGAAGAGCCUUAACCCGAAAUCAAACACUACCCAUAAGCUUGAGAAAGUGUGUGAAGAACGGCAAUGGCGGGAGGUACAUUUUCGAUCCAAUCUAUUCCACAUUGAUCUAAAUGAUAUUUGUUGAUUAAAGUAUGUUUAGAUCGCUUAAGGCAACUUAUAAAGCCUCCUACUAGAAGGUUCGGCAAGCUUUUUUUACUUUAACUAAAAAACCAAUCCAAUACCCACCCCUAUCCCAAUCUAAAGAGCGAUCGAGCGAGAGAAAGAAAGAAAAUGCACAUGCCUCUCAUUUGCCCUUUACUAAACUCGGCCACCAAAUCGUCUAGAUGGAAUGUCUUUAUUAGGAAAGUGGCUGUUUAGUCAAAAAAAGAGCUCAACAAAGUCUCCAUGCUAUAUGCGACGGCAAUGCAAUCUAAACCUACUUAUCACCUUAAGCCACGUCGAGAGAAAAAACCUAAUGCAGAACAAAAUGAUUGAGAGGCUUACGCAGACCUUUGCGUAACUCGAUGCAUAUCAUGAAUAGAUUUACGUUAACAAAAAUUGUUUAAAUUUCAUCAUUCCAUCUUUGUCCUUUACUUUGGAGAAUGCAAAAGAAAAACUACAAAAAAAUAACUCCACUUUCACCUUUGCAAUCUUUAGAUCUCCCAAGACAAUACUUGAAGAACUAGGCAUAUGAUAUGCUAAUAGAUCUCUCUUAAUUUUUGUAAGUUGUCCAUACAUAUUCCAGUAGGUCUUGCUAUAUGCAUUUUUUGAAAAACUAGAUGAACCUAAAAUUCCCACCACAUCAUGCAUUUUGUAGCAUUACCCAUCAGCUUGCUUUUGUAGUGUUACAGGUACUAUUCUAUAUGCUUACAGAACCACGCUGUUUUUUUAGCAACAAAUCUCUAUGGACGAAUAGUUUAUUACAUAAUUAUUUCUCCUAUCAAAAACCUUCUAUUGCAUAAGAUAAAACACACUUCUUCUUAAUUUUAACGAUUCCAUAUUCGUUACAUGAUUUACAGUCUUCCACCACAUUAACUAGUUAUUUUUUAUUGGAUAUUCUGUUAACCAAAUUCAAUUGUUGUUCUUGUAGAUUUUCCCAAAGCCAACAUUAAUUUGACUAUAUGUUAGCACGAAACUUUUACAAAGUUAAAAAAAAAAAAACCACAGCUUUUUACAUCUAUUGUCAUACAUAAUCAGCUCAAGUUCACUUAUUUUUCAAAAACAACAAGACAUAAAAUUAGAAAUAUCACUUCUCGUUAUACUUAAUCACAAAUUCAAAAUUUUUACCUUACUACAACUUUAAAUCAUAUGAGUGACUCCAUGCGUUUACAAAAAGUAAAAUAGAUAACCAACUCUUAUUCUUGUAUUCUCAAUUCAGACAAGUGACGUCUUACAAGAUUUUUACCAGUAUAAUUACACUUGCAGCAAUGACUUGCUGGACUUUCUCGUUUCUUAUUAUGCAGAAAAGCAGUACAAGUAAAUAUUGCGUACAAACUGUGAACAUAUUAUCAACAUUACCUAAAAGGUACUUGUACUUAAAACCGUCACAUACAUUUGAAGAUAAUAUUGCUUACUAAUGCAUUAUUCAGAGAUCAAUUCAUCCAAUUAUAUUUUCUCACUUGUUUCACAAAUGCAGCAACAACUUCAUUCUUGUACUCUCAUACAACUUCACUUUAUAUCUUCACUAAAAAAUAAACAAUUAUCAAAGAACUCCUUUUUUAUUCUUUCAAACUCACAUAUGCAUACAUUGAUAGUACAAACUUAUUUAUUAACCACCAAACAACUUUCAUUUCUACAAUAAAAUAAAAAAAUUAAAAAUCACGCCAAAUCUUCCACACUUGCUGUAGAAACCAGAUAUUUUACAGAUCCUAAAAACUACAAUUCUAAGUUUUAUCUUUCCAAAAUAGACAAAAGCUGCAAUUAUAAAUUGCCUUUCCAAAGUUGAUAUUUUCCAUCUGACACAUACAUGCGUUAGUACUUUCAUCUUAUCUUUCAACACCCAAAUAUGUAUAUUGAAAGGUAAAACUAAGAUGUACGACACAGCUACUCAAGUUUCCACAAACACCAAAAAAUUCACUACACAAAAUAUAAAGAGGGCUUUCUUCCAAAUACUAGAUGAAACAACUGAGACAAACUCAGACGAAAGAAAGAAGGCUAACAAAGGGUAUGAAUCCAAUGAACAAACCAAGCUCCUCGCUUCCAAAAAAGAACAAAAAUGAAAAAUAUCUACAUGACUUUUUGGGCAAUAGGGAGUGGUACAACUCUUUUUGUUCAUCCAUAUACAUAUAAAUCCUGAGUAUCAAGAGUUGCUUAAAUUCCUUGCAAAAUGUAUUGAAAGUCUUUCCUAUGCAGAAAUACUAUUGGAAAGGUAGGAGUUUGAAUAAGCUUGUAAAUUAAUGGUUUCAACUUUUGUGUAUUCAUACGACCAUCGAAGAUUUAUUUUCUAAAAUAGUUUAAUGUGAAGGCCUGAAGGAUUGCAAUUUCUUUGCAGUUAAAAUACUCAUCGGAUUUCUUUGUAAGUCAUCCAUAGGAUACUCCUACACUUAAUAUUGUUAUAAACAUUAUUCAUUAAAAAAAAACUACAUACAGUGAAAUGAGGCAAAAACCUUACAAUUCGUUCAUUACAACAUAGUUUUACGUUUACCCUUUUAAAGUAAAUACAUGGUUGUAUCUACCCUACUGCCUCGUGAGGACUAAUUAAUCAUCAUAGGACAAAAUUAUUUCCAUGUAAAAUGAUUAGGAUCAAUGAAAUUGGUUCUUCCUUUCAUCGCAUGUCCUAUAAUUAUCAAGUCUAUGAAAAGAAUAAAAUACUUUAUAUAUCUAUAAUUUGAAAUUAAAGCACAUCUCCAUUUCAUCUUUUACAAGCAUGCAGUUGAAGGAAAAGGGAAAAAAAAAAAAAAAAAAAAACUAAUUAUUAGGGUGUUAUUUAUUGAAUCGACUUAGAACUGGUUGUAUUAAUUGUCAUAAAACGAUAAAUGAGCCUAUGUUUUUGGAAUAUAAUUCUUCUAUCAUUGCCCAACUGCAUGAAUCCAUAAUGCAUUAUGAUCCUCAUGCUUCAACUUCAACUAAAACACAUAAUAUUUCCCAAUUUUGAAUUACAAAGAACUUUUAAUGGAUUGAAUGUACCAUCAAUUGCAUAUGUAUUACCAAUGCCCAUUUAAUGUAAGCAUUGUUAUGGCCGCAAAUUUUAUGGAGAAAUGAAAGACUUCUAUUGUUCUAAUAGAAAAUUUAAGCUUUUCAUAUCUUACUCACUAACGCAACUAUAUAUUUUAUUUAUUUCUGAAGAACUGAGCUGUGUGGAUUUCAAAAAGUUUGCAAGAGAAUAUAAUAAUCAUUUUGCUUUCACAUCUGGAUUUGGUGUAGAAAAAUUGAAAUGAAUAUUCAAAAGUUUCACUCCCAUUUUCUUAGCAGCUUAUUACACUAUUAUUUUAUCUGAUUUUUUUCCUAUGUACCUAAAUGGAAAAAGAGCACUAACGAAUAGAACUUCUCUUCUCUUCUUUAAAUUAUUUCCUACUUGUCAUGUUGGAAUUUCCCAUUUAUUUCCUUAUGUAACACACUAAUAUUACCUUAAGCAAACUUUAAGCCAUGCAUUGCAUGGCAACAAAACUAGUAAUUAAAUACAAGAAAGAGUUAAUAAAUAAAAGUUAGGAAGUAGAAAAUCACAUCACAACACUUAAACAAGAAAUUAUAAUUAAAAUCACACAAUUUCUAAUGCAUUAUUUUAUUUAUUAUGUCCCUAAUUGAUUUAAUUAAAACUAGAAAUUGAUUUAAUUAAAACUAGACUUUUGAUAAAUAACAAAAUUUGAUGAAAUGUCUGAUUAAAAAGUUGAUAAUAGUUAUGGAUCCAAUAAAACUUAUUGUUAAACUAAUUGACUUUGACUUAAAUUUUUAUCAACUUUUCAGUUAAACCAAAUAGGGACUAUAUGGCCUUUAAUUAAUAUUAUUAAUGGAAAAAAAAUUCUUAUUACUUCUAGAUGCCUUGUUUGUUAAGACUUGUCCUUCUCAUCUUGACAUGGUGUGUUAUCCAGUUAUUUGCUUAUGAUGACAUAAUAUUGCCAUGUGUAUAGAAAAUCCAUACAUACACUUUGACAAAAUGCCGUGUAAAAUGUUGCCACUGAUUUUUACAAAAAACAAAAAAAAAAAAAAAUUGGUUUUGGCAGCCAAUUACAUUCUGCCAACAUUACAUCUGUCAAUAAAGUGGACAAGAAAUUCUGUACAAGUAGAUAAUUUCUACCUUUAUAAUCUUUUACUUUCUCGCUUACCUAUCUUACCCAUAACACUAGAACCCAUUUUGGCAAGAAAUUUGACAAAUGGGGAUAGAAAUGAAAACGGGUGCAUAAAUAAUAAACCCCCUCAUUCAUACGCUGCAACAUAGAUUAAUUCUGAUUGAAUAAUUGGUGUCCAAAUCGCGUUUCAUGUGAUGCAGUAUAUUUAAUGAGCAGUGCUGGGGCAGGCCACACACGUGUCUGGGGAGUGUAUGAUUUUUUAUUUUUUUUAAAAUAAUUCUCCACAACACCCAGCUGCUUGUGCCGGCCUGUACAGUAAGAUUUUUCCAUAUUUAAUUCCCUCUUUCACAGAAGAAGGGAAAUCACGCUUGUCUGGAGGUGAUUUUCACAAAAUCUUAAUGAGAAUUUCGACCGUUCUGGGAACGUGGGUUUCCUCUGCUAACCGCAAUUUUUGACUGCAUAUUUGUCAAAUUACCAUAAAUCCCUAUCAUUCCAAUGGAAUGGAUUAAAUAUACAUGGGUACCUACGUCAUUUUGUAAAAAAUGGUCAAUAAUAGCCGCCCAAAUUUUUUAUUAAAAUUUUACUGAGAAUAGCCUCCAGACAGCCCCAUAUCGUGCAUCAUAUCAUCCCCCAAAACAACCCAUUGAGCUGUCCUUCCAGUGGAAAUCCCUAGUGAGCUUCACGGUCGACGGGAAGAAAAUUAAGGAAAACAAUGAAAAACCCUCAUGUUCUACUUAUUCCAUAUCCAGCACAAGGCCAUGUGCUUCCCUUAAUGGAAGUUGCACUCCAUUUAGUAAAAUAUGGCUUCAAAAUCACAUUUGUAAACUCCGAGUUCAUUCAUGAACGAGUUAUCAAAUCAAUGCCGGAGACCGACAACGUACGAGAACUCAUAAACAUGGUUUCGUUACCUGACGGGUUAGAAUCCUCUGAUGACAGAAGUGAUACGGGAAAAUUGUGGGGAUCAAUUACUA